rnacentral:lncRNA from 1 species
AACUAUCGAGGCAACAAUUUCGGGUUUUUUCCAUUUGGUUCAGGGAGAAGGAUGUGUGUUGGGGUUUCUCUGGCAGAGAAGAUGAUGGCACUGCUCUUGGGCUCUUUGGUGCACUCUUUUGAAUGGGGAUUGUCAAAGGGGACUAAGCCUAGUUUAGAAGAUAAAUUUGGGGUUUUUUUGAAGAAAAAGGAAUCACUUGUUGCUACACCCGUUGCACGACUUCCUAAUUUGGAGCAAUACCAAUGAAUAUGCUCAGUUUUUGCGUACAAUAAACAAUAUGAUAUGUAUGUUAAAUAAUUGUUACUACGUAAGAAAAAAGUAACUACGUAAUAAAAUAAAAGACUUUACAUAGAGAUUGUAAUGCAUCUUAGGUUUAAAUCCUAAAAAUUUAUAUCGAUAUGUUUUGUGUUGCGGAAAGGAUCGAUUCGAGAACUCCGAUAUGACUACAAGUAAAUUGACCGAAACGAAAAAUAAAGUGAACACAAGGAUUUACGUGGUUCGGCUUUAAUGCCUACGUCCACGGGCAGAGGCGAAAAGAAAUUUCACUAUAACAAGAUGAAGAUUACAAGUGUUUUACACUCAAGACACAACCCGAGAACCUCACAACUCUCAACCCCUAUAGAAAACCCGAAAGCUAAAAUCCUAGCUUUCAAAGAACAAGCUUUGCUCUCUCUUGGUUUUGGGAUGAUCAAUAUGGCUAAUGAACCUCUCUAUUUAUAAGAGAGUUCAAGGACAUAAUUGUCCAAAACUUUGGCAAAGAUUUGUGGUUGAAAAUGGACACCAACAACCAUCCACUAAUCCACUACCACCAACAACCCACUACCAACAACAACAAUCCACUACCAAUUUUAAGCCAUUUCUUAACAAAUCUCCACCUUGGCUUGAAAUUUACCAAGCUGAACAUCAUAGUGAACUGGAUCACCUCUUCCAAACGCCUCUCUGGCGCUAAUCAAUCCCGAAUACCUAUCAAGUCCAAGCAAUGCUUGAACUUAUAUGCAGGGAUCACCUUAGUUAACAUAUCUGCAGGAUUCUUCUCGGUAGCAACCUUGCUGAUAACAAUGUCACCUUGCGUAACAUGUUCCCGAACAAAAUGAUAUCUGACAUCAAUGUGUUUGGUCCGUUCAUGAAACAUCUGAUUUUUAGUCAGAUGUAUGGCACUCUGGCUAUCGCAAAAUACAACAGUGAAAUCCUGUUGUAAACCCAAACUGCUUACUAGACCUUUCAUCCACAAUGCUUCUUUCACUGCUUCUGCUAACGCCAUAUAUUCCGCCUCAGUCGUAGAUAAGGCUACGGUAGACUGUAACACAGCUUUCCAACUAAUGGCUCCUCCAGAAUAAGUGAAAACAUAACCCGUCAGAGAUCUUCUUUUGUCCAGAUCUCCAGCAUAAUCAGAGUCCGCAUAGCCCGUGACACUGCUAGUGCAGUCACUCUGAUCAUAUACCAAGCAUAAAUCUGCAGAACCUCUCAAGUACCUGAGAAUCCAUUUCACGGCCUGCCAGUGUUCCUUGCCAGGACAACUCAUGUAUCUGCUGACCACACUAACUGCAUGUGAAAUGUCUGGACGAGUGCAAACCAUUGCAUACAUCACGCUUCCAACUGCACUCGAGUAUGGAAUGUGAGACAUUUGCUGCUUUUCUUCAUCAGAUUGUGGUGACAACUCUGCAGAGAGUUUGAAAUGUGGUGCCAACGGAGUACUCACAGUUUUCGCUUUAUCCAUGCCGAAGCGUUGAAGAACCUUUUCAAUGUAGUUCUUCUGCGACACACGAAGCUUGCCCGCCUUGCGAUCUCUGUGAAUAUCCAUGCCCAAAAUUUUCUUGGCAGCACCCAGAUCCUUCAUCUCGAACUCACCACUCAACUGCGACUUUAACUUGUUGAUUUCCGACAUGUUUUUGGAAGCAAUUAACAUGUCAUCAACAUACAGCAACAAAUAAAUGUGCGAACCAUCUGAGAGCUUCCGAUGAUAGACACAAGCAUCAUAGUCACAUCUUGUGUAACCAUGCUGAAUCAUGAAGCUAUCAAACCGCUUGUACCACUGCCUUGGGGAUUGUUUCAAUCCAUAUAAAGACUUCUUUAAUAGACAGACAUGGUCUUCUUUACCAGGAACUGUAAAACCCUCUGGUUGACGCAUGUAGAUUGUUUCCUCGAGCUCACCAUGCAAGAACGCCGUUUUUACGUCAAGCUGCUCAAGUUCUAGAUCAGACUUGGCCACCAUGGCAAGUAAUACACGAAUGGAAGAAUGCUUUACGACUGGGGAGAAAACUUCAUUGUAGUCAAUCCCCUCUUUCUGAGUGAAGCCUUUAGCAACCAAUCGUGCCUUGAAUCUAGUUGCUUCAACCCCUAGGAUGCCUUCCUUUUUCUUGAAGACCCAUUUGCAACCAACUAUCUUCUGGUUACUUGGCGGCUUAACCAACUCCCAAGUAUGGUUCUUGUGAAGAGAUUCUAUCUCCUCACUCAUAGCAAUUGCCCACUGUGCCGACUCAUCACACGUGACAGCCUCAUUAUAACUGGAAGGUUCUAUACCAAUGGACUCCGCCACACUGAGCGCGAAAGACACCAGAUUAGCGUAACGCGGAUUUGGUUUGAUUUGUCUCUUCGUUCUUCCAGUGGCAAUGCUAUAUGGUUUUUCUUGAGGUGACUUAUCUUCAUCGGAAUCUUGCACCUCAACUUGAUCAUCCUGGACUGAAGUACCUUCCGUAGGAAUUGGAGCGUCCACCUGACACUCCACCUGCUUCUCAACACCGUGAUCUCCCAUUCUAUCUGACUCCUCCUUUUCCCGGGAAUUUGUGGUGGAUCGAAGCAUGGAUGACUCAUCAAAAGUCACAUCUCUGCUGAUGAUGAACUUGGACGAAACCGGAUCAGGACACCACAACCUGUAUCCUUUCACCCCUUGGCCGUAUCCAAGAAAUAUGCAUUUCUUCGCCCUCGGUUUGAGUUUUCCCUCAUUUACAUGAGCAUACGCAGGGCAGCCAAACACUCUUAAACCAGAGUAAUCAGCAGGAGAACCAGACCAUACUUCCUCAGGAGUCUUCAGCUCAAUAGCUGUUGACGGAGAUCUGUUAACCAAAUAACAAGCAGUAUUAACAGCUUCAGCCCAAAAUUCUUCACCGAGCCCAGCAUUUGAUCGCAUGCAACGAGCUCGCUCCAAGAGAGUUCUAUUCAUGCGUUCUGCAACUCCAUUUUGUUGUGGUGUUCGACGAACAGUGCGGUGUCUCACUAUUCCUUCAUUCUUGCAGAACUCAUUGAAUUCACCUGAGCAAAACUCCAAGCCAUUAUCCGUCCGGAAUCGCUUGAUCUUCUUUCCUGUUUGAUUUUCGAUCAAAGCUUUAAAUUGCUUGAAGUUGAUGAGAACCUCAUACUUGCUCUUCAGAAAAUACACCCAAACCUUUCUCGAGUAAUCAUCGAUAAAGGUAAGCAGAUAUCUGUAACCACCUUUAGAAAUUGUCGGAGAAGGCCCCCAAAGGUCAGAAUGGAAGUAAUCCACUGUGCCUUUUGUCUUGUGAAUCCCAGUGCUGAACUUUACCCGAGUCUGCUUACCGAAGACGCAGUGCUCACAGAAAUUCAACUUUCCUGUACACUGCCCAGACAAUAAUCCUCGUUUGCUUAGCACCGAUAAGCCUCUCUCGCUCAUAUGCCCGAGCCGCAUAUGCCAUAACUUCGUGGUGUCAGAAUCUAGAUCAUCUGAUGAUGACACUCCCGCAACACCUGUAACCGAGGAACCAUCGAGGAAGUAAAGGCCCCGCUCCAAAUUACCACGUAUCACAGUCAAAGCACCCGAGAAUACCUUGAGAACUCCACCUUCAGCAGAGUACCGAAAGCCUUUCUUGUCCAACGUACUCAAAGAGAUCAAAUUUUUCUUCAUUUCUGGAAUGUGCCGAACAUCAGUUAGAGUUCUAACAAUACCGUCAAACAUCUUUAUACGAACUGUGCCAAUCCCCAUGACUUGACAUGCGUGGUCAUUUCCCAUUAGUACUGAACCAGAAUGCUUCUCGUAUGUUGAGAAUGCAUCUUUCGAAGUACUUAUAUGAAAUGUAGCUCCCGUAUCAAGAAUCCAUCUCCCACCAGCGUAAGAGUCGGAUACUGCAAGAACGAUCUCGGCAUCACUUGAAGAAUCUGCAUCAGCUACAUUCGCACGAUCAUUUUGUUGCUCCUGUGAUUCUGAUUUCUCCUUCCUUUUCGGACAAUCUACCUUCAUGUGCCCGUACUUCUUACAGUAGUAGCACUGUAUUCUCUUCUUGGACUGCGAUCUAGGAUGGCUUUUACUUGAACUUCCACCCUUUGCCUUGGAUCUUCCUCGAGCAACCAAGCCUUCGCCUUCAUUGUUUUCGACCACCUUACCAGUGAUUUUCUUCCUCAACUCACUGGAACUUAAGGCAUUUUUCACCUCCUCUAGAGUCAGGUCAUCACGACCGUACAUCAUUGUAUCAACAAAAUUCUCAUACGAGGGAGGCAAAGAACACAAAACAAUUAUUGCUUGGUCCUCAUCAUCGAUUUUGUUAUCGAUAUUAUUCAAAUCCAUGAUAAUGGAAUUGAAUUUAUCCAGGUGCUGGGAAACAGGUGUACCUUCCUCCAUCUUCAGGGCAUAGAGUCUUUGCUUGAGGUAGAGCCGGUUCAUCAAUGACUUCGUCAUGUACUUGCUUUCUAACCGGAGCCACAAACCGGACGCGGUUUUCUCAUCCGCUACUUCUCGUAGCACUUCAUCUCCUAGACAUAGCAGAAUAGCACUAUGUGCUCUUUCUAGCAUGUCAUCCUUUUGCUCUUCCGAAAGCGUGCUUGGUAAUUUAUCUUUACCAGACAAUGCUUUUAGCAAUCCUUGUUGAACCAGCACUGCCCGCAUCUUGAUGCGCCAUAAACUGAAACUAUUUUUCCCGGUAAAUUUCUCGACAUCAUACUUAGUCGAUGAAACACUUGUAGCCAUAAUUUGGAACCUUUGAAUGAAUGAUAAUAUUUUCUUCCUGAUGUGAAAGAUCAGACAAAGCUGCAGUCACAGGGCAAUUCAGAAAAUAUUAUCACUCCUUCAACUACGCUCUGAUACCAAUUUGUUGCGGAAAGGAUCGAUUCGAGAACUCCGAUAUGACUACAAGUAAAUUGACCGAAACGAAAAAUAAAGUGAACACAAGGAUUUACGUGGUUCGGCUUUAAUGCCUACGUCCACGGGCAGAGGCGAAAAGAAAUUUCACUAUAACAAGAUGAAGAUUACAAGUGUUUUACACUCAAGACACAACCCGAGAACCUCACAACUCUCAACCCCUAUAGAAAACCCGAAAGCUAAAAUCCUAGCUUUCAAAGAACAAGCUUUGCUCUCUCUUGGUUUUGGGAUGAUCAAUAUGGCUAAUGAACCUCUCUAUUUAUAAGAGAGUUCAAGGACAUAAUUGUCCAAAACUUUGGCAAAGAUUUGUGGUUGAAAAUGGACACCAACAACCAUCCACUAAUCCACUACCACCAACAACCCACUACCAACAACAACAAUCCACUACCAAUUUUAAGCCAUUUCUUAACAUUUUGAAUGAAAUAUAUACUAAUGCUUAUAUAGUUUACUAUCGGUAAUAAAUUUAUAUAUGAUGUAUAGAAUAAUUAUUUUUAUAAGGGUUAAUAUAUACGGAGCUAUUUGAAUUUGAUAACUUAUAUUUAUUUGGUACUUAAAUUUUUUUGGACUUAACUGGUAUCUGAAUUUGAAAAUCAUAAGUCAACUUAAUACUUUUUUUUAGGUACCAAAUUAACACCACUAAAAUACACUAUUGUGACUUUGACAACCAAUAACAUAAUGACGCAUUUUAACAUGUGGCAAAAAAUUAAAAAUGAAAUUGAUUUUUAGCACUAAGCCAUACAUUGGGAGCAUGCAGGAUAAGGUAUUUCAAAAGAAAUGAAGAAAGCAUGGGCAACAAAGCUUAGGGCCCCUUUGGAUAGCGUAUGUGUUUACUUGUGGUUAGUGUAAAAACAUCGAUGGCGGUGAGAUUAGAUACUGUAGCAUGAGAUUAAAAAAAAAACUAAACGCACCGCACUAGAGGUAAACGUCCAUCCAAAGGGGCCCUUAGACAACUUCAGUCUAGGUGCACAUGAACCAAGUUAGUGAGUUUCCAUCUAGUCCUACAGCAACAAAUAAGCCACAACAAUGAUAUCAUUUUUAGUGUUUAUAAUUUUUAAAAUUUCAAAAUUUUAAUUUUAAUUAAUGCAAUAAUUGUAAAAUUUAUUUAUUAAAAUAAUAUUUUUUUCAAGUAUCAUAUAAAAAUAAUAAACUGACAUGAAAUUACUUAUAUAAUAAUAUAUUUUCUCCAUAAAAUUUUAAAAAUAAUAAAAUUUAAAUUAUCGAAAUUAAUAAAGAUUUGCUCAUUGAUAUUUGCUUGGAGAUGCUCUCUUUCUCUUCAUUACAAAAGAUACUUAUAAUCACUACUUCUCAUCCAUGGUCACCCAAACCCCCUUAAAUUGGUAACUUUUUAAUUUAGACCCUUUAUAAUUUAUAAAAUAUUAAUUUAGUAAUGAUAAAUUUGUAUUUUGGCCUCCCAAAAUGAUAAAAAAUUAAUUUAACCCUUUAAAAAAAAGGAUAUAUGUUAUUAAAAUGAUGAAAUUGUAUUUUUACUAUCGUAAAAAUAUAUAAUUUAAUUUCGGACCCUCAAAAAAAUUUUCUAACUCUGCCAGUGUUUACAUCUCCUUAAAUCGAGCAUCAAGUUUGUUAUCCAGCUAGGAAAACUCCUACUGCAGUUGGCUAAUGUCCUUUUAUAAGCACGUGGCCAUGAAGAUCACGAGGCUCUGAUACCUUUGUUAAAGAAAGAAGAUCUAGAGAAAAAUUCACAUAGAGAAGGAGAUGAAGAAAAUGAGAAAAAUUAUGACUGUAUUUGCGUAGCCAUUCCCACUUAGCCUGAUUGGUGCUAAAAUAGGGAAGAUAAUUGAUCAAAUAACAUAUUGGUAGCUGUCAAAACUGCCUCCAUCAAUACGCAUCGUUUCAAAUAAAAGACUUGGGCUAAAAUAGUGCGUUUAAGACCUCUUUACACACCGUUUAACUAAAACAAAACGCAGUAUUUUAGCAACUCAAAAAAACACAGAUAACAUUUCGAUAACAAUAAUAGAAAUUUAAAAGAUUGAAUCAUUUCCCUCCAACAGCAUAUUUAUUCCAUAUCACUACCCCUCAUCCAAGCCUUACUCAUCUAUAACAAAAAUCAUUAGCAAACCGAAGCAGGAGAACAUAGCAUUCCAAAGUGCACAUUGAAGUUAUUGUAAACAAGAAUCACAAAUAUAUAUAUAUAUAUAAAGAAAAAGAGGGGUAUUUAGAUUUUAUAAAAAUGGAAGAAAAAAAACUAAGAGAGUUUACCUUGUUGGAAUUGGAUUUUGAGCUAAUUUAACAUUGUUUUUGAGAAAUACUUUUGAGAAAUAUUUUUGAAAAAUUUAGUAGAGUGAUAAAAAAAUCGAUAACGAUUUAAGAUUAUAAAUUCCAUAGAGUAAUGAAUGAAUAUGUUAUCAGCUUAAAAAAAAGUCAAAGUGGUAAUAAAUGCUGCAUAUAGUAAAUGUGGUUGCUUUAAAUUAUAAGAUUAAGAAUCCCGUGUGUUGGCCUGAUAGUUAGGGAGUACAUCGCCGUGUUGCUGUUUAGAGUUUCGCCCUCUUCUUGUAAUUCACUAAAAAAUAAAAUCAUAAGAUUAAAUAUUUUAAAGAUUAGUUAAUUAAUAUAUCUAUAAUAUAUAUACAUUAUACUACUUAAUAUAUAAAGUAAUUGAAUUAGGAGAAGCAAACCAAUAGUAGCUAAUGUUUUGAUUCAUUUCCGACUUUUAAAAUUUUAUUAAUUUAUUAAUUUAAUUUUAAAAUAAAAAAAUAUACUUAUAUUUAUAUUUUUAGAAAAUAUAAAUUAAAAUAUUUUUAAUUAAUAAAUAAAAAUUCCAAGUCAACUUACAAACUAAAUUACAAAGUAUCUUGUCCAAAGCUCAACAGGACAUGCCAUUAGCCAACCAUUGGAUAGGAGUAUUGGUGAGUUAGAUUAGUUAAAAAAAAAAUAAUUUAGAUAUUGAGGUUGAGAAAUGUGCUUUUAAAAUUGCUCUUUAAAAUUGUGAUAAUAUUUACUAUUACUAUUAUAAUGUGCGUUUUGAAAUGAUAAAAUGUCUAUUAUAAACGUGAUAUUGUAAAAUCGAAUAUUUAAUGAGAGAUAAAAAGAUACUAUUCUUGAAAAAUACUUUUUCAAAAAUCAAAAGUUAAAAUUUUUGGCUUAGAUUAAAAUCCUGAUUAAGAUUUAACGGUGGAUUACAAAAAUCCAAUCUUGUAUCCCCACUAUUAGUUUCCAAAUUCGAGUAAAUGAAGGUCCGUUAGAGUUGAUCAUGCACAGAAGAGGAUUAAGACAAGGAAAUCUAUUUGUCUCCCUAUAUUUUCAUUUUGUCCCAUAGGCCACAAUGUGUUGUCUUGUGAUAUCGAUCUACUGCAAUCAGAGGAGAAGUCUUUGAUCCAUGGCAUUAAAGUUAGUAAGAACAGUGUCUCUGUCUCUCAUUUGUUCUUUAGAGCUAAUAUUGAAGAAUGUAGUGUGGUGAAAUCAAUUUUUGUUUAAGACGAGUGUUUAAUGUUAUAAAAUCUGAUCUAAUAGUUAGUCCUUAUUAUCACUCUUAAAUUCAUGAAUUUAUUUAGAAAGAUCCUGAAUGCCAAUAUUUCUAAACAUCCCAAAACCUAUUCAGGAUUUAUAUGGAGCAUCGGUGAGCUAGAAGAAAGUUAUUUCAACCUAUCUUCAUUUACCUUAGUUUAUCUAAUUAAAAGAAAAUUACAAAUAAUUGUCCCUUAUCAAUACUUAAGUAAUUCGGUGUAAAUAUAUUUGUUUUUGGCUUUCACUGCUGACCAUUUGGCACCAUUUUGUCCCUUAUCAAUACUUGAGUAAACCGGUGUAAAUAUGUCCUGUUCUCCUCAAACCUCCUGUUCAACGUCUGUGAUUAUGUGGAGUCGAACUUGAUAAGCAUAACACACACUACGUAUAAAAUGAUUAAUAGUUUAUAAAGUUUAAAUGCUAAUUUUUUAACAUAGGAACUAGAAUUGAUUUUAUUUUUUUGCAAGUUUUAAACAACUUUAUAGAAAUCAGUUCUCGUUAUAUAGUAACGUAGAUUUGUUUCUCGUUAUAGAAAUCAUUUUAUUUAUUUCCAAGAGAUUACCUAUUUAGGAACGGUCCGGAAACUAAAAUCGUGACUUGUAAACUUAACGCGAGCUGAAAUCUUUUGAUCAAUCCUUUUUGUUCUUCAGCUUCUUUUCUUUCUUUUGUCUUUAGUUGCUUCAAACCCCGCAACAAAUUCUCUGUUUAUUGUUUGAAUUGAUUUAUCGUGGUUUAAAUCGAUUUUUUUUAGAUUAAUUCAAUUAAAAAACCCAACCCAUAUGAGCAGGUAUACAGCAGACGUACUUAGAGGAAUAAGAAACAUAAACAUGGAAUAAAUGAAGAAGAAGAAGAGGAUGGUGGAGAAGAAAUCCAGAAAAAAAAAUGAAUUGACACAGGUUGGGGCACAAGUCAAGACAGAAAAAAAAGUAAUGUGAAAUUUUAAUGCUUUAUUUGAUUUUCAAGCAACCCAUUUGAUACUUUUUUUUUUGUUUGCUUUACAAGGACAUGAACAAAAACUGGCGAGCUGAAGUUGAUCUUGGCAGUGUUCCUGAACAUCCCACUAAAAAAUUAGUUUGAGUGUCCCUUCCUAAGAAAAAACAUCUUAUUUUUUAUGUGAAUGGAUGCUUGCCCGUUUUAAGGAGACUAAUAGACAUAUUAAAUCUUUUUCUAACUUCUAUUCAAAAUAUUAACAUAUUAGUUUUAUCUAUUCUUGUUUACAUUUGCAGAUGUUAUAAUGAGACCUGCUGCUUCCGAGUUUAUUAACUUUUGUUUGGAUAACUAUGUGGUUGCUAUUUGGUCAUCAAAGAGAAGGUAAUGUGUGUAAUUAGACUUAUAGCGACGUUUCCAUGUUUUUUGGUUGUUCUGGUGUCCAGGGGGCCAAAUCUACUACCAUUUGUCCUUAUUGGAUAAUGUGGCCCUCUGACACUUCCCAUAAUCCAUUUAAUGAACUGAUCUUUUAAGGAUAUUUCACUUUUAAGGAUAUUUACAAAUAAACUUUAAGAACAAUGCAGGUUUAACACUUAAUCAACUCGAGAAGGAUAGGAAGGCACAAUUUUUCUUCGUUUGGGUAACUUUUAUAUUAUUGUGCAGUGGGUUGUAUAUUUUUUAUCUGUUUGGUUUUGUUUCAAGCAUCUAUAGAAUUUUCUGAUAUUUGAAGGAGUUAAUUCAAUUAUUCAGGACUAGAAGAACUGCAAAAAAAUCCAGAAUCCGAUGACGUAAAUGUUAAAGAUCUACAAGGAUUAUAACGAAGAAAAUACGUUGUUGGUGGAUGAUUCAGCAGAAAAAAUUAUUUAUAAUCCAAUAAGUAAAUAACUCAUCAUGAUAUUUGCUUUUACUUUUAAAUACAAUUGAGUUGGAUCUAAAUUCUUUUAUCGUUUUCAAUUAUGGUCACGUUUUAGGAACACAACUUUAUAUGUCCUAAACCUUUUCGAGGAUUAGGUAAAACUUCCAUUGUCAUGAAAUUCCUUCUUUAAAUAUUUCCUUAAAGAUUAUUUACUAAUUAUUGUAUUUGCGAUUCAUCACAGAAAAAAGUGACGCCAUUCGGGUCAAGUGUGUUACAAGUUAGUGCAACUUACUGUCAGUCAAGUCCUUUAUUUUAGGAGUCAAAAGUUAGUUCCUUGAUUUUUGCAAAUAAAGAGCAGGUGAAUUACUCUCCAUUUAGUUGAGAUAUUUUAGGAGACUUUUUAGUUUAAAUAGACCAUUAUUCUUGGUUAAUUCACUGCACUGUUCUUUUUAUUUCCUUGUACUCUCUUAAUUGAUUGAGCAAUAAAAAGCAUUCUUCUCUUCAUUUUUGAGGGUCCAUAUAUUUUGUCAUUUGGUAUCAGAGCCAGGUUGGUCACCAAGUGUUUGUUUUUAUUACUCAGCUAAGAUGAAUGGCGGGAGUACUUCUUCGGGCAUUAUUGUAGAAAAGCUUGUUGGUAACAAUUAUAAUUACUAGAGGUUGUGUAUGGAGGCUUUUCUACAAGGGUAGGAUUUGUGGGAUUUGUUUGAAGGUUAUGACACAACGAUCCCAACAGAUACUCCACAAAAUACUGAAUUACAACGAAAGUGGAAGAUCAAGUGCGACAAAGCUUUAUUUGCUUUGUGGACAUCGAUCAGCAAGGAAUACAUAGAUCAUGCUCCUGAUUUGAAGUCACCGAAACAAGUGUGAGAGUCUCUUCAACAGCUGUUUACUAAGAAAAAUAUAGCAAGAUUGCAAUUUCUUGAGAAUGAAUUAGGCUUGGUAACUCAAGGUAAUCUUUCUAUUGAAGAAUAUUUUUUGAAAGUUAAAAAUUUGUGUUCUGAAAUUUCAGAACUGGACGUGGAGGAGCCAGUGAGUGAUGCACGGUUGCGUCGCUAUCUUAUUCGUGGACUGCGAAAAGAUCUUAUGCCGUUUGUCUCUUCAAUACAAGGGUGGGAAAAUCAACCUUUAAUUUUUGAGUUAGAGAAUUUGCUCUCUAAUCAAGAAGCUUUGAUAAAGCAAAUGACAAACGUUAAGCUCUCUUCCAAGUCAGAGGAUGUGUUAUUCGUCAAGGAUCAAAGGAGGAAAAAUUUAUACUCGAAGUCUUCCUUAAGUGACAGAAACCAGUCCAAAAGCGAGGACCAGCCCAAAAGAUCUUUCAAAUCUUGUUACAGAGGUGGAAAACUUGGACAUAUCAAACGAGAUUGUCGAGUGAAAGUGGCGUGUGAUCGAUGUGGGAAAUCAGGUCAUAUUAAGGUGAAUUGUCAAGUCAAAAUGCAAGAGGAAGCAACAAAUGUUGUACUUGACACCAAUGAGUUUCAACAAUCAAAUUGGGAGCAAUGUUUAUCUAUUGAAGUCUUUGAUCAGCCAACAAAUGUGACUUCUCUUGUGCACCAAGAUGAUGCAUCAGUUGAUGCUAACGCUUUUAUCAACUAUGACGAAGAUUGGAUUGUUGAUUCCGGUUGCUCUCAUUAUGCUACCAGGAAUGAUAUUAUUUUAUCGGAUGUUCGCCCAUAUCACAUGAAAAAGGUUAUAGUAACCGCUGGUAAUACACUACAUCCUGUGACGGAAGAAAGUGAUUUGAAUGAUAGAGGUGUUUUUCUCAAGGAUGUUUAUUAUGUUCCUAGUUUAAAGAAAAACCUUGCUUCUGUCUUACAAAUAACAGAUUCAUGAAGGUAUGUUCUUUUUGGCCCCAAUGAUGUUCAAAUUCUUUCAAAUAUAAAAUAUAUUGCUGCUGAUGUUUUAUUUUGUGGAAGAAGGAAAGAAUCUUUGUAUGUUCUAUCUAUGAGUGAUGAAUAUGUUAAAAGGGCUGGUUAUAAUACAAGCUCAACGCUUUGGCAUUCUUGUUUGGGUCACGUGGGUUUUCAAUUGCUGCAGAAAAUAUAAAAAAAUCAACUUCUUAAUGGUGUUCCUGUGUUUAAAAACAUUUUUUAUGAUAAGAUUUGUCCAAGAUGUCAAUAUGGAAAAUCUCACUGCCUUCCUUUCUCCAGUUCAAAGAGUAAAGCAUCGACGAUGUUACAAUUGGUUUACUCCGAUCUUUUAGGACCAACAAGAACACCAAGUUACACUGGUCUUCAUUAUGUUAUGGUGAUCAUGGACGAUUUCUUUCGUUUCAGUUGGUUAUAUUUUCUGAAACAAAAAAGUGAGGUUUUUUCUAAGUUUGUUCUGUUCAAGCAUGAUGUAGAAAAAGAGUUUGGGCUGAGAAUCAAGGGCUUGCGCACGGAUAAUGGAGGGGAAUUUUUGUCAGAUGAAUUUAUAGAUUACUGUAAAGAGCAUGCAAUUCAACAUCAAAUGACUUGUCCAGAAACCCCGCAACAAAAUGGGGUUGCUGAGUGCAAGUUAGCUUAUCUUACAGCAACUUGCUUAUGUUGGUUACACGUAAAGAACCUUCCGAGAGAAAUAUGGGCAGCAGCCUUUCAAACAGCUUGUCAUAUCAUAAAUCAAUUACCUCCAUGGUCAGGGACAGAACCAUCACCUUUUGAGCGUUAAUACCAUCGUAAACUCAAUACCAAGAAAUGCAUUUUUGUUGGCUAUGAUGCCUAUGGGAAAGGUUGGAGAUGUAUGGAUCUGGAGACAAAGAAAGUCAUCAUUUUUCGCGAUGUAGUGUUCGACGAAGUCUCUUAUCAUAAAGAUGAUGCUAAUGGCAACGAAGGCACAACUAGUCUUCCACUUUUCCUUGAUGAUGUUUCAUCAAUUGAGAAAUGCACUCAAUCUAAGGAAAAUGUUGAAGCCACCACAAGUAUUCAGGAUGCCACACGAAAAAAUCCACCAAGACAGAAAAGGCCUCCAUCACAUUUGUCUGAUUAUGUGGUUGAGAUGAAUCAUUUUUCUGUUAUGUCUUGUUUUUUAUAGAAGAUUCAGGCGGAAGUGAGCCCAAAUUGUACAACGAAGCUAAAGGAGUUCCAGAAUGGGAAGAUGCGAUGGUAGAAAAGAUUUCAACACUUAACAAAAAUGACACGUGGGAACUUGUACCAAAGCCUGUUGAUGCUGACUUAAUUACUUGUAAGUGGGUUUACAAGUUGAAGAAAAAGACUAAUGGUACCAUUAAUAGAUUUAAAGCACGUCUUGUUGCUCGUGGAUUUUCUCAACAGUACAGUUGAGAUUAUGACGAGACUUUUAGUCCCGUUGUAAGAAUGACAACUGUAUGAGCAAUUAUCUCUCUAGCUGCAAGCAAAGGUUGGAAUUUGUGGCAACUAGAUGUGAAAAACGCUUUCCUUUACGAUGAGCUAGAUCACGAUAUUUUUAUCAACAACCGCAGGGAUUUGUAUCUAAGGAAUAUCCUAAUCAUGUGUGCAGACUUAAGAAAGCACUAUAUUGUCUCAAGCAAGCUCCUCGUGCUUGGUUUAGUAAGAUUGCUCAAUAUCUUGAUUUUUGUGGUUUUAAAUCUUCAAGUACUGAUCCAAGCUUAUUCGUUAAGAAAACAACUACUGCAUGUACUUUACUUUUACUUUAUGUGGAUGAUAUGAUUAUUACGGGUGAUGAUAGUUUCAAAUCAGCAGUCUUCAAGAUGCUUUGAUGGUUCGUUUUGAAAUGAAAAGUUUGGGUGAAGCUAGUUGUUUCCUUGGUUUAGAAAUUGAAAAAUGUGAUGGUUAUUUUGUCUCUCAAAAAGGACAACCUUGUUACAAAUGUUUCGCAUGGAGGGUUCAAAAGUAAAGUCGACUCCCAUGGAAUCUAAUCUCAAGUUAGCUAAAAAUGAAGGAAAACCUUUAGAAAAUGCAACGCUUUUUCGUCAACUUGUCGGUAGUUUAUUUUAUUUAACUAUCACAAGGCUUGAUAUCACAUUUUCUGUUAGAGUUAUUUCUCAGUUUAUGGACCAACCCUGUGAGGGUCAUUUAAUUGCAGCAAAGAGGAUUCUUCGUUACAUCAAGGGCACUCAAAAUUAUGGUUUAAUGUACGAGCAAUCUAAGACUUUUUUUCUUUGAGUGGCUUUGUAGAUGCAGAUUGGGCUGGUGAUGUGAAUGAUAGACAUUCUACAAGAGGUUUUUACUUUACAACGGGUUGGUUCCAUUGCGAUUUCAUGGUGUAGUAAGAAACAAACUACUGUGACACUUUCAAGUUGCGAAGCAGAAUAUGUAGCAGCUAUAAUGGCUACUCAAGAAUAUUUGUGGCUAAGGAUUCUCAUUCAAGAAAUGGAAAUUAUUUUCAAUUAUCCGAUUCAAAUUUAUUGUGAUAAUGAGAGUGCUAUAAAGCUUGUUGAAAAUCCUGUGUUCCAAGCUCAUUCGAAACGUAUUGAAACUCAAUAUCAUUUUGUUUGAGAGAAAGUGUUAUCUCAGGAUAUUGAGUUGCUACUGAUGAACAAGUUGCAGACAUUUUUACUAAGGCGCUAGCAAAGACUAAGUUUGAAGUUUUCCGUAGAGAUCUUGGCAUUAUUGACAAGAAGCUUGCACUAAGGGAGGCUGUUACAAGUUAGUACAACUUAUUAUCAGUCAAGUCCUUUAUUUUAAGAGUCAAAAGUUAGUUCCUUGAUUUGUGCAAAUAAAUUAGUUGAGAUAUUUUAGGAGACUUUUUAGUUUAAAUAGACCGUUAUUCUUGGUUAAUUCACUGCACUGUACUUUUUGUUUCCUUGUACUCUCUUAAUUGGUUGAGCAAUAAAAUUCAUUCUUCUCUCCAUUUUUGAGGGUCUAUAUAUUCUGUCAAAGUGACAUGUUGAGUAGUGGUAUUUAAUUUGUAUAAUCACACUUUCAACAAGAGGUUUGAGAGGAACAAAAUAUAUUUACACCGGAUUACGUAAGUAUUGAUAAGGGACAAAAUGUUCUACAUGCAUGGUUUAUCUUCUGAGACAUAUGUUUCUUCACGUUGAUCAUUAUAAAUCUUUUUUAAUCAUUUUUUACCAAUUGCUCUUGCUGAAAUUACUGUAAAUAUAGAUAAUAAAGGGUCUACAAUGAUGGAAUUGAAAUCAGUUUGUAAAUUUCUAAAGCGUAUAAAUUUCUAAACAUUCCAUUUUCCCAUUAGUCUCUGGAAAAUCUUGCAAGAUUUGCGCAACCUGAAAGAAUUAAUGUUUCAAGAGAUUCCAUUAUCUUAGAUUCAAAAGUUUAAGCCUCUUAAUCACUCUGAUUGAUGGAUGAACAUCUACUAAUCUAGUACAACCUUCCAUAACCAAACCUUCAAGAUAUGGGGCAAUCGUGACGUCGGAUGUCUUGAAACCUUUUAAGGUUGAUCAUUUUCAACUUAUACAUAGGCUAUUGUAACCAAUAAUAAAUUGAAGAGAAAAGAGAAAACAUAAGAAAACUCAUUUCUAUUGCAAUAAGCUAAACCAUAAAGACAGCAUGAAUUUAACUCUUACUUUAUUUCCCUUCCAUAGUUGUUCAAUGUGCAACAAGAUUGUCCGGUUAGAAGCUUCAAGACAAUGAUCUUAAAGGACAUUCUUUUCAAUCUAAAAUUCAUAGUUCAUUAGAAAGAUAUUUGAGAUUACUAUAGUUAGGAUCUAAACAAUCUCAACGUUUUCAUCUUUGAGAAGACAUUAACAUUCAAAUAUUAAUAUUAAGUACAAUAUAUUUAACAGAUUGGAUCAAUAUACCAUUGCUGAAAGUUUUGAAUUGGUACCAAGGCAGAGAAUGCUGGACUCAAUCCAAUGGAUAUCAUUUAUAAGUCAUAUGAAAAGCAUGCAUCUGGAAAUGCUAAUGUGGGAAUCAACUUGAGGGUAGCCAACUCUGAGGAUGAUGUUUGCAAGUGUUGGAGUUUGAAUCGAGUUAAACAAUAAAGAAUGGAUUCAAAGAAGCAAAAAGAACAGAGAACAAACUAUUUGUUGGUGUUUAUCAGCAGAAAAUAGGACAAAGAACAAAGCAAUAAGAUGUAUGAAAAAUUUACUUGCUCACAAAUGUGCAUAAAGAAUGAAAAAACUAAUUUUCAUUACAUGUCUUUUAUAGACAAUCAUUUUACCAAACACAACUAACACCACUAAUCAGCUAAACAUUGCUUGUACACUAGAACAAGCAAACAAAACACAUCAAACUUGUUCAUUUUCAAGUAGACAAAAUUACAUUGCAACUAAAACUGAAAACUUGUUAAUGUCAUAUGCACAAGAGCUGCAACAUGCAAAUAGACUGUAUGCACUCCAACAAAAACAUAACAGCAGAAUGGUUGGCUUACAAGUAGAAGCAUGCUUGUCUUGAUAUUCAAAAAUAUAUAAUAUUAACUUACAAGAAUCUUUGUUGAUAUUUAGGUUUCAACAGUGAAAUCCAUUUACUCAAAAUGUUAUGUAACUUUUCUUCUUUUUACCCUCACUGCCACACUGUCUUGUUCAUCUCCCAUUUUGAGCUUCAUGGUUUCUGAUUUUUAUAAGGGUAAAUUUGGUCAGCAAGCAUUUUGGGGAGCCUGCAAUAGUUAAUAAAUAAACAUGAAAAAAUUUAAAAAAAAAGGUUAAAGAAGGUUGAAUUUUUACCAGUAUUUGGUGCAUACCCGUUACCUUCAAUAAGUUUUAGCAUCCCAUUUUCGGAAACCCCAAUUUAUUCCACAAUCCCGUUGUUAUUGGAAUCAUCUUCAUCUUGUAAUGUAUUAAAAUGAGUAUCUAAACACGAAACCUUCUUAUCCAACUCCUCGAAAGACUUGGAUUCAGCUUUGGCUUUCUCAUUUUCAAGCUUGCAAUUCUUGCUUCUCAAAUCCAUAAUUUUGUGUCCUUUCUCAUACAUACUCUUCACUUCCUCCGAAAAUCUAUUACACCUUUCCUUAGCACAUUUUCCUCUUCCCCUCAAAACCAUAUUUUCUUCCAGCAACUUUGAAACCUCUCCCCUCGUAUCCACUAAUUCUUUCUUGCAUUUCUUCAGAUCGUCUACAAAACCCUUUUUUUCCAGCCUCUCUUCUUUGAAUUUGUAGGAAAAUGAAUCUUUUUUUGCCUAUUUUAGUGACUGAAUUUCCAACUUUGAUUUCUACUCUUUCGCCAAUAAUUCACUUUCUAUCAUGGCAAAAUCAUUGGAAAGAAAAGUGGAUUUUACAAGAGAAAUCAUUUUAGGAAUGCUCCAAGUGCUGAUAUUCCCAAUUUUGUUGUCACUCAAAUUUGUCGAAUUAACAAUCUAAUAUUGCAUGCAAAACCAUUUUCGACCACUUUUAUUAUUGAUUCCACAUUUUCUCGAAUUGACAUAAGUUAUCGAGAUCUCUUAUUUUCACUAUUUUAAUCUUCAGUUUCAGGUACCUGAAUCUCUUCUGGAGUUUUACUUAUUAGUUAUGCCUUGGGCUUCUUCUAGAGCACCUGUCUUCACUAUAUGACCAUCUAGAUUUAUUAUUUUUUUAUGAGAAUUUUUAUAAUUGGAAUUUUAAUGAGUUAUCUUUAUUAAACUUCUGGUUCAAAUUACUUCCCCCUUUAACUCAUUACAAGUUAUUAUUUCUCUCCCUCUAAUGUCGAAAAUACUAUCGAAUCAAAAUAGUAAUCACAGAUCUUGUCAUAAUUGAAUCUCCAAUACAUUUAAAACAUAUAAUAAUACAAGAAGUCUCGUAAUUAAUGUAUAUUCUCAAUUGUCCUUGAGUAUUCACUUAUCUUUGUUGUGGUAGAGCAAUUAGAACAUUUAAGCACAUACAAAAAUUCAAAGAUGAGAAAUAUUUAGCUCUUGACCAAAAAUCAAUUAUAAUAGGGAGUAUUUAUAACUUAUUGACUUGAUGCGUACAACACGUAAAUCAACAUAAUCUCAUGUUGAAAUAGGAAGUUUAGUUCUCAUAAGUAAUGGUUUAAAUAUUAAUCAGAGGUGUUCAAUCAAUAGUUUCUCUAAACUAUUAUGCACAUAAAUAAGAAACUUUUACGAAAGUUUUUCAAACUCAAUCAAUAAAAGACUGAGAUACAAACUCAUUAGUUUUAGCAAUAUGACUUAUCUUAAUUGCAUAAUCUAAAAUUAAAUAUUCAAAUAAGCAAUCUUGCAAAUGACAGGCUGCAAGUUGAUAACAUAUAUAUGAUUAUUUUGUAGAUGCAUCAACAAAAAUCAUAUAAUAUCAAAAUCAUCCACCUUGUAGAUGAAUGGACCCAUAUUCAUUUCAGAAAUGCAAGACAUUAAAUCUCAACUUUAGCUAGUGAGUUUCCCAUAAUAAAUUUUCAUUGAGAACAAGCAACAAAUGAGAAUUAAACUAAAGAAUCUUAUGGUUCUUUAGUAAUGUCCAUAUGAAUUCUCAAUUAAUUUUUGCAUCAUAUAUGAUCCAGGAUGGUCUAAUUGGUCACACCAAGUAGUAAAUGCAUUUGUAUAAGUAAACUUCUAGUUUACUUUAACAUACAUUUCAAUUGUACUAAUAAUGUCAAUAUAAAUUAUGACAAAUUGAUAAUCUUACUGUCAUUCCUUUUACUUUGUAUCCACAUAUAAGUACUAUUGUGACAUUUACUACUAGAAAUGUCUAAACCAAUGUGAAGUUUAUAAUGUCACUAAGUCAAAAUAAAUAUAAUUUCCAAACAAUUAUAUGCAAUAUUCGUUUCAGAGAAUAUAUCAAAAUCUUCAGGUAUCCAAAAAAAAUGAUUAUAAAAUUUAUUAUAUUUAUUGCAAACAUUCACUUCAAGGAAUGUGCAAAAGGUAAUUCAGACAAUAAUGUAAGUAUAUAUUGUAUUUCUUACCAAUAAGAUUAUAUAGAUAUCCUCUACUUCAAGGAAUGAUAAAUUAAUAUAAAUCAUUGAAUAUUAUGUACUAAGAAUAAACAUUUGGCAAUAUUUUGAAUCACCCAUAUUCUUCUUAUCUAUUUGUCAAUAAUGACAAUAAGUUAAAAUUUCGUAAUUGUUAUGAAUUGCUACAUUCACUUCAGGGAAUGAAGCAAAACUGGUGAAACAAAUAACUUGUUAUAAAAUAUCCCAAAAUAUCCUUCCUCAAAGAAUAUUAACAAAAACAAAAUAUCUGGGUAUACGCCACACAUGUGGUCAAUUAUCUUUCAUAUCACAUUGAUAACAUAGAUUAUAUUUACUCUUUGAAGAGUUAUAUUGAGAACUCUCAUUAUUCUCUUAUUUAUUACUAUGUUCCCACUUUUAGUGGUCCAUGAUUAUACAUUUUAUUUUCUUUAUGUUUGCAUUCACUUUGGGGAAUACAGCAAAUCUAGUAGGAUAGACUUCCAAAUGUUUCUAUUUGAUUCUUUAUUUCAUAAUCACUAUCGCAAACAUUCGUGGAUUUCAAAUCAAAAUCUAUCUUUUUAUGUUGUCAUGGUUAGUCUCCAAUUAUAAUAAACAUGAUAUAAUAAAUAAAUCAUAGUAAAAUAUGUCUGAAGAUCUUUAACAUCAUCGCCAUCACACAUGUAAGGAUUAUAUAAAUUUUUUUGCAUAAUGAUUUUGCAUAAUGAUUACCCAUAGUACACAGGCCUCAAUUGAAGACUAAAAUUGCAAUAGCUCUAGAAGGCAAUCGACAACAACUUGAGAAAUAAAUUUGGAGUGAUCGUAUUAUAAAAUAAAAGAGAAUCAUGCUAAUAAUAUGUUAUAAAAUAAAAAGGAUAAAAAGUGAAGAACAAAGAGAAUGAGAGAGCAAAAAAAAAAGAGCGUAUUUUAUUGAUUAAUCAGAAUUAUUUACAAUGCUUCUCCAAAGUCUAUAUUUAUGGACAUAAGAAGUAUAAAUGAAAUAGAGCUCUAAUUCUAAUGACUAUUAGAAUUUAAAGUAUAUUAAAACUUAUUUAGAUCUUGAUGGACAUCCAUUUAAUAAUAAAAUAUUCAUAACAAUUUUUUUAACCUAUUUUGUUUCUUGACAUAUUUUUUCGUUAUAAGAAAAUAAAAUUUUAGAAUAAUUUUUAUUUCUACAAUUUAGCUUUUGAAAAAUAAUUUAAUUGAAUUGAAAAUUUUAAUAGAGUUCAAAAUAGAAAAUUUUGUGAAAUAUUUUGUAUUUUUUUGACUAAAAAAUUAUAUCAGAGUCAAUUUUACAAGCCUUUGUACUUUAUAUUAGUUCAAUUCAAAUUAUUUCAAUCUUUAAUGUACUUUAUAUUAGUUUAAUUCUACUUUAUAAUUUGUUAACGCAUUUAUUUGUUAUUUUACUAUAAUCACACUGUACUGUAAUUGUAAACUAAAACAAAAUUUAUAAUUUAUAUUGUUUUUUAAUAUUAGUUUUACAUCCUCACUCAUCAAGAAUUAGUCACUAAACUUGGGUUAUAAGUAUUUGAUAUUGAAACUAUGAAGAUGAAUUUUUUAGACGUAAUGAUUUAUUUGACCCUUUAAAUUUACAAAAAAAAAAGAAGAAGAAGUCAUUUUAACUUUCCCUUUAAGUUUUUGCCUCCUUUAGCUCUUAAAUUUACAUUUUUUUUAUUAAAUCACCCCCAAAAAUGGAUAAAAAAAGUUAGCGUAUAUUAACUUUGUUGACGUGGCAUAGAUGUGGAUUGCCAUGUGAAUGGUACCUCAACAAUUAAUUUUUAAAAAAAUUUAACCAUAAAAAGUCAACAAUUCAAACCUAAAUUGAUCAAAACCUGUAAUAUUUUAAACUUAAAAUGAUUUUAAUUAAAAUGAAUUUGAACUUAAAAUAAACAGAUGGAAGAACCCAAAACCUCAAAGUGAAUUGAAUUUAAAACUAUUCAACUCGAAUACAAAUGUACUUAAACUAAAAUAUCCUAAAAUGUUAAAACUCGAAUUGAUUAAUCCAAAUCACCCGACCGCUCAAUUGAAUGAUCUAAUUAUAGGUAAUAAUUGAAGAUUGUUUAAUUACUAUUUGUUUUACGAUUUUUGUUAAGUUAAUAUAUAUAUAGGGUGAAGCUAGAAAAAAAUUUUAGGGUAGUCGAAAUUUUGCAAUAGUAAAAGUAUAUUUUCAUAAUUUUAAUAAUCUAUAUCUUUAUAAUUUUUAAAAGAUUAAAUCAAAUUUUUAUUAUUUUUAGGAGACCAACGUACAAUUUUACUUUUAUUAAUUUAAAAUUUUAAAAAUAUUAAAAGACCUAAAUAGAAAAUUUUCUAUUUUAGGGAAAGAUUUUCCCCAUAUAUAUUUAUAUGAUCCAACAUCAUAUGUAUAAACUAAAGAUUAUUAUUUAGUAUACUAAUAUUGAAAAUAUUUAAAUACAAAUGAAGUUAGGAAACUAUUAUUUGUCUUAUUUUUAAAUAUUAAUUAAAAAUUAAUAUCAAUUCGUGGAAUUUCAAACCUCUACCCGUAAUAUACCACAUAAUUAUACCUAUAAAACAAAUGAAUGCACCGUUGAAAUUUCUUUAUGGAAGACCUAAGAAAUAUUAAAGUCUACAAAAAUAAAGCAAAAUAUAUUCAUUUUCAACAUUUGGUUUUGAUAUUUAAUUUCCUUGUCUUAUACUUUACUCUUCUUUUCCCCAUGUUUUAAAUGUUUAUUACAUAAAAUAUGCAUAAUGAUUUAUUUUAUCCUUUAAUUUUAUAAAAAAAAUUAAUUUUUAUUAUUUUAAACUUAUGUUGUUUGUCAAAUCGUUUUAAAUAAUGUAUAUAAAACGCGGUGUAUUUUUCUUGGUUUUGUAUUCGUUCUAUGGAAAUUAUUCGGCUUAUGCUCUUUUUGGAUAAAUAGUAAAAUUAAAUUUGGUGAAAUUAAAAGUAAUAAUGUUAGUGAGAUUAGUUAAUAUAUAGUAAGAUUAAAACUAAUAUAAAACAAAUUAUUAAGAAUUAAAUUAUUAAGUCUAUGUUUAUAUUAAAAAUAAAUAAUUAAAUAUGUUCAAAUUGUGUUUAAGUUAGAUAAUAAUUUUAUUAGUAAAUAAUUAAAAUUUUACAAAAAAAAAAUUAUCAUAUAAAUAUAAUUAAUUAUAAAAAAAAAUCAGAAAAUAUCAACUCUAUUGGUGUGAUGAAAUCUAAAUGCAGUGAUAUAGUUUAGUUGUUAUUACAUGGGGAAGAUAUUUUUUUUCUUCUUAUCUUGCAUUUUGCUUGAUUUUUUUUAUGUUGUUUCUUGUAACGCCCCAAAAUUUGAAUGUCUGACUGUUGAAUUCUGUCGUAAUUAAGUCUCUAUAUUUGUGGUUAUGUACUCUGUUUAUGUGUUUGAGGUUGGGAGUUUGAGUCACGUCUUUAGAAGUUUUGAUAGUUCAAUUUUAAUUAAUCUAUGCUAUUGAGUCGUUGACUUGAAGCUAAUUCUGUGUAAAUCUGUGUUAAGUAUGAGCCUGCUAGUUUAUUGGCUAAACAUUUGUCUACCCUUUGAUCUCGUGUUUGAGUCUUUGCAAAAGUGAAGGGAGGAUGAAUUUUUACAGCUUUGCAGAAUUAUUUUUGGUUUUCUAUUUCUUUUAAAGUUAAUUAUUUAGUUUUAGUUUUUCUUUCUUUUUCCUUUUUCUUUUUAUCGUUCUUUCUCUUCCAUUCUUUUUCUUCAUUUCUUUUUCCUUUUCUUCUCUUUCCUUGGGUUGCUGUUAUAGUUUCGGUGUGUGUAACACCCCAAACCCGUCUCUAUUGUUGGAUUUGGGUAACAGAACAUUACUGUACAAUUGGAAAGCAUUUAAUAUCAUAACAUUUAAUAAAUUAAAUAUAUCAUAAAUCAUUCAAUCACAUGCAUUCUGUCCCUAAAUCGAGCCUUCGAGGUCCUAAAAAUAGCUUAGAAGCAAUUCGGGACUAAUUUGAAACAAAACAGGAGUUUUAAGAAAAAGAUGCAAAAAUUGAAAAAAAAGGUCACACGGUCGUGUGGCCAGGCCAUGUGACAUAGCCUAGGCUUUGUAACAUUCAAACAAGGGACACAUGGCCUUGUCCCAGCCUGUGUCCACACUUGUGUAACUCACUGAGUAGGGUCACACGGUCGUGUCGCAGGCCAGGUCGUGUGCUAGGCCAUAUAACUCAUUGACUUGAAACACUAAGACAUUCCAAAUGAUACACGGUCGUGUAAACCCAAAAUUUACCUAAAAUUAAGCCAUUUCAAGUUUAAAUCAUACCAAACCAUGCAAAUAAUUUAAGCACACAUUCAAGGGGUUCAAACAUCAUUCAAACAUACAUAAACAUACCAUUUCAAACAUCCUAAAUCACCUAACCAAUAUGCCAUUCAAAGGCACCACAAUUGUGUCAAAUACUAAAGAUUAAACCAAAGCAAUUUAACCAAAUCUCAAUUAUACAACCUAGUGCAUUUAAGCACCACAUGUUAACACAAUGACAAAUUCCAAGCCAUCACAAACAUACCAAAAGGGUAAUAUAUACAAGCAUUUACAAGUGAGCAAAAUGACAUAACUUAGUAAAGCAUUGAAGUUCAUCAAACUAAACUUAACUUCCAUAAGCUUAAACAUACAAACACAUUCAUUACACAUCCAUGAACUAUCAAUACAAAAGACCUAUACAUGCCAUUAUUAACCUUGGACAAAAUGCUCAAAAUCUACCGAAAUUAUUGCUGGAUAGUGUGCUAGGUCUCUAACGGGCUUCCAACCGAUCGAGCUUCUGAUUAUCUAUAAAACAAAAGAAAGUAACUAUGUAAACAACAUGUGCUUAGUAAGCUCGUAUAAACUUAAAACAUAACUUACCGUUUCAUUAAUAUAAUUCAUAGAUUAUGCAUAAUUCAUUAUCAAUACCAUAAGCUUAGUUUAAGCUUAUACAACAUCAUCAACUCACAAGUUAGUACAGUCGUUUAUGAUACAAAUGAAUUCAAUCAUAAGAUAAGUAAAUUUACAUAUAUAAAUACAUCAUUUAGCUUAUAAAUCUUUUCAUAGGGUCAUGAUUCAAUCCAUUUGCAUACUUACCAUUUCAUUCAUUUUUCUUACUCGUUGAACCAUCUAGAAUUACAUCGAAUACUCGGGAAAGCUCACACAUAGUGUGCCUUUACAUAUAACAGUAUCAUUCCUUUUACAUCAAUGCUCACGUGAGCUGUGAAAUGGGCUUGCUUACACAAGCUGUAGGUCGGAAUGUAAGCUACACGAUGCUUCUCACACGAGUUGUGGAGAAUCUGCAACAAAUGCAUGACCUCAUCCAUUGGUAGGAAAUUUAAGACCAACACCCGAAACAUAAAAUCCCUAAUGACAUGUCAUUUGUAUCCUAAGAAUUCUUGAGGUUCAACGGGAACUCGUUAUCCGUCAAUUCAUCAUAACAUGGAUACAUUUAUAUAUAGAUUUAUUUAUAUUAAAACAACAUAAAAAAUAGUCAAUUUAAUUAACAUUAAAAUGAUCAUAAUCCAUACAAACUUACCUCAAUAACUACGGCGUAGAGGUAGAUUCGAACACUAAUCUGAAGCUUUAGUUUUUCCUUGAUUUAAAUCCAAAUGUGGUUUAUCUUGAUCCAAAUAAAUAAUUUCAAUCAAUUAAGUACUUCUAGUAUUCAAUUUAAUCCAUAGUUCAUAUUUAUGCAAAAUUAUAAAAUUUCCCCUAACAUUUUAAGUUUUCACAAUUUAGUCCUUAAGCUCAUAACUUAAAUAUAACUCAUUUUAGCUUAAAUCCAACUUAACGAAUGUUAAAAGGGACCUUGAAACAAUCCAUAAUUACCAAAAUUUCACAAAAAAACCCAUGGAUUUAUACUUUUAACAAUUUAAUCCCUAUUUCCAAAAUUCAACAAAAAUCACUCAACAAAACAUGUUUAUUUUACAACCAAUAUUCAUAAUCUAUCAAAUAACAUCAAAACACAUUAAAAAACAUCCAUGGAAAGUCCCUUAACCUUUAAUUUCUUUUGCAAAUUAACCCCUGGGCUAGCUAGAUUAAGCUAAAACGAACUCAAAACAUAAAAAUCAUUAAGAAUGAGGCUUAAAAUCAUACCAUGCAAUGAACUAACCCUAGUCGAAACUUCAAGCUUCUCAUCCCAUGGAAUUUCGAUUAAAAAAAUGAUAUAAGGAAGGAGAUGAUAGUAUUUUGAUAUUAGUUUUUUUAUUUAACUAAUUACCAAUUUACCCUUACUAAUUUAACUUAAAAAUUAACUAAAUCAUGUCCAUAUUUGUCCACUAACAUUAAGGAUGGUAUAAUUACUAUUUAUGUCCUUUAGAUUUCCUUUCCAUAGCCAUUUAGCCCUUUUAAACUAAUAGAACUCAUGUAACUCCCCAAAAUAGAACUCAUGUAACUCCCCAAAACUUUUAUUUUUAAUUCUGUGAAAUCUUGACACAAAUGUGUGUCUACUUUAGUGGUUAAGUGUUUUGAAUGUAUGUGAGAGGUUCUAAGUUCAAGCCCCAACUUUGGAAACUUUUUGUUAUUUUUAGAAUUAAGCCUUACCUUUGGUGAGUAGGUUUAUUUUUAAUUUUUGCUAUUGGAUAUCAGAAUGGGCUUGUUAGUCUGGUGGUUAGGUGGAGUGUGGAUUUGUUGGAGGUCCUGUGUUUGAAUCCUUGUGUUGGCAAGGUUAAUGUUUUUGCUCAACUUUGUGUCAGUAUUUUGGUAGAGUUAGGAUUCUGUGGGAGUUAUGAGUAGUGGGGGAUUGUAAGGAGUAAAUUAAGGGAUUGUAGAGAUUUUUGGGGAUUAUUUUCCUCUGUUCAAAUUUUCUCUUUCAUUUGAAGAAGAAUCUAACGUCAAACUUUUUGGCUAUUUUUCUUUUUCUUUUCUGACGUGAACCUUUCCUGUGCCUUUCUCUUUCUUCGUGUUGUUCUCGUGUUUUGGUGCUUGUCGUGGGAUUUAGGUAAGAGGGUCACUUUAGUUUUGAUUUUCGGUAACUGUUAGAUUUAUCAUCCUUUGUAAUGUGAUUUUGGCACGGUUAAAGGUUUGAUUCCUACAAUAUUCUGGUGUAAGUGAAGGUGGUGGAGAAAGAAACAUGUUUUUGGUGAAUUAACCGUGUUAUUAUCUGUGCUAGUCGUUGGUAGGUUGCUUGCACUAUUUCGGGAUUUAUUGUGACUCAUAAAUUAGUGGAUUGGUGACCAAUGGAUUUCUGUUUCUUAGGUUUCGGAAGGCUCGUGGUUGUUGUAGUGUCUUAAACAAACUAGGUGUGUACUUGAAACACAGAAAAACGAGAUUUAAUGAAAGCCGAAAAACCCCCAUUGUUGAAGCCACACGGGCGUGUUGUUGCCCUUGUGGUAGGUCGUGUGCGACAACACGGCCGUGUGGUCGACGAAGAUAUGGCCGUGCAUAAUGCAGAACCAUGUAGUGGCUGUAGUGUGGCUGUGUGGGCCACACGGGAUAAACCGUACUGGACGUGUGGGCUACACGGGCAUGUGGGUCUACACGAGUAGUCCACAUGGGCGUGUGGGUUUCUGGACCAGGCCGUAUAAUCCACACGGGCAAGGGCGAUCUGGACGUGUGGGCCCACACGAGCAAGCCACAUGGGCAUGUGGGCCAAUUAUAUUGAAAUUUUCCAUAGGGUCACACGAGUCAUCCUAAUCAACUAUGGACUUACCUUAGGGUCGAAAAAGGCUUACUAAACCCUAAAUCUUUGUGUUCUGUUAGACUAUUGUACUGUUAUGAGCAUGCCUGUAUCUGAUAUCUGUUAUCUGUUAGGAAAAGCAUGAUUUAUUAGUUAAAUCUAUAUGCAUGUCUGUUAAUGUGAUUGGGGCGGGAUGAUAUAUAUAUUAGAGGAAGUGUUCUGAGAGGCGUUUACGCCUAUUAUCUGGCAACUCAGGUGCAUUAUAUUUGAUACAUGCCACGUUCGACACAUCAUGGUGUGUAGGGCUGGGUGGGUGUUUUAAACCCCACAUGGUGUGUAGGGAUGGUCGGAGAUGGUGUGUAGAGGCCGGGGUAGGAUCCUAAUUUGUGUAUCUGACUGCAUAUUUGUAUCUGUAUCUGUAUCUGAGAUGGGCUAAAUCCCAAAUCUGCAUCUGAAUCUGUAAUAGGCUUAGGCCCAAGACUAUAUCUGACUGAUAUAUGUUAUUCUGUAUGCAUGCCUGCAUAAUUCUGUGGGGUUAUACACUGAGUUUACGUAAACUCACCCUUUCUGCUAUCUAUUCUGUACAGGUAAUCCACAAAGUUAGGUGGAUCUGUCCAACGGAGCCUCUCAGUGACCACAUGAUCGAACUGGUUAUGAUUAUGAUUUAAUUUUUAUGUUCUUGUCUAAUCUGGGUUUUAUUUUAUUUAAUUCAGACUUUAUGGACUGUUUUGUUUUAAAUUCAGGAUAGACAGAAAUUCUAUGAUUUUAAAUUUGCUAAACGUGUUAUAACUCAAAUUUUACCAAAAACAAAGGUUUUACCAAUAUUUAAUUGUUUUCUAAACAUGAACGAUUUUACUCAAAAUGAGCUUUCGCUAAAAUGAUAUAUUUUAAGACAAGUGGACUAGUUGAAAACAUGUUUUGAAUUUAACGAAAGUAUUAAAGGGUUUAUGAGUUUUGUGGUUUUUAUCAAGUUAAAAUUUUACAAAAUCCCUUCCAUAUGGCAUCGCCAGAUUAAGCCAUAACGUCUAGGUCGGGUUUAAGGUGUUACAACUCAACUUUUACACUUUUUAUGAUUUAGUCCUUUCACCUAAUUAACCAUUUAAACAUCAAAAUUUCUUAACAAAAUUUUAAUUCAACCUUAAUAUAAUCUUGUAGACAUUCAAUAAAUAAUAAAAUAAUAAUUCACUAGUCGGAAUUGUGGUCUCAAAACCACUAUUUUCGACACCACUAAAAAUAGCUUGUUGUAGUAUGUGUGAUCGGGUAAGUAUGCACUUCACUAUUGCCGAUUGAAAAGUUAAUUGUGUGAUUUUUUUUAUUUGUAGAACUUCUGUUAAGUGGUUGUUUCGUUCGUUUCUAUUAGAUUUGUUUCAACUCGAUUUGUUUAAACCUUCUUUUAAGGGACCGUUUGGUUUUCUUUUUAGGCGAGGAUAUCGAAAGCAAUGAUCCUCAGUGCAAUAACUCGAGUAAUUACUGUUGAUUUUGUUGGUAAGUCUGGAUUCGUUGAAGGUUUUGUGUCAAAACUUUCGACAUAGUUUUUCGGCGCGUGAUUGGGUGUUGUUGUCAAUUAAAUUGUUUAAUUGUGUUAUUGAAUGGUCGUUUUAGGGUUCGGGAGUCUUCUACGUUGCCUCAUGCUUCAAAACUGCUUUAGGUGCUUACCAAAAACCCGAGUUUUUGUGAUUUUCGGAUGCCGAAAAAUGAAAAGUGUCGUGAGAAUGAGAGAAAGAACGUGAGGGAAAGAAAGAAAGUGGGGGAAAACGUGGAAACAAGUUUUGGAAUAUAUAUAUAUUAAUUUAAAACUUAAUUAACAAAUAAAUAAAAAUAAGGAAUUAAUAAUUUAGUUAAUAUCUAACAAAACCAAUCAAAUUUAUUUAUUAUUACUAUUAGAAUAGAUUUCAAAACAAAAUAGUCAAUAUAUAACUUGUCAAAACCCCUUCCAAAAUUUAACUACCAAAAAUACAAAAAAAAAAAAAACAAUUCCUACAUUGUAUACACAUGGACUCGAACCCGAGACCAAAGAUAAGUUUCUAAAAAGUUAGUCACUGAACCAAUAAACUCAUUUUUCUUUUAAAGCACAAAAAUGUACUUAACAACACCACUAAACCACUGGUCCAACCAACUAACCUAAAUAAUUCUAAUCCCAAUUUUGGGGAUUACACAUGUUGAAUUGCAGUGGUCAAUAGAUAGACUAUCAUGGCCAAUAAAUGACGUACCAUAAAAUAUUUUUAGGCUGUAUUCUUUUGACUUAAAAGCUUAAUUGAAGCUAAAAGUAGAAAUAUUGCAAUAAUUUUAACAUGUUAUCGAUAAAUAUAAUAUUUUUUUGGAAAUAUAAUAUUUUUUUGGAAAUAUAAAAUAUUUUACUAUUAAAUUUCAAAAAGAUAAUAUAUAUAACUCUUCAAGGAUAAUUUUAUUGUUAAUUUCCGAGAAGUUUUUGCAGUCAAGAAGUUGUUUUCACUAAAUUCAGGAGACUAAAGUAAAUUGACAUUUUUCUUUCUAUUAUUAUUAUUUAAUGGGAGGAGACUUUUUCUUUUAUAUUUUGUAUUUUAUUUUUUUAACAAUUUUCAAAUUUAAGUAAUAUAUAUAUAUACGGGAAAUUCUAUCAUAUGUAUAUACAUGUAGAAAUCAUAAAUUUAGAACACAAAUGUGUGACUAAAAAUAACAUACAAUAGAUAAUGAAACUUGCGGUUUGAAACUAAUUAAUAAUAACACAUGAAAUAUGUACGUUAUUAAGAUAAGAAAAUUAAAUUAAAUUGUUUAUCCUGUUGUUGUCAUCAACUUGAGUCCUUGUCAAGUUAACUUGUUACACAAAUUUAUCUACACUAUUUUUUAACUUCUUGACUAAGUUGAUGUCACAAGUCAACUGGGCACCAACUUGGUUAGGAAAUUAUGAGAAUACCCUUUUUUUUAUUAAAAAUAAUAAUAUUAUUCGAGGGUAUUUUAGUCUUUUAACUUUAAAAAACCAAUAAAAAUAAAUAUGGUAGGAUUCGAGCCCACAUCAAUUGUAUUUAUAAAACUUUUAAUUUACCACUCAACUAAAGCUUUAUUUUAAUAUUUUAUACACUUUAGUUUUAUUAUACACACCCUAUUACCUCUAUAAGUUGUAUAUCUAUACUUAUUAUUAUUUAAACUCCAGACUGAGUUGGUGUCACCCUCAAUCGGUCACCAACUCGGUUAAAAAAUUACGAGAAUGCCUUUCCAUAAUUAAAAUAAGUAAUAUUAUUUGAGGGUAUUUUAGCUUUGUCAGUUAAAAACCAAUAAAAAUAUAUAUAUUAUGGGAUUUGAACUCACACCAAUUGCAUUAGUAAAACCUUUAAUUUACCACUCAACUAAAGCUUUAUUUUAAUAUUUGUUAUACAUUUUACUUUACUACGAAUUUAGAACACAUAUAUGUUUAAAAUAUUGGUUAUAAAAUGACAAAAUAUUCCUAAUAGUUAAUUAUUGGUUACAAAAUGAAAAAAAAAACACCAUAUAUUUAUGGUUGUAUAAAUUUAUAAUUUAUUAAAUAUUUUUCAAAAAAUCUAUUAACUGUUAUCUAUUUAUAAUUUAAAAAUAUUUGUAUUAAAUAUAUAAAAUAUCUAUAUAGUUGUAUAAUAUAAUUUAUAUUAAAUAUAUAAAAUAAUUUACUCCUUAAAAUUAAUAAAUUAAUAAAAAUAUAUUUUUUUAUAUUUUAUAAUUAAAUUAAAAUAAAAUAUUUUUAAAAAUCAUUUGAUUUGGUUGGGUCGACUCAAGGACAAAAAGGGACAAGCUAGGCCGACUUGGUCGAUGGAUGACACAACCUAUGAAUAGUUGUAAUACUUGUUAUAUGAGGCUGCUUGGUGAGGAUAAAAGUGGGAAAAAAAAUUGAAGUUGAGUAAAAGAGAACAGAUAUUUAAAACAUACAUUUACAUAGGUAAAAGAAAUCACCCAACUUAAGUAAAAAUGUUAAAAUGAUCUUAUUAUUUAUCAACGCUACCAAAUGCUUUAUUAUUUGAAACUCAUGUCAUGGUUACACAAUAAAUCAACUAUCACAAUUAAAAAAAAGUGAUUUAUUAUUUUAAGAAUCAUCCCAUCUCAAUUGAAAACGUAAAUAACUUCUUAAGAAUAAAUCAAGCUCUGCUUUCAUGUUGCUCUUCUAUUGUUUUUUCUUUUGAGAGAACAUAUAUUCUUAUUUUUGUGCAUCUGAUACAAGAUCCCCCUUCACCUAUGGAGUAUUCUUCUUCUUGAUUACGAUUCUCUAAUCCAAUAUUUUUUUUUUCAUUCAAUGCAGUAAGGGAGUCCAUUUCUAGUUUCAAGCAAACCAAAGUUGACUUUAUUUUUCAAAAUCUUACUUUUAAAGUAAAUUAUUUUCUCAUUUAUUAAAAUUUUAAAUGUAGACACUCAAUUUUGCCCGGCCCAUUUCAGUAUUUAAAAUAAUAAACCUCCAAAAACUAAAAAUAAAACAAAGUCCAAGUCCAGUACAAAAUUAUAAACAUAUAAUUUGGCCCAAUUGGAAUGACCCAUUACUUGAAAAGAUUUAAGGUCCAUCUAUAAGUUUGACUCAUAUGGAAAUAUAAUCUUUAAGGAUAUGCAAUCUUAGAUAUGAUAUGCAAUCUUAGAUAUGAUACAAUCUUAGAUAUGAUAUGCAAUCUUAGAUAUGAUAUGCAAUCUUGAAGAUAUGAUCUUGUAAUCUUGGAGAUUUAAUUUGUAGAUAUCCUUUAAUCUUAACCGUUGAUGUAAUUGAUCUGUACAGUUGGAUUUGGGGAGGCUCAACUAUAAAUAGAGGCAUCUCCCUUCAUUGUAAAUCACUUGAGUUUUGGGAAGUAAUAAGAAUUCUUGAGAGCAUUCACUCAAAUUUCUCUCCCUCUUGCGUUCUUACUCUCUGUGGUUUGUUCUUAUUUUAUUCUUCGUCUAUCUUAGUUUUUCAACCUAUUUUUUUUAAUUUCUUCAUUUUUCAAAUAUGUAUAUUUAUUCCUAUCUUUUAUACAUUUGAUUAUGUAUUUUAUAUAUUAUAAUAUUUAACCUUUUUAUAUAGUUUAUUUUCAAAUAUAUCUUUUCUAUGCAUGUAUAUAUAUUAUAUUAUCAUUUCAUAUAUUUUGAACUAUUGCAUUAUAUUUUUAUAAUUUGUAAAUGUUCUAUUUAUUCAUUUUUUAGUGUAUGUCAUUUAUCUUAUUUGUGCUUAGUUUCAUUUUUUUAUAUGCUAUGUUUAAUUAUUUCUUUUAUGUGCUAUUUUAUGAUAUAUAUUAUUGUAUAAUUUUUGCAUGUUUAUGUUAAAUUGUAUGCCAUGCAUCAUUUUUUGUCUAUUGAUUUAUUAAAAUGUAUGUUGAAUUAUACCUUAUAUGUUUAUAUGCUUACUUAUUCAUUUUUAAUGUAUGUCGUAUAUUUUUGUAUGUAUGUUUUACAUGUUUUAAAUUUGCCAUGUUUGUUGUUUAAAAUUUGUUUAAAUUCAUGUUUUUACUUACCUAUUAUGAUAAUAUGCUAUAUUGUAUGUUAUAUUCUAUAAUGUUAAUAUGAUUCCUCAUACAUCAAUAAAAAAUGAGAUUCCAAAGUUUUCAAAAAUAAAAAAGUAAUGUUUGGUGUUUGGAAGUUUCGAGAAAAGUAGUGCCCUAACUUACUGGGUUGCAACUUUUCUCGUUGAGUUCGAAUAGUCAAGCACCCUUCUAAGUGAUUUUGAGUUUUCAAAACUUAAACAAUUAUUUCGAGAUUUCAAAACAUAGUGUCCUAACUUACUGGAUAUGGCGUUUUGUUGUUUCGAGAUAGAAAUUUUCGAAAGACGAGCUUAGUUUCGAAGGUUUUAAAAUGUUGCGUCCUAACUUACUGGAUAUGAUGUUUUGACUCGUUUAAAAUAAGUAAGCCUUAAUUUUCAAAAUUGAGACAUUCUAAUUAAAAGAGGUUUGCAUCUUAAAACUUUCAAAUUUCCGACAUUAAAGACACUUGAUAAUCAAUUAGGUACCAAUUUUUGGGCGUUACGAGGGUGCUAACCCUUCCUCGUACGUAACUGACUCCCGAAUCCGUUUUCUCGACUUUCGUAGACCAAAAUUAAUGUUUUAAAACAAAACAUUUUAUAAGGUGAUCCAAUCACACCUAAAAAGAUUGGUGGCGACUCCUGUUUUCGUUUUUCUUAAAGUCGAUUCCCAUUUUUCAAAACUCGAUUUUAAAAAUGGUUUCGACAUUAAAAAUUUAAAUUUUAUCUUUAAAAAACUAUUCAAAAUAAAAUAAAUAAUACCAUAUUAUUGUGAUCAAAAGAAUUUAUUACUCAAAAAUGCCAAAAUUUUUUUAUAUUUACCAGAGUAGGGCAAUUUUUGGAAUAAUUAUAGGGAUAGGCCGAUUUAGGGAAAAUGCUUCCAGUUGGAAGCACUUUUUGUGUGGUACCAGCUAGAAGCAUUUUAUUGCAUUUCACCUGAAAAAGCUUCUAGUUGGAAGCGUUUUCCCUGUGUUAUAUUAGGGUUCAAGGUUUUUUAGGGUUUCUUUAGGGGUUUUUAUAGUUUUUUAGUGUUUAAAGUUUUGGGAUUAGGGUUUUAAAGUAGGGUUAGUUUAGGGCUUUAGGUUUUAAAUGGUUACAAUAUUUAAAAUGAUAAUAAUUGUAAUUAUUGAAUUCAAUAUUUAAAAUAUUUGUAUUUACACCAAUCGUAUAUUCAAAUUUCAUUUUGUAAAUUGAUUCAAAAUCAAAACUCGGGGUACUUGAUUCGGAUGCAAAACUAGUUUUAAAGUUUUUUUUGUGUUUUUUUAAUUUUAGUUUGAUCUGAUAUUUUAGUAAAAUACCUAUCCAAUGCAUUACUUUUUACGAGAUGGGUUUUGAAAAUAUAUCUCAGGAAUAUUGGGAUAUUUGAAAUAUGAUGUAAAAUUUCUUGGUUAGUGGGGGUUGAAAUUUGUAGAGACAAAAUGCUCCAAGUAGGACGCACUAUCAGUAGAAGUAUUGAAAGCGCAUGCAGCUGGAAGCGUUUUUUGCUGAGUUGGCACCGAAGACGUUUCCAACUGGACACGCUUUCAAUACUUCUGCUGACAGUGUGUCUUGCUUGGAGCGUUUUGUCUCUACAAAUUUCAACCCCCCACUAUCCGUGGAUUUUUUUCAAAAUCAAAUAAGAGGUCAUGCCAUAUGCUAUAAAUGUAACUUAUUUCAACCUCCGAUGGCAUAAGCCAUUUACAAGGAAAUAAAAUUUUUAGAAGUUCAGAAAAAUAGAAGUUUGCAGAGAAGGCAUAAGUUGGAGCAACGAUACUAUCUGUAUAAAAAGUAAGCAUAAGCAUUGAUUUUUGUUGUUAAUAUUUAUUUGAAACAUUUUUUUUUUGCAUAAUGUUUUUGUUUUGAACUUCUCUCGGCAGAUAAUUUGGUUCAAAAUGAGAGGAUGAAUUAAUGCUAUUAUUUAUUAUGAUGAUGAGGUCUAUGACAUCGAGAACAACGUCAUUUUUUUAUCAAAAAACACAACGCAACUAUCAUUUAACCAGAACAUAUAGUUGCCAAAACUCCGGACAAGAAUUAGGCAAAAAAUCGUCGGAUCCAACCAAAUGAGAGUAUCAUCUAUUAAGUAUCAAUUCUGUGCUUCAGUCGACCUCGUGAGAUAUGAGCUUUCAAUAUCAAAGGUGCUAUAGGAUUGAAGGCGACAGUGCAGGUGCAUAUCGGUCGUGGAUUACCGUUUCUUAAGUUAUAUGUGGAAUUUUCAAGCCCAGAUAAAGGACUAAGGAUGUUGACAUCUAUUCCUUUUUGAGAGGCCAGAAUUAUUGAAAAUGUUGAUGGGCCAAUGACACAAUUGUGUGAUGGGUUCAUCACUUUGUUAGAAAGUUCCCAUUAUGAUAUCCUGGAAUCAUCAAUGGGAAGACACUCAUUUGUCUCGGCCUUAGAUUUCAACCGCGGGAGGUAGAACAUUGACAAUCGGGUUUUGGUGGUAGAACAAAAUACACAACCCCUACAUGACACUCAAUUAGUGGGUUAGACAUGAACUUCAGUCAAUCGAUGCUUAACGUUGGGAAUACUUACUGGGGAGAGACAUUAACUUCCAGCGAUUGGCAAUCGACAAGUGAUUCUAAAUAUUUCAACAACUACACAAUAAGGGAUGAUGUACUCCCUACGAGGUCCACCAGGGAGGGGAUAUUCAACAUGACAGAUAUAAGUGGGUCAGAAAACGAAGAUGGCAAUGAAUCUGAUAUCGAUCCAGUUCGGGAGCCCGGUGCCAACAUGAAUCUGAUAGACGAUGAAGGGGGUGAAGAAGAAUAAAAAGAUCAACGAUUCACGACAUACUCACCUCCAACCCUCAAGCAUAAUGUCGACUUAUUGGCAGAGGAUGGUUGGAGUUUGCAAAACUACCACAUAGGAGGCUGGGCCACGCAAGUUCUUCUUUGGAUUCGAUUAAUUUAGAAGUAGGUAAGGAUUUUUCCACUAAAGAUGGUUUUGUCGUUGCAGUGAAGCGAUAAAACAUUAAGAACGGGGUUAACUUCCACGUGUUUAAAUCUCAAUAUGAGAAGUUUAAGGCCAAGUGUGCAAUGCGAGACAGUAGAUGUGCAUGGAAAAUCAUGACUUCUGUUAAGAAGAAGACAGGGUUAUGGACAAUUAAGAAGUUUAUCGCUCCGCAUAUGUAUGUUACCCCUGGUACUGUAUAAAUACUGGUAUAGAUUAUGACAUAGUUGAAUUGCCAAAUUUAAUGUAGUCGUGGUGUUGUAGGUAUUUCUUGAGAUCAUCUUAAGUUGGAUUCAGAGAUGAUUGCGGGCAUAAUACUACCGAUGGUGAAAGCGAGUUCGAGGAUUGUUGUGUCAGUCUUAAUUAUGUAAUUAAUCUGGAAACGGGGCCCUUACUAGAACGAUCGCUUGCUUUGUAGAUGUCGAGUGUUCCACUAUUUGUUUUGGACCUUCAAGCAAUGCUCCUAAGCAUUUUAGUAUUGCAAGCCAUUGGUACAAAUAGACAGUAUCUUCAUAUAUAGUAGAUAUACCCUUCGGAUGUUGUUGGUCGUGGCAUAGGAUGGCAAUAAGACAAUCCUUCUAAUUGCGUUUGGAGUCAGCAGACUAUUGAGAUUUCUUUCUAUCUAGGUUAAGGAGGCAUGUUAUGAAACAUCUGUAAAAAUCCCUAACAACCUUGAGCCAGGGAAGUAUUUUCUGUGAUUAAUGCAGGUAGAAAAAUUAAAUUCAAAGAGCGGGAUAAAUGUAAGAAGCUGGAAUGGCAUGAUAGAUGCUGGACGAACACUGAUAGAAACAAAACAAAGAAAACAUCCUCAGGCACACUGAUUGAGCUGACAGAUGAAUCUGGCAGCAAAACAUGAUAGAUUUAAUUAAAAUUUAAUUUUAUGUAUAUGUAUAUUUAAUUAACUUAUUAGUUUAAACUUUAACUAUUAUUAAAUUUUUUAUUAUAUAGAACUUGAGGCACUUUGAAAAUUGGAAAUUUGGGUUAAAACAGAGUCAGUGUCGCAGCACGACACCCCCAUGUUGCAACACCACAUUCAAAACUGAAGAAAUCUAGAAAAUCAUCUCGAUAUUAUGACACAACACCUCUGUGUCGUGGCAAGGAAGACGGUAUAGCAAAAUUAUAAAAUUUCAGAGUGUGUCGUGAAAUCGAGCCCCGAUGUCAUGACAACUGUAAACUAAUAGGGUUGUCGCGACAUUGGUAUAAUUUUUUGCAAGGUCGACCCAACCCGAUCGCACAAAUCGACUCAUUAAACCUAAUUUUAAUUGGUUUUAAACCUCAAAACCCUCCUUUUUAAACAUAACAACUCUUUUAACUAUUACUAAAAAAAAUUCUUAAACUCUAAAUCCUCUCAAAGUCUCUUAAAUCCUUUAAAAAUCCCCAAAACCAUUCUUUUUUUGUUCUCAUAUUUUGCUGUGGAUCUCCUUGCAAACACACUUGGUAUGGGUCAUGCUCUAUAGUGGAGCAAGUUAUCACAAGGAAUUCAACCGUGUAAAUCAAGGUUAAGGGUUCUUAAUUCUUAUUCUUAUUGUUUCAUUGAAAAUAUUGCUUGCUAUUUUAUUAGUUCCUAGCAUAAAAUACCAUUGAAUAGCCUCCAAUGAAAGUUAGGGGAACUAAUGAAAUAUAAUCAUUAAUGGUUCCAAACCUCUUUAAUUUCCUGAAUUAAAAUGUCAAAAAUUAUACUUUAGAACUUCAGGGAAAAACAUUUAUUCAAGAGCGGAAAUUUGAAUCGUCGAUGACCCUCUGUCAAGAAAUUUGGCCUGGUCUGAUACCAUAGAUGAAAAUGCUUUUGUGUGAUCCCGAAAGACUCUAGUGUUGUCUCAGUAGUUCAGGAAUUUUACACAUCCCUUAGGGACAAAAACAUUAUGCAAGAAAAAAGAUACUUCAAAUAAAUAUUAACAACAAAAAUCAAUGUUUAUACUUACUUUUUCUACAAAUAGUAUCAUUUCUCCAACCUAUGCCUUGCAAACUUCUAUUCCUCUGAACUUCUAAAAAUUUUAUUUCUUAAUAAAUGGCUUAUGCCAUUGGAGGCUGAAAAUAUGUUACAUUUAUAGACCAUGGCAUGACCUCCUAUUUGAUUCUGAAAAAAUCCCUAGAUAGUAGGAGGUUGAAAUUUGUAGAUACAAAACGCUCUAAACAGGAUGCACUGUCAACAAAAGUGCUGAAAGCGUGUCUAGUUGGAAGCAUUUUCAAUGUGAACUCAGCAAAAAACGCUUCCAGUUGGACGCAUUUUCAGUACUUCUGCUGAUAGUGUGUCUUGCUUGAAGCGUUUUGUCUCUACAAAUUUCAACCCCCACUAACUAGGGAAUUUCACAUCAUAUUUCAGAUAUCUUAGAAUUCCCGAAAUAUAUUUUCAGAACUCAUCUCAUCAAAAAUAAUGUACUGAAUAAGUGUUUUACAUAAAUAUCGAAUCAAACUAAGGUUAAAAAAAACGCAAAAAUUUUUAAAAUUAGUUUUGCAUCUAAACCAAUUACUCCUAGUUUCGAUUUUAAAUCGAUUUGCAAAAUGAAAUUUGAAUAUACGAUUGGGGUAAACAUAAAUAUUUUAAAUAUCGAAUUCAAUAAUUACAAUUAAUAUUAUUUUAAAUAUUUUAUCAAUUUAAAAUUUAACCCAAAACCCUAAACUAACCUUAAACACAACCUUACUUUAAAACCCUAAUCCUAAACCUUAAACACUAAAGAAUCCUACAAGACCCUAAAAACCUUGAACCCCAAUAUAACACGAGGGGAAAUGCUUUCAGCUGGAAGCUUUUUCAGGUGAAAUGCAAAAAAAAUACUUCCACCUAGAAACGUUUUAUUGGUACCACGCAGAAAGCGAUUCCAACUAGAAGCGUUUUCCCUAAAUCUGUUUAUUCUCGUAAUCAUUCCAACAAUCUGCCUACUCUAAUAAAUAUAAAAAAAAUUUGGCAUUUUUGAGUAAUAAAGCCUGAUUAUAUUUAUAAAAUAAUAAAUUUUAAAAAAACAAGAUUUACUAUUAGUAAAUAAAAUAACUAUAUUCCAUGUUUAAUUUUUAAUAAUAUAUCAAAUAGUUUUAUGUUAUGAAUUUAGUAAUUAUAAGACUCAGUCGUAUGGGAUUUGGUAUAAGGUUAGAAACUAAAAAAAUGUCAAGUUAAAAUGUAUACUUCAUUCCUAGCUAUACAUUCAGUUGCUCUCUAUAUAUAACUCCAUUUCUUCUGCAUUCGAUCACUGAAAACAAAUAUGACCAACUUACACAACAAGCACGCAGUUCUUGCUUGCGAAGGCCGGUCAUGGGGCUGCCAUGCCCCUCAAUUCGUUCCUCUUAUGGCGGGGGCACUAGUAAUAUUCUGCUGUGCAUGGUGGUGGUGGGGUAUGAAAUUCACCAAAAUAAGCCCACCUCUACCACCUGGUCCUUUAGGCUUGCCUAUAAUAGGAAACCUUCCCUUCAUUAAACCCGAAUUGCAUCGUUACUUUUCAGACCUGUCUCGGGUCUAUGGUCCCAUCUUCAAACUUCGAAUGGGGAGCGUUUUGGCAAUAGUCAUAAACUCGCCUUCACUAGCCAACGAGGUCCUCAAAGUUCAGGACGCCAUCUUCGCUAACCGUGACGUUCCAGCAGCCGCUGUGGUCGGCACCUUUGGUGGACUCAACAUCUUAUGGAGACCCAACGGUCCUAGAUGCAACCGGCUGCGUAAGCUUGUUAUUUGCGAAAUCAUGAGCAAACAAAGCUUGGAUGCUUGCUACGUGCUUCGUCAACAAGAGGUUCGACGAAUGGUGAAGGAGAUUCACGGAAAAGUUGGUUCCUCAGUUAACAUAUAUAAACAAUUAUCAGCAACCGCUCUACGAGUGAUGAUGAGCACGCUAUGGGGUGAUGAUCCAUCGCAAGAUUUGAUUGAGUUUAGGAAACGAUUGGAUGAAUUUAUAGUAACAUCUGCAACACCGAAUGUUUCUGAUCUUUUCCCAAUUCUGGCCCCAUUUGAUUUACAAGGAAUUGAAUCCAAAGCGAAGGAGCAAUUGUCGUGGUUUUAUGGGGUUUUUGAAUCAAUGAUGAAGAACCGAAGAAACAUUAUAGAUGAUGGAAAAGAAAAGGAGAAAAUUAGCAAGGAUUUUAUGCAGCAAUUGUUGGAGCUGCACUGGCGAGGAGAUGAUAAAAACUCUUUAUCCAACAACGAAGUGAAAGCUUUGCUUCUGGUAAAUAACUUCAACAUAAUAACAUCCACAUAAGUGUUGAUAUUUUCCAAUUUACAAUAUUAAUCUCUAUAUCUCAUAGGAUUUGAUGGUCGCCGGUACGGAUACAAUACCCACUACUGUAGAGUGGGCGAUGACCGAACUAUUAUGCCAUCGAGAUAAAAUGAAGAAACUCGUAGAGGAAUUAGAUACGGUAGUCGGAAACCAGAACACGGUGGAAGACUCUCAUAUACCUCAACUUGUCUACUUGGAUGCUGUCAUAAAGGAGACACUCCGUCUUCACCCGGUUGCUCCAUUGCUAAUUCCUCAUGUGCCCAGUGAGACCACUGUUAUUGGUGGAUUUACUAUCCCUAAAGGUUGCACGGUUUUCAUUAAUGCAUGGAUCAUGCAAAGGGACCCUGAGUUGUGGGAUGAUCCUCUUCGGUUUCAGCCUGAGAGAUUCUUCGAAACCGACAUAAGCUAUCGAGGCAGCAAUUUCAGGUUUUUUCCAUUUGGUUCAGGGAGGAGGAUGUGUGUUGGGGUUUCUCUGGCGGAGAAGAUGGCGGCACUGCUCUUGGGCUCUUUGGUGCACUCUUUUGAAUGGGGAUUACCGGAGGAGACUAAGCCUAGUUUAGAAGAUAAAUUGGGAUUUUUUUGAAGAAAGCGGAAUCACUUGUUGCUAUACCCGUCACACGACUUCCUAAUUUGGAGCAAUACCGAUGAAUAUGUUCAGUUUUUGCGUAUCAUAAACUAUAUGAUAUGUAUGUUAAAGAAUUGUUACUACGUAAGAAAAAAGUAACUACGUAAUAGAAUAAAUAAGACUUUACAUAGUAAAGUUGAGCCAUUAGAGAUUAUAAUGCAUCUUAGGUUUAAAUCCUAAAAAUUUAUAUGGAUAUGUUUUGAAUGAAAUAUAUACUUGUGCUUAUAUAGUUUACUAUCACUAAUAAAUUUAUAUAUGAUGUAUAGAAUAAUUGUUCUUAUAAAGGUUAAUAUAUACGGAGGUAUCUAAAUUUGGUAACUUAUAUUUAUUUGGUAUCUAAUUUUUUUGGACCUAACUAGUACCUGAAUUUGAAAAACAUAAGCUAAUUUGGUAAUUUCUUUUAGGUACCAAAUUAACACCAUUAAAAUACACUAACAUGAUGUUGACAACCAAUAACAUAAUGACACAUUUUAGCACGUGGCAAAAUAUUAAAAAUGAAAUUGAUUUUUAGCACUAAGCCAUACAUUGGGAGCAUGCAGUAUAAGGCGUUUCAAAAGAAAUGAAGAAAGCAUGGGCAACACAGCUUAGGGCCCCUUUGGAUAGGCAGUGCGUGUUUAUUUGCGGUUAGCGUAAAAACAGUUAUGGCGGUGAGAUUAGAUACUGUAGCGUGAGAUAAAAAGAAAGCUAAACGCACCACACUAGAUAUAAACGCCCAUCCAAAGGGGUCUUUAGACUACUUCAAUCUAGGUGCACAUGAACCAGGUUAGUUAGCUUUUGUCUAGUCCUACAGCAACAGAUGGGCCACGGUAAUGAUAUCAUUUUUAGUCCUUAUAAUGUUUAAAUUUCAAAAUUUUAAUUUUAAUUAAUGCAAUAAUUGUAAAUUUUAUUUAUUAAAAUAAAAAAAAUUGUUUUUCAAGUAUCUUGUAAAAAUAAUAAACUGACAUGAAAUUACUUAUAUGAUAAUAUAUUUUCUCCAUAAAAUUUUAAAAAUAAUAAAAUUUAAAUUAUCGAAAUUAAUAAAGAUUUACUCAUUGAUAUUUGCUUGGGGAUGAUCUCUUUCUCUUCAUUACAAACAAUACUUAUAAUCACUACUUCUCAUCCAUGGUCACCUAGCCCUCCCUAAAAUGGUAACUUUUUAAUUUAGGCCCUUUAUAAUUUAUAAAAUUUUAAUUUAGUAACGAUAAAAUUGUAUUUUGGCCCCCAAAAUGAUAAAAAUUUGAUUUAACCCUUUAAAAAAUAUAAGGAUAUAUGUUAUUAAAAUGAUGAAAUUGCAUUUUUACUAUCGUAAAAAUAUACAAUUUAAUUUCAACCUCCCAAAUUUUUUUUUAACUCCACUAGUGUUUGCAUCUCCUUAAAUUGAGCAUCAAGUUUGUUAUCCAGCUUAGAAAACUCCUACUGCAGUUGGCUAAUGUCCUUUUGUAAGAGUGUGGUCACACUCUUAUUGGCCAUGAAGAUCACGAGGCUCUGAUACCUUUGUUAAAGAAUGAAGAUCUAGAGAAAAAUUCACAUAGAAAAGGAGAUGAAGAAAAUGAGAAAAAUUGUGACUGUAUUUGCUGUAACGCCCCAAUUUUCGGGAAUUCUGUGAAUGUUGGCAAAAUUUCAUGCUUUGAUUUUAUCAUUUGUGAGUGAAAUUAUGAAAUAGAACCUAUGUGAAAAUGUUUGAAAAUGCUAUAGGCUAAAUUGAAUUGGCCAAAUAAAUAGGAGUGCAAAAUAGAAGGAUUUGCAUGACAAACCUCCCAUUUUACAUGAAGUGGCCAGCCAUCAUGUUGUUGUAGACAAUAUGAGCACUUGAUAUCCAUAAUUUAUGGUACAAAUUUAUACAAAUUGAUAAUGGGUUAGGUAAAUGUUCCAUGAUAAUGGAUUAGGUAAAUAUUCCAUGAUAAUGAGUUAGGUAAAUGUUCCAUGAUAAUGGUUUAGGUAAAUGUUCCAUGAUGGGAAUUUCAUGUCUUUUGUAUUAAAGAAUUAAAUGGAUGAAAUAUGAAAUUUUAUUAAAAGAAAAAGGGGUGAAAAGAACAAAGUUUUGUCCAUCUUUGUUCAUCAUAGCCUAAAGUUAGAGAAGAGAAAGGAGAGGAGAAAGCUCUUGAAUGUUCGGUCACUUGGGGAAGAAAAUUGAAGGUAAGUUCAUGGUAGUUUGCUUCUAUCUUGAUGUUCAUGAGUUCUUCUUGAUUCUACCUUAACUCUUGAAGCAUAUUUUGGUUUUUAGUUGUGUUGUGAGCAUUUAGUCAUGAAUUAAAAAUGAAGGAAAUGGUUGUUGUUUCAUGUUCUUUUGAUGAAAAAUGGAAGAUAGGUGAAGUUGAGCCAAACAAAUGAGCAUGCAUAUGCCUUAUAUGCUAAGGGGAAAAAUCGGCUAACAUGUUGUGCUUUAAAAUGAUGAAAUGGAGAUUAUACUUAAGUAAAAUCAUAGAUAUGUGAUGAUUGAUUGGUGAUAUACAUGUUUAAAUAACAAGCAUGCAAGUUAGGUGUGAAAGAGUGAUUUGGUAAUAAAUCUGCUUGGGACAGCAGCAGUAACGUGACUUUGGAAAAUCACCAUAAUUUGUGGGAGAUGAGUUAGAAGUUGCAUAAAUUAUGUAAUUAAAUCUUAAUGAGUAUAGUUUCAAAUGAAAUAAACAAGAACAUAUUUGAAUUCUGUACAAUGAGAAAUUUGAUUUGUAAUGAAGAGUGGUCAGAUUAGUCAAACAGUGAAACAUGGGAAACUUUAAGAAAAAUCUGGUAUUGAUUGGCCAAACCAAAAAUUCUGAAAAUUUUAUGGAUAAAAUAUAUAUGAGUCUAUUUUCAGGGAAAAUUAACGGUACUUGAUUUGGAGUUUCGUAGCUCCAGUUAUAAAUGAUUUAGUGACUGUUGCUCAGGAAGACAGCUUGCAGUGAAAUUAUGAUUAUGUGGUAAACAUUGACAAAAAUUUGUUAAUGAGUUGCUUAUUGUUUUCUUAUAAGCUUACUAUGAUCUGUAGGUGUGGUUGGCCGAAUAUUGUAAGGGGUUAAUACGUAGUUCGUAUUUGAAUAGUUUGAUUAACGUGUUAGUAAUCCAAUUGUAGGCAGUUCGUGUGUGGAUCUCGUCAGCAUAUCGUCGCAAACUGGUGUGUAACUAACACCCUCUUUCUUAGUCUGGAUCGGCAAAAGUCGAAAAGCCGAAAUGCCGAAAACCGGUAUUUUGUAGAUUUGCGAGUGUGCGAAUGCUCGUGAGGUAAAUCGAUUAAUGUUUUUGGUAAGCUACAAAAUUUGGACUGCAAAGUGCAUGAUUUCUGUGCCCUCGAUUUAUUUGGGCUUAAUGGGCCAAAAUUGGAAUGAUGGGCCAACGGGCCCAAUUCGGUAAGAACCCUCGGCACGUGAUUUUGUUAGUACGUGAAAAGUAGGAAUAUGCAUGAAAAACCCUAAAAUAGAUAAAUUACUGAAAUACCUUUAAAAGUAGAAAAUUUACAGUUUUACCCCUAGUAGAUAAAUUACCGAAAUACCCCUAGGGUUAAAUUGACCUAAAUGCAUGUUUGACUGUUGUUAUUUACUGCAUGCCAUGUUGUUAUUAUCUGAUGCAUGGGAUUGGGAUAUUGACGGAGGAAGUACUGAAAGUGGCUUGUCCACAUACUGGAGGCUUUGCCUCAAUUUACUGUUAACUGAGCAGCAAGGCUGCAACUGUGGAGUGUUGGGCUGGGUGGGUUGAGCUAUUCCCCACAUGGAGUGUAGGGCUGGUACGGGUGGAGUGUAGUGGUUGGUGGGUUGAGUAGUCUCCCCAAAUGGGCUUGUAUAUGUUAUUGAUGUUGCAUGUAUUUUAAAAUGGGCCUAUGGGCCAUACUGUUAUCUGAAUAAGGGGCUAAGGCCCAGUUUAUUGUAAUCUGAAAAGGGCUCUGGUCCAGUACCACUGUUACCUGAAUGGGCUUAGGCCUAAUAGGCUUGAGCUGACUUGGGCUUUGAAUGGAUUUUCCUUACACACUGAGUUUCCCUAAACUCACCCCUUUUAUUUUCAUCCACGCAGGAAAUCCCCAACCAUAGUGGGCUUGGAGCUGUGAGGGAAUUCGGAGUGGCCACCCGUUCUGAAAGUUUGAUUUUCUUCUGGUGAACUGGACAUCCUUUUAUUUACGUUUGAAGUUUUGGGUUUUUAAAUGUAAUAAGGCCGCUUAAUUAUUUUUGAUGGUUUUAAUAUGUAUUACUAAGAUAGGUAUUACUUAUUUUAACUGUUGAAAUUGGAUAGCUUUAGGGCGCGUUUUCCAAAAAAAAACAACAAUUGAUUUCAAAAUAACACGACAACAAGCAAAGCUUCCGCAAUGAAAGUAUUUUCCAAAAUUAAUCACUUUUCCUAAAAAUGACUUAAUCAAAUUGGUUUCCUAGAAAUAUACAUGACGUUAAGGUGUAGCAAUGGCGGUGUGCAUGUCUAGGAUUGGAUCCGAAGGGAGCUUGGUACUUAAGUAGUCCGGUAGACUCACCUCCUCUUUUCCGGUUUCCUACCUGGUGCACAGCUUCUAUUCACUUUAACCUAUAAUGAAAUUAUCUUUUAAAACACUAAGUAGGUUUUUCUGGAUCAACAAUAUAAAAUGUUUUGAACGCUUCGAUGUGGCAUGUCGGAUCCGGCCAUAACGUCUGGGUCGGGUUUGGGGUGCUACAUUUGCAUAGUCGUUCCCUCUUAGCCUGAUUGGUGCUAAAAUAAGGAAGAUAACUGACCAAAUAACAUAUUGGUAGCUACCAAAACUGCCUCCAUCAAUACGCAUCGUUUCAAAUAAAAGACUUGGGCUAAAACGGUGCAUUUAAAGACUUGUGCACCGUUUAACUAAAACAAAACGUAGUGUUUUGACAACUCAAAAAAACACAGACAACAUUUCAAUAACAAUAACAAAAAUUUAAAAGAUGGAAUCAUUUCCCUCCAACAGCGUAUUUGUUUCAUAUCACUACCCUCAGUCACCUUUUCUAACCUCAUCCAAGCCUUAUUCAUCUAUAACAAAAAUCAUUAGCAAAUGGAAACAGGAGAACAUAGCAUUCCAAAGUGCACAUUGAAGUUAUUAUAAACAAGAAUCACAACAUAUAUAUAUAAAGAAAAAGAGGAGUGUUUAGAUUUUAUAAAAAUGGAAAAAUAAACAAGAGGGUUUACCUUGCUGGAAUUGGAUUUCGAGCUAGUUUAACAUUGUUUUUGAAAAAAAAAUUGAACUUUUUUUUGAAAAGUUUAGUUGAGUGAUAAAAAAAUCAAUAACGAUUUAAGAUUUUAAAUUCCAUAGAGUAAUGAAUGAAUAUGUUAUCAGCUUUAAAAAAAAGUCAAAGUGGUAAUAAAUGCUGCAUGUAGUAAAUGUGGUUGCUUUAAAUUAUAAGAUUAGGAAUUCGUGUGUUGACCUGACGGUUAGGGAGUACACCGGUAUCGCAUUAUUGUUGUUUAGAGCUUCGCCCUCUUCUUAUAAUUCACUAAAAAAAAUCAUAAGAUUAAAUAUUUCAAAGGUUAGUUAAUUAAUAUACCUAUAAUAUAUAUACAUUAUACUACUUAAUAUAUAAAGUAAUUGAAUUAGGGGAAGCAAAGCGAUAGUAGCUAAUGUUUUGAUUCAUUUCCGACUUUUAAAAACUUACUAAUUUAUUUAAUUAAUUUUAAAAUGAAAAAAAUAUACUUAUAUUUAUAUUUUUAGAAAAAAUAAAUUAAAAUAUUUUUAAUUAAUAAAUAAAAAUUCAAGUCAACUUACAAACUAAAUUACAAAGUAUCUUGUCCAAAGCUCAAGAGGACAUGCCAUUAGCUAACCAUUGGAUAGGAGUAUUGGUGAGUUAGAUUAGUUUAAAAUAUUAAUAAUAAUAAUAAUAAUAAUAAUUUAGAUAUUGAGGUUGAAAAAUGUGCUUUUAAAAAUUGCUCUUCAAAAUUUUGAUAAUAUUUAUUAGUAGUGUUAAAAUGUGCAUUUUAAAAAGAUAAAAUGUUCAUUAUAGAUGUGAUAUUGUAAAAUUAAAGAUUUAAUGAGGGAUAAAAAGAUAAUAUUCUUAAAAAAUACUUUUUUAAAAAGUUACAAUUUUUGGCUUGGGUUAAAAUCCUGGUUAGGAUUUAACGGUGGAUUACAAAAAUCCAAUCUUGUAUCGCUACCAUUAGUUUCCAAAUUCGAGUAAAUGAAGGUCCGUUAGAGUUGAUCAUGCUCAGAAGAGGAUCAAGACAAGGAAAUCUAUUUGUCUCCCUAUAUUUUCAUUUUGUCCCACUGGCCACAAUGUGUUGUCUUGUGAUAUUGAUCUACUACAAUGAGAGGAGAAGUCUUUGAUCCAUGGCAUUAAAGUUUGUAAGAACAGUAUCUCUGUCUCUCAUUUGUUCUUUCGAGCUAAUAUUGAAGAAUGUAGUGUGGUGAAAUCAAUUUUUGUUUGGGACGAGUAUUUAAUGUUACAAAAUCUGAUCUAAUAGUUAGGCAUUAUUGUUACUCUUAAGUUCAUGAAUAUAUUUAGAAAUAUCUUGAAUGGCAAUGUUUCUAAGCAUCCCAGAACCUAUGUUGAAGUAAUGGUCAGCAUGCAGCAACCAAGACUGUCAAAGGCACUACAUGCAGAAGCUGCUGGUUCACCUAGUCAGCAAGCUGUUUAUGUUUCAUUUUGUAAUUUUAAGUUAGAGUAAUGUAACUUAGUUGCUUUAUAACUAUGUUAGGUUUAUGUUUGAUGUAAUUUUGAUGUUGACUGAGCUGAUAAAUCAGCUUUGUUUGUUUAUUCAAGCUAAUUAGCACAAGUUACUAUGUGUAUUAGUGGUAGUAGGUGAAGUUUAGGUCAACCUACUGUUUUGUCAAGAUUGUAAACUUGUUUUAUGUAUUGGCUUUGUGCCAUAUUUAGUUUGAUGAAUGAAUUCAAGAAGUUAUCAUCCAUAUGCUCUCCAUUUUUAGUUUUGCUUAAAAAUCCAUUUGAGUUUUCUGCUUUGUUUCUCCUACAAGUCACGAGACUUGCCAUACAAGCAUUCUGCUGAAGCUUGCUGCUGCUGCCUCUUGCACCAACAAUUGGUAUCAUGAGCCUAUGUCUUACGGGACCAUUGAUUUUGCUUCCCCUGCUUGUUGAAAAGAAAGAAGCUGUCAAAGCACAAGCAAGUCAUUAAGGACUGCUUAUAGAGAAGAUAAUAUCGGCUCAAACUUAUAAGAUCCCCAAACUAGCUUGAAUAAGCUGAAGGAGGAGUUUAAAGGAAAGGUGUGAGCUUUCCAAAUGUGCAAGCUUAGCAAGAUGUCAAAGCUGCAAGCUUAGCAAAGUGCGAGCCUGAUGAAGACACCUGUUGAAGACAAUAUGCAAAGAUGUGAGUCUGUCAAAGGUGUGAGCUCAGCAACAUGUGGAAGCUCAAUGCGUGUUGUAUAGUUGCAAGCCUCUUGAAGACAGUAAGCAAAGUGUGAGCCUGUCGAAUUGCAAGCUAAAAUGGCAGAAUGAAGGCAAGCAACUAUACUCACGAACUGUUUGUGCAAGAAGAAAAUGAAUUGGUCAGCUUGAAUCAAAGCAUCUAAGAGCUGCCAAGUUCAAAAAACUUGAUGAAUGACUGGUAUUUGCAGCAUGGAGUCCAAGGAGGAGUAUUGGAAAUUGGCCAACCAUGCUGCUGUUACAUUUUGUGGUUGAAGUGCAUGCAACUUGAUGACAUGCUGCAGCACAUAUGCUUGCUGUAACAGCAAGGUUUCUCUUUAGUUUCAUUCUAAUUAAUCUAGUUUAAAAUGGACAAGUUGAUGACAACUUGAUGCAUUAGGUGUUGAAUGACUAGUUUAGGUGGCUUGUUUAUGUGUACAAGCAAUGUUUUAAUAGUCCCAAUGCUGAUUAGUGGGGUUAGUUGACUAUUUGGUGAUGUAUUUGACUAUAAAUGUAUGUUUUUUCUAGUUGAAUGAAUGAGCUGAAUGAGCUAUCAGCCAUUAGCUCCCUUGCUGCACAUUUGUGAGCAAGUAAAAAUGCUUCUUGCACCUUGCUUCAUGUUCUGUGCUCUUGUUCUCUCUUUUGUUGCUGCCUCUUGCACCAACAAUUGGUAUCAGAGCCACAUUCUUAGAGGACCUGUUGUAGUUCAGUAUCAAAACGAUGGCAUCAUCAGGUUUUUCACCAGCUUCACCACCUGUCUUCAAUGGAGAGGGCUUCAACAUUUGGGCAGUUAAGAUGAGGACUUACCUGCAGGCAUUCGACCUAUGGGAAGUUGUUAACUCAGAUGCUGAGCCAGCACCUCUUCGAGCUAAUCCAACAGUUGCUCAAAUAAGGCAACACACUGAUGAAAGGACAAAAAGGCACAAGGCCAUGUCAUGCAUACAGAAUUGUGUGACAGAUGUGAUCUUUAUGAGGAUCAUGGCCUGUGAGACACCAAAGGAGGCUUGGGACAAGCUGAAAGAAGAAUUUCAGGGGACUGAGAAAACAAGGCAACAACAGCUGCUCAAUUUGAGAAGAGAUUUCGAAAAUCUCAAAAUGAAAGAGGAAGAAACAGUUAAGAAGUACUCAGACCGGAUUAUGGCUGUUGUAAACAGCAUAAGGCUCCUAGGAGAGCAAUUCAGUGAAGCUAGAAUGGUUGAGAAAGUCAUGUCCACUCUACCAGAGAGGUAUGAAGCUAAAAUUUCAUCCCUCGAAGACUCAAGGGACUUGACAACUAUCUCCUUAACUGAGCUAAUCAAUGCCUUGUAUGCACAAGAGCAAAGAAGAGCUAGCAGACAAGAGGAGCACCAGGAAGGGGCUUUUCAAGCCAAAGAAGCCUCGAGCAUCAAAACUCAUAAAGGCAAAAAGUUCUGGAAAAACAGGCCUAAGCCUGAUGCUGCUAGGAGCAGUGACCAACUCUGCAGACAUUGUAAAAGAGCUGGUCAUCCAGAAGAUAGAUGCUGGUUUAGACCAGAUGCAGUAUGCCAACACUGCAAGAAAAAAGGCCAUGUUGAAAAAGUUUGCAAGAAUAGAAGCAAACCAAGACAGAAUCAAUAUCAGCAACAAAAGGUGGAAGCUCGAGUAGCUGAAGAAAGCAGUGAUCAAGAAGAACAUGUUUUUGCUGUGUCAUGUGCAGCAAAUCAGAAGAAGGGUUCAAAGGGCUGGCUUCUAGACAGUGGGUGCACAAACCACAUGUCACCAGAUGCAACUAUCUUCAAAACCCUGGACAGAACCUGCAAAACCAAAGUAAAAAUUGGAAAUGGUCAGUUAAUCAAUGCUGAAGGAAGAGGAGAUGUGCUGAUUCAUACUUCUACAGGUGGCAAAAUCAUUUCAAAUGUACUUUUGGUACCUGAAAUCGAUAGGAACCUUCUCAGUAUAACUCAACUACUUGAGAAAGGUUACUCAGUUGUUUUCAAGGAGAAAGAAUGUCAAAUUUUUGAUCCAAGUGGAUCAAAUCUUAUAACAGUCACCAUGACUGAUAAAUGUUUUGAAGUAGACUGGCCAAAUGACUCACAUUCAGCCUGCAUAGCCUCCACUGAUGACUCGAGACUCUGGCAUCAGAGGCUUGGACAUGCAAACUACAAAUCCAUAGCCCGCAUGGUCAAUGAAGGUCUGGCAGAAAAUUUCAUUGAUUCAGUGAAGAAUGAUGAGCUUUGUGAGAUAUGUCAGCAAGGAAAAUUGGCAAGAUUGCCAUUUCCAACAAGCACAACAUGGAGAGCAUCAGAGAAGCUCCAGCUUGUACAUACAGAUGUGUGUGGACCAAUGAAGACUGAGUCUCUCAAAGGAAGCAGGUACUUUAUUUUAUUUAUUGAUGACUUAACAAGAUACUGCUGGAUUUAUUUUCUAAAACAGAAAUCAGAAGUACCAUCUAUGUUCCUGAAGUAUAAGGCUGCUGUUGAAACUGAGUCUGGUUGCAAACUUAGAGCAAUGAGGUCAGAUAAUGGAACUGAGUACACCUCAGCUCAGUAACAAGUCUACUGUGAAGAAGCAGGUAUCAAACACCAGUUGACUAAUGUGUAUACACCCCAACAGAAUGGGGUCAGUGAAAGGAAAAACAGAAGCUUGAUGAACAUGGCAAGAUGUCUUCUGUUUGAGAAGAAUUUGCCCAAAAGUCUGUGGGCUGAAGCUGUUAACACAGCAGUUUAUCUCCAAAACAGGCUCCCAACCAAGGCUCUGGCUGAGAAGACUCCAUUUGAAGCCUGGUUUGGGUUUAAGCCAUCACUGGCUCAUCUCAGAACCUUUGGUUGUCUGUGCUAUACUCAAGUUCCAGCUGAGAAGAGAAGCAAGCUAGAUAAAAGAGCUCAAGCAGGGAUCUUGAUCGGCUACAGCUUGGUUAAGAAGGGCUACAGAAUUCUAGAACCUGCUACAAACAAGAUAUUGGUUAGCAGGGAUGUUGUUUUCCAUGAAAAAGGACACUGGAAUUGGGAGAAGGCUGAACCAGAGGCAGUGGCUGAAGAUCUGGCAGUGGACCAAGCUGAAAAUGAUGAAAACACACCUGAAAUGGAUGUAGAUGAUGUUCCAAUCAGAGGCACUCGAUCACUGGCUGAUGUUUAUGAAAGAGCACAAGUGGCUACUGUUGAACCAAGUUGCUUUGAAGAAGCAGAAAACCAGGAGGACUGGAAGCAAGCAAUGAUUGAAGAAAUCAGAAUGAUUGAAAAGAAUCAGACCUGGAGUCUGGUUGAUAAACCAACAAACAGGAAGAUUAUUGGUGUCAAAUGGGUUUAUCGAGUAAAGAACAAUACUGAUGGUAGCCUAAACAAGUUAAAGGCUAGAUUGGUUGUGAAAGGCUUCAGUCAAAGGUAUGGAUCAGACUACCUGGAAACCUUUGCACCAGUGGCCAGGCUAGACACUAUUAGACUGCUAGUUGCCUUAGCAGCACAAAAACAGUGGCUGAUACACCAACAUGAUGUAAAAUCAGCAUUUCUGAAUGGAUUCCUUGAAGAGGAGAUUUAUGUGGAGCAACCUCAAGGUUUCAAGGUGUCUGGCAAAGAAGAUAUGGUGUACAAGCUCAACAAAGCCUUGUAUGGCUUGAAACAGGCUCCAAGGGACUGGUAUAGCAGAAUAGAUGGCUAUCUGACCAGUCAAGGAUUUGAAAGAAGUCUUAGCGAGCCAACUCUGUAUGUUAAAUCAACUAGUGCUGAAACUCAGCUCAUUGUCUCAAUAUAUGUCGAUGACCUACUGGUGACAGGAGGAGAUCAUGAGAUGCUAAGCAGUUUUAAAGUCAAAAUGCAACAGCACUUUGAAAUGUCAGACUUGGGAUUGAUGUCUUACUUCUUAGGCAUGGAAGUAACUCAAGCUAAGAAUGGGAUUUGGCUAAGUCAAAAGACCUUUGCUAUGAAGGUUCUCAACAAAUUCUCAAUGGAGAAUUGCAAAGCAACCAGCACACCAGUUGCUGUUGGAGAAAAACUCUCGAGCCAAGACAAGCAUGAAAAGGUUUGUGAAACAACCUAUCGAAGUCUAGUUGGAUGUUUGUUGUAUUUGACUGAUACUAGACCUGACAUAAUGUAUGCUGUGAGUCUACUCUCGAGGUUUAUGCAUUCUUCAAAUGAAAGUCAUUUUAGAGCUGCAAAAAGGGUUCUAAGAUACAUCAAAGGAACUUUGUCCUAUGGAAUGCAGUUUACCAAGGCUGAGAACUUGAGGCUAGUUGGAUAUUGUGACAGUGAUUGGGCUGGUUCUUUGGAUGACAUGAAGAGCACUACAGGUUAUGCAUUCAACAUAGGCUCUGCUAUGAUAUGCUGGAGCUCAAAGAAGCAAGGAGUAGUGGCUCAGUCGACUGCAGAAGCAGAAUAUGUGGCUGCUGCUGCAGCAGUCAAUCAAGCCAUAUGGCUUAGAAAAAUUUUGAAAGAUAUCAAUCAUGAGCAAAAGGAAGCAACUGAGAUAAUGUGUGACAACCAAUCAGCAGUUGCUAUUGCAAAGAAUCCUGUUUUUCAUGGAAGGACCAAGCACUUCAACAUCAAACUUCAUGCAGUUCGGGAAAUGGAACAAGCUCAUGUUGUUAAGCUGAUACAUUGCAGUUCUGAAGAGCAAAUUGCUGAUAUUUUAACAAAAGCACUAAGUGUUUCCAAGUUUCAACACCUGAGAGCUAAUAUGGGAGUUUGCAACAUGCUAACCAAGGAGGAGUGUUGAAGUAAUGGUCAGCAUGCAGCAACCAAGACUGUCAAAGGCACUACAUGCAGAAGCUGCUGGUUCACCUAGUCAGCAAGCUGUUUAUGUUUCAUUUUGUAAUUUUAAGUUAGAGUAAUGUAACUUAGUUGCUUUAUAACUAUGUUAGGUUUAUGUUUGAUGUAAUUUUGAUGUUGACUGAGCUGAUAAAUCAGCUUUGUUUGUUUAUUCAAGCUAAUUAGUACAAGUUACUAUGUGUAUUAGUGGUAGUAGGUGAAGUUUAGGUCAACCUACUGUUUUGUCAAGAUUGUAAACUUGUUUUAUGUAUUGGCUUUGUGCCAUAUUUAGUUUGAUGAAUGAAUUCAAGAAGUUAUCAUCCAUAUGCUCUCCAUUUUUAGUUUUGCUUAAAAAUCCAUUUGAGUUUUCUGCUUUGUUUCUCCUACAAGUCACGAGACUUGCCAUACAAGCAUUCUGCUGAAGCUUGCUGCUGCUGCCUCUUGCACCAACAACCUAUUCAGGAUUUAUAUGGAGCAUCUGUGAGCUAGAAGAAAGUUCUUUCAACCUAUUUUCAUUUAUCUUAGUUUAUCUAAUUAAAAGAAAAUUCAAAUAAUUGUCCCUUAUCAAUACUUAAGUAAUUCGGUGUAAAUAUAUUUGUUUUUGGCUUUCACUGCUGACCAUUUGGCACCACUUUUUCCCUUAUCAAUACUUAAGUAAACCGGUGUAAAUAUGUCCUGUUCUCCUUAAACCUCCUGUUGAACGUCUAAAUGGUUUGAUUAUGUGAAGUCGAACUUGAUACGCAUAGCACACACUACGUACAAAAUGUUUAGUUAAAAAAGACUAAUUUAUAAAGUUUAAUUGCUAAUUUUUUAACAUGGAAACUAGAAUUGAUUUUAUUUUCUUGCGAGUUUUAAACAAUUUUAUAGAAACCGGGUCUCGUUAUUAUAUACUGUAGGUUCGUUUCUAAGUUAUAUCAGUUUAUUUAUUUCCAAGCGAUUACCUAUUUAGAAAAGGUCCGGAAACUAAAAUCGGGACUUGUAAACUUAACGCGAGCUGAAAUCUUUUGAUCAAUCCUUUUUGUUCUUCAGCUUCUUUUCUUUCUUUUGUCUUUUGUUGCUUCAAACCCCUUCAACAAAUUCUCUUUUGAAUCGAUUUUUUUAUUGUUUGAAUCGAAUCAUUGUGGUUUAAAUCGAUUCUUUUUUGGAUUAACUCAAUUAAAAAACCCAACAUCCCGCCCAUAUGAGCGGGUAUACAGCAGACGUACUUAGGGGAAUAAGAAACAUAAACAUGGAAUAAAUGAAGAAGAAGAAGAGGAUGGUGGAGAAGAAAUCCAGAAAAAAAAAUGAAUUGACACAGGUUGGGGCACAAGUCAAGACAGAAAAAAAAAGUAAUGUGAAAUUUUAAUGCUUUAUUUGAUUUUCAAGCAACCCAUUUGAUACUUUUUUUUUUGUUUGCUUUACAAGGACAUGAACAAAAACUGGCGAGCUGAAGUUGAUCUUGGCAGUGUUCCUGAACAUCCCACUAAAUCAUUAGUUUGAGUGUCCCUUCCUAAGGAAAAGCUUCUUAUUUUUGAUGUGAAUGGAUGCUUGUCCGUUUUAAGGAGACUAAUAGACAUAUUAAAUCUUUUUCUAACUUCUAUUCAAAAUAUUAACAUAUUAGUUUUAUCUAUUCUUGUUUACAUUUGCAGAUGUUAUAAUGAGACCUGCUGCUUCCGAGUUUAUUAACUUUUGUUUGGAUAACUAUGUGGUUGCUAUUUGGUCAUCAAAGAGAAGGUAAUGUGUGUAAUUAGACUUAUAGCGACGUUUCCAUGUUUUUUGGUUGUUCUGGUGUCCAGGGGGCCAAAUCUACUACCAUUUGUCCUUAUUGGAUAAUGUGGCCCUCUGACACUUCCCAUAAUCCAUUUAAUGAACUGAUCUUUUAAGGAUAUUUCACUUUUAAGGAUAUUUACAAAUAAACUUUAAGAACAAUGCAGGUUUAAUACUUAAUCAACUCGAGAAGGAUAGGAAGGCACAAUUUUUCUUCGUUCACUACAGGAAAACAGAUUUUUAGCGGCGCUUUUUUUAGCCUUUAGCGGCGCUUUCUAAAACGCCGCAAAAAACGCUGCUAUAGGUAACGCCACAAAAAUUUGUGGCGUUUAUUGAAAAAAAACGCCGCUAAAGGUCAAGGCUUUUAGCGGCAUUUGUGGGAGAUGCGCCGCUAAAGGUCAAGGCUUUUUAGUGGCGCUUGUGGGAAAAGCGCCGCUAAAGGUCAAGGCUUUUAGCGGCCCUUUUUUUACAAACGCCGCUAAAUUUGGCAGAUUUGUAAUAUUUUUUUACACCAAUAUCCAGCCCUUCCUGCAUUAAAAUCCAACCAAAUACAACAAAUAUAAUAUAAAAUACAGCCAAAAACAACAAAUUUAACAUAAAAAAUACAAUCAAAAACAUUAAUUCUAAAUGAUACUUCAAAUUUAACUAAAGAUAUAUGAUAUAAUUAAUAAAUAAAGUAUAAUUUAAAAUAUUUUUACAAUAAUAUUAAACGUGACAAAACUUCAAAACAUUCUUACAAUAAGAAAACUAAUGUCUAAGACGGCGGCUUUUGCGAUUGUUGAAACAUAUGCAUCAUCUGCUGAAGCUGUAGCUGGAGGUCAUCGUACUUUUUGCUCUGUUCUGCUACCAUUGCUCGUGCCUCUGCCUCUCUCGCUGCAGCCGCUGCCUCCCUCUCUGCUGCCUCCGCUCUAAGUUGUUGCUGGAGUUCUUCAUAUUUUCGUUGAACCUCGGCAAUUUGCUCAACCAUGUUCGCUUACAUCUGAGCUAUCUGGUCUCUUAACCUCUGAACUUCAGCUUGAGCUUGACUUCCAGAAGGCAUGUAUUGCUGGGAGCCGGAUCCAAAAUAUUGGGUCGGGGUAACACCAGUUCCUUGAAAUCGAACUCGACCGUACCUUUCAGGACCCAAAACUUCAGUGAUAAAUCUGUUAUCAAUGUUCUCAAGAUUAACAGAACUAUCACUCGAAGCAAUCGCUUCAUAUUCCGCCUUCUUCUCCUUUAGUUUCUCCUAAAAAAUCAAUUAAAGAGUUAGAAACGAAAUAUAUAAUAAAAAGAAAUGCAACAUAACUUAACAUUUUUAAAACUACUAAUGAUGAAUUUAAUUAAACAAUUAUAAUUAAAGAUUAUAAAUAUUUAGAAUAAAUCAAAUAUUAUUAAGUGAAUAUACCAUAAUUUCUCUAGCUUCGGAUGUCAUAGGAGAUCUAUCUUUCUUCCUAUGCGUAAUCUCAAAAAGCUGAAGGCGUCCAACUUUUUGUCCGGAUUUGACUUCCUACAAUAUAGUAGUAAGAAUAUUAUUUAAUAAUAGAAAGUUAUUAAUAUUUGAAAGAAUUAAUAAAUUCAUAAUACCUCGGCCUCAGCUACAGAAGCAAAACUUCUCGACCCUGCCGUGUGCGUGAAUUUUUGUUUUUGCCUGCUGCUUGUUCCAACUCGCUCACGGUCCUACAUAAUAAAAUUAUUAUUACGUAUAUAGUAAACACUAAAUAUAAGAGUUUGGAAAUACGCAAUACCUCUCCUUUCUUUGAAUUCCAAAAUCUAACCGCAUCUUCCCAUUGAUACCUCAGCAUUCCUGGUGGAACAUUUCUCAGUUUUUCCUCGAGGCUUAUGUCUUUCUUAAAAUAUUGUUUCUUUAAAGUGCUUUUAUUGUCUCUCCAUCUUUUACCUAAUGCCUUCUUGAUAUAAUCAUCGGAGACUUCUAAAGCAAAUCUCUCCUAAAAAAACAUAAGUUUAGAAUGUAAAUAUAAAUGAAACUUAAACCAAAGUAUUAUAAAUUGUAUUCACAUUUUGUUACCUUAAUAUUAGCGAGAGCCUGGUUUUUGUUGCUAUCAGGCAUGUGAUGCCAUGAUUCAUAGUUGAUGGGCAACAUAUUUGCAUUUCGUGCUAAAAUGCCCAAAUAGCCUGUUAAAAGUCGAGCUUCAGAUCCAACAGGCUGACCAUGAGUAUUUCUACUUACUUUAACACGCUCGACAGGAUCUAAGUCGUAUAAAUCUCUAAGUAGCGUAUGUUCUCGAACUCUGCGCGUCCCACCACUUUCAGCUGAAAAAUGAUAUACUAUUAUUAUAUUAAAAUUGACAAAUCAUUCAAUAAUAAAAGUCAACACAUGUAAAAUGAACAUAAUAUUACUUUGAAAUUCUUCAGGCUCAUCAAGUGUCUCCGGCACAUUCGAAGAUCCAACAAUUGUCUGCUGUUCACUAUUUCUUUCUUCCGAAUUUGGAGUAUUCUGGACAAUACUUAAAUCUCAUACUCUUCUUCUACGCAUUUUUCCUGCAAUACACAUAAAAUAAUUAAAGUUUUAGUAACAAAUUACAACAAUAGUAGUACAUAUAAAAUAGUUAAAUUAUAUAACAUGACAAAGAUUAAAAUUAUAAUAUUACAUAUAAUUAAAAAAUUGUAAAAUCUUACUACAUCAUUAUUCGUAAAUAUCUUCAUCCACAUCAUGUCGAACCCAUUGAUGUUGUGUAUUAGUACUGGGGAUAUUUUCAUCUAAGUUUUGUUCUGGAAAAGGUAAUGUUUCUGAUCUUUCGACGAUGUCAUCUCUACUUCCAUUACCCAUUUCAAACAAGUCUCUAGGGGUGUUCUGGAGUACAACAUACCAACCCUCAUCAGUUGGAUCUUUCGAAUAAAAAACUUGUUUCACUUGAGAGGAAAAUACAUAUGGCUCGUCCAUCAAUUGCUGUCCAGUGUGAAUCAAGCGAGAGAAAUUCAACAUUGUAAAACCAAAUUGAUCUUCUUUAAUUCCUCGAGCAGUAUUAACAUCAGCCCAAUCACACCGAAAUAAGACAACUUUCCAUCUGCCAUAGUAAUCCAACUCAAUAAUGUCGGUAAUAAGUCCGUAAUACUCCACAUUACCCUCAACCGGAUUACUGUCCCUAGCACUAGCAUAACUUGUAAUUGAAGAAUUAACAACAACUCCACAAUUUUGAGUUCUCCUCAUUCUCUCACGAUACUUUGUAUGAAAUCUGUAUCCAUUGAUGAGGAAGGCACUAUAUCUUUUUAUUAUUCUGUUCGGACCUUGGGAAAGCCAUUUAACUUCGUCAUUGACGUCCUUUCCACUCCAAACCUAUUGAAUCGAAAGUAAAUUGAAUAAUUAACUAAAUUUUGGGAUUAUAUGUAACUUAUUAAAUUUAGUUACAUACCGUUUGACUUAACCAUUCAUGAAAAGAUUCUGUGAAUAACUUAUUAAUCUCUCGAUGUUGCAAUCUUUGAGAGCGUGCACGAGAUCUCAAAAUUUGUUUGUACUCACUAUGUUAAAAACAAGUGUAUUUGGUUAGAAGAUAAACAAAUCAAAACGACAAAUAUGUGAGGAAAUUUUAGAACUUACUUGCGUAACGGUUCAACUAAAUCGUGGUGAAAAAGUACAUAUCGAUGUGCUUGUAUCCACGAUAUAUCAUCUAAUUCUGCAAUUUCAACUUUGCCGAUUGGUUCUCCAUAACUUUGGAAUAAAUAAGUUUCGGCCAAGUUAUGAUCAUUGAGCCCAGCAUUUCUAUUUGGUCUAUUCAAUCGUGUUUCAACAUCUUCUAAAUAUCUAGAACAGAAUGUCAUACACUCAUCUGCCAAGUAGCCUUCAAGAAUUGAUCCUUCUGGAUAACGCUUAUUGCGACAAUAAGAUUUCAAUUUGCUUAGAAACCUAAACACGAUAUACAAUAUUUAUCAAAAGUUGUAACUAAAUGUAUAGACGCGAAUAAAUAAAUACUUGACAAAUAAAUUAGCACCUUUCUAUUGGAUACAUCCAUCGAUAAAAAACCGGUCCACCAAGUAUUGCUUCGUGAGGGAGAUGGAUUACCAAGUGCACCAUAAUAGUGAAGAAGGAAGGUGGAAAGAUCUUCUCCAAAUUGCAUAAAGUCAAAGCAGCUCGAUCCUGUACUUUCUUAAGUUCUUCAACAUCCAAAACUUUGCCACAAAUAGCUUUCAUUAUAUUGGAUAGUUCAAUUAUACAGGACGUCACAUUUUUUGACAUGCAGCACCGUAAAGCAACUGGGAGUUAAUCUUGCAUCAAGAUGUGGUAAUCAUGUGAUUUUAAUGAAUAUAAUAUUCGAUCUUUAAGACUCACACAUCGAGAUAUAUUUGACGCAUACGUAUCUGGGACCUUUAUAUCCUUCAACACCAUACAAAACACCUCUUUCUCUUCCUUUGACAUUGAAAAAAUAGAAGGCGGCAACCGAUAUUUCCCAUUUGGAAGUUCUUGAGGAUGAAGAUCACGCCGAAUUCUCAUGUCAACUAAAUCAAGUCGACUCUGAAGAUUGUCUUUUGAUUUUCUAUCGACAUUCAAAAUUGUCCCAAUUAUGUUCUCACAGACAUUCUUCUCAAUAUGCAUGACAUCAACAUUGUGACGUAAAAUAUUAUGCUCCCAAUAAGGUAACUCAAAAAAAUACUUCUUUUUUCCACCAGUCUGCCUCAUUAGGAUCAUCCUCUUCAUCAGAUUCAUCAUCAGAUUCAUCCCUCGAUAUUCUCUUUGAUCUCGUGUUAGGUGGUUGAUUCAUCUUCCCAUAACUAAAUUUGAUAUCUUUUAACAUAAACAAGAUUUCAGAUCCAACGGUCUGCUGAGGAGCUCCUCUGUACUCUUUAGUACUGUCAAAUAGAGCCCUCUGAAAUCUAAAUUUAUGAUUUCCAUCUAACCACCGAUGAUGGCCCAUAUAAGAGAACUUCUUCCCAUUGUACAACCACUUCGAACAAGUUUGCGCAGCACAACAAGGACAAGCAUAACGUCCUUUAGUACUCCAACCCGAUAAAUUAGCAUAAGCCGGGAAAUCAUUAAUUGUACACAAUAAAGCGGCACGUAAAUUAAAGUUCUCCUUUCUCAAUACAUCAUAUGUCUCAACACCCGACCAUAAUUGUUUUAACUCUUCAAUAAGUGGCUGCAAAUAGAUGUCAAUAUCAUUUCCGGGACCUUUCUCUCCAGGGAUAAUCAUUGAUAAAAUAAAUGAAGAUUGCUUCAUGCAAAUCCAUGGAGGCAAAUUGUAAGGAACAAGCACUACAGGCCAAGUACUAUACGAAGUACUCAUGAUUUUAAAUGGAUUAAAGCCAUCAGCUGCUAGCCCAAGCCUCACAUUCUGAGGAUCACUUGCAAAGCUUGGAAAUUUACUGUCAAAUGAUUUCCAAGCUAAAGAAUCCUCAGGAUGUCUUAAUAAUCCAUCAUCGGUCCAUUGAUCAUUAUGCCACCUCAUAGAUUCGGCUGUCUUUGAGGACAUGAAAAGCCUUUGAAGUCUUGGUAUCAGGGGAAAAUAUCGCAAGACCUUGACUGGCUUCUUUCUUAACUGUGCCCCACCUUCAUCCGUAUUCACAUCUUCUGUAUUACUAUUCAUCCAACGAGACUUACCGCAAACAUGACAAGAUUGUUGGUUUUUCUAAUCACCCCAGUACAACAUGCAGUCAUUUGGGCAACUAUGAAUUUUAUCGUACCCAAGGCCCAAAUCUUUUAUUAGUCUCUUCAUGUCUUGACAAGACUGGGGAAUUUUUGUAAACGGAAACAUCUCUCUUAGAAACUCUAGCAGCAUUGUAAAAGAGUUUCCGGUCCACCCUCCCAAACAUUUUAAGUGAAAUAGACGAAUGCAGAAGGACAAUUUCGAAUAUUUUGAUCCCUCGUAAAGUUCUUCAUUCAUUUCAUUAAGUAAAUUGUAGAACUUAGCCGCUUCUUCAUUUGGUUCCUCAUUAGGUGUACUUGUUCCCGUUUCACAAAAAUCAUUUCCAGUAAUAUUACAAUCCUUAGAUAUAAUAAAGUCAGGUGGAAACGAUUGCUCACCAUGACUACGCAUAUUAAAUGCAUCCCGCAACAUAUCUUUCAUGUCAUCUUGUCUAACAUACUGAUGGUAAUCAGUAUCAGGAUAAGUCGGAUUAAUCGUUGAAGAAGUUCCACUAGAUGUACACUCUCCAUGGAAAAUCUAUUUUUUAUACCACCGAAUAAAGCCAUCAACUAUUAGAUGUUCGUAGACAACUUCACGAAAAUGCAAGUAGAUGUUGCCACACUUCUUACACGGACAAAGAAUCAUAUUCUCUUCGCUUGCAUUUUGAAAUACAAAAUUUAGAAAAGUUUGUACUCCAUUUUGAUAGGCAUUGCUUACCCUUGACAAUUUCAUCCAACUCCUAUCCAUUUUGUAGUUCUUGAAAUCUAAAGUUGACAACAUAUUACAGUUACUUAAAUGUUCUCAAUUGAUUUAAAUCCUAUCAUUAUACUAAAUAUCAAGUCUCUAAUGGGUAUAAACUAAUUUAGGCAAGUUGCAGGAUUUUCGACUAUAGAUUUAUGUAUUAUGUAAGUUAAGUAAAUUUCGUAAACUAGUUAUGUAUGAUAUGAUAUAUAUUUAAGUAUUAUGUAAGUUAUGUAAGUUAUAUAUUUAUCUAAGUUAUAUAAGUUAUAUAAGUUAUGUAUGUUAUAUAAGUUAUGUAAGUUAUAUGUUAUAUAAGUUAUGUAAAUUAUGAUAUCAAAUAUAUUUAUGUAUUAUGUAGGUUUUUUAUUUCACGAUGUGGAAAAUCACAUGGAUAAUACAUAUCAAAUAUCAAGUAUCUACAGGUAAGUAGCGGGAUUAAAUAAUUUUUAAUUAAAUAAUAUUUAUAAAAAUUAUUUUAAUUAAAUAAUAUACAUGUUGUUCGUUUUUAUUUGACAAAUCACAUGUGCAGUUAAAAUAGUCCAUACUUAAUUUAAUUUAUGUUUUACAAGUCAUCUUUUCUUAAGUACAUAUUAAAGCACUGUGUGGACAUCCGUAUUUAGCUUAAAAGCUAUGAUUUAGUUUGAAUAAAAAGUUUAACUUAAAUGGUAAAACGGACGAUAAUAUUUGUGAUAAAACGGACCAAAAUAUUUCAAUAAUAAUUUAAAUUUAAGUUAAAAACUAUAUAAAAUAUUUUAUUAAAUAUUUGUAUAUUAGAUGGGACAUAUUAAAUUGAAACAUACAAAUUUUUUAAGAUUCAUCAUACGUGGCGUUGUUACACCUAGGGAGGAUCCAUUAUAUCUUGCAGCUCGAUAUAAGGCAACCCGUCAGGUUUCCAGCCUAUAUACUUUGAAUCUUUAAAAUAUUUAAAAUAAGGUUGGAGAGAAGGUCAGGUAUUGUUGUAAUUUUGAUAAAAAGUAGUUAUAACUUUUAAAGAAAUUUAAAAAUAUUAAAUAUUAAAAUAAAACAUUAUUAAUAUAAAAAAAAUAGUAAUUUGAAUAUAAUAAUAUCAAAAAAGAAUCGUAGUUUAAUUUUUAUAAGUAAAUUGGAAAUAAAUUAAGGUUAUAUAAAUAUUCAAUAGUAAAUGAGCUCGAUAGAACUUUUUUCAAGUCUUUUUGAAUUUUUUAAGAUUCAUCAUACGUGGCGUUGUUACACCUAGGGAGGAUCCAUUAUAUCUUACAGCUCGAUAUAAGGCAACCCGUCAGGUUUCCAGCCUAUAUACUUUGAAUCUUUAAAAUAUUUAAAAUAAGGUUGGAGAGAAAGUCAGCUAUUGUUGUAAUUUUAAUGGACAAGCAAGCUACACGGUAAUAAAAUUAAUUCAUACCUAUUCAUACUUAAGUUGAAUCAAAUAAUAAUUAAGUUCAACCAAAUAUUUAAAAUUAAUUUGGAAACAAAAUAGUUCUACUCCAAACAGAACUAGCAAUUAAAUCUUUACAAAAUCGCAACCCCAAAAUAUUAAUUUUUCCAAAAUCAUCAUGAUAAAACUAUUAUUGAUUAGAAUUUUGAAAUAAAGCCUACCUUAAUAAAACGUACCUGGUCUACUCCACUCUCACCAGCAAACAGAGGCUGGAGUCAAAAAAGAAUUAUGUAUUAUGUAAUUUAAAGUGAAAAUGCAUAGAAAUAAGGAAAAAUUUUAGCAACGAAACUUGUACGUACCUAGAACAAAUGCAAAUAGCUGUGGUGUAUUUAGUUGCACCAAAUAUUAAUUCAGGUGCUCGAUAUUACCUAGAACAGAUGUAAGAUUAUAAGAGUAGCACCAAAUAUAUUUCAGUUUAAGCAAAUAUAAAAACUUUACCUAUAUCAGUUUUGCAAGUGCCCACUUGUACCAGGAUCAAUGACACUGCCAAUGAAGCUAUACACCUUAGCAAAAUAUGGCAAAACUGCACAGUAAACACAUAAGUUGGAUAGAAACAUGAAAACAGACCAAAAGAACAUCUAAAAAACAAAAAUGGAAUCACCAUUAGUAUGUAAACAUGAAAAUGCACAGCUUUAAACAAACCAGCUUUUCAUGUGCAGAAUCAUACUCUACAAAACUCAUAAACAUUAACUUCUCCUAACCAGAAUACCAACUUUAUGUUUACAGAGGCCUUGAUCAAAACUAACAUAACUGUUGAUUUAUAACUUAUCUAAUAAGAAUCACAGAAUAUGCAGAAAGUACCUGAGCAUUUAGUUUCAAGAGAACCAUGUAUUCGAAGGAAAAGAGCCAGAAAAUGAUCAAUGUAUGCAAAACCUGGUCUAUAUUUCAAAACUGGAGUAAAGCUUUCAUCUAGUACCAAAUACAUACAUAUAUAGAGACACAAACACACAGGCAUACAUCUUCCAUUACCUAAAUCUGUUUUUUGCAAAUAAAAGAUAAGUAAGCUUCUACAUGAUUCAUACUAGAUUGCUAAUCCUAGCAGAAAAAAUGCAUGAUUCAGUUUCUAGAGAUGUUGAAUCUUUCAUCAUAAACAUAAAAAACAUAAAAGGAAAAACAUGUUGAAAGAAACAUAAAUGUUAGCGAAGACAAUGUUUACCUUGAUUGAAUUGGAAAUGUUUUCUUGAGGGUUUAUUUGGAGAUGCUUGGGAUUGAUCUCUAAUAAUGUCGAGAGACUUCCCUACUCAUUGCAUUUGAAGAACAGAAGUCUGUUUCUGGUCGACAAAACAAUCAAAUGAGUUCUAAAAAUAAACAAUAUUUAAUGAUUGGUAUAAUAUUAAUUAUAUUUGCUAAUAACAUGUGGGAAUAAACAAAUAAAAUGAUAAAAAAAUAGAAGCUAUAAGAAUUACUAAAAAUAAAGCUACGUCAACAAUGGUAUCAUGAGAACGAAAAUUAAAAAUCCGAAUUAAGUAAAAAAAACAGAGAAAAAUAUAAAAGAGAGACAAAUAAGGGGACAAAGGGCUAGUUUUGUUGGAAUAACCGAAGUUGCCGGAUUUUCCACUAAAAAUCAUAGUUAAAAUUCUAGGGAAAGACAGUAAGUAACAGUCACCCUAAUGAAGACCAUUGUGAGGAGAAAUAGGACCAAGCUCAAUACCAUUAAAAGACAGUAAGUUACAUUGUAUACAUAUUAUCAUUGCAAUUUGGUAUAAAUAUUUCCUAUUAUCCCAGCAAUGCUAACUAUCACAGACAGUAUUAACAUUAACCACGACAAAAAUUUUUCUACUCUGCUCAAGCUCAUGCUCUCUUCUUGGUGACUUAUCCUCAAUGCAAUUAGAGCAGGGAACGUAAAACCUAAGGAAACAGCUAUUGUUGCUCCAGUAAAUUUAAAAGCUGUCCAUAUAUUUGGGAUCAUAGUAGAUCCAAUAAGCUUAAUCAGGGAACGUAAAAUCUGGGCUCAUCCUUGGAGCCUUUAUCUUCCCCUCAAUAAGCUUAAUGAAUGCAACAGCAAAGCAAACCACAACGAAAACAACAGCGAGAACUACCGAAGCAGCCGAAGUCAUGCUCAAUGAAUCAAUCCUAUCUAACACGCAAAGUGGAGCAAGAAAAACAACCGUAACAACCAAAACCAAUAACUUCCUAUGAUCCCAAAAAACAUGUUCUAACCACUUAUCGAAAACCCCAAUAUGACGAAUCGAACCAGACAUAACAUCACCCAUAAUAAUCAAAUAAACUAUCAAGACACCUGCAUUGUUGACAAUUAUGCAAAUCUCAGACAAAACCCUAGCAGUUCUCCCCAUUGCAAUUUGCACAACUUCCCCAUAAGAUCUAGCUUUACAAGAAACUGCAAACCUAAUCAACAUCUCGACACUAAUUUCAGACAAAAUCCCAACCAGGUUUAUCCAAAAAAUUCCCUAAAACAAGCCCCAGAACCUUCAUAGUAGCAGCUAAAGCCAUGAUUCCAGCACCAAUAAUUGUGGUGGUUAAGUUAAAAACAGCACUAGAAACACCAGACCCGGUAUUGGGUUUACUUAAAACAAGGGUAUAACCAUCCAGAUCAAACCCAUUUCAAACCAUUUCAAACAAAAAAAAGGCAAGUAAUACAUGGAAAAACAAACAAACAAAACCACACAAGGAAAAUAAAACAAAACAAAACAAACGCCCCAAGUACGAAAGUUCAGUUGCUUUAACACGCAAAAACUGAAGGAUUAGAUUAAUUGGUUUAGACCAUAGUUGAACUAAAUUCAGUGUUCUAUAAGGUGACUUUUGGUUUAAGUAAUAUUUUCGAAUUCAAUAGGCUGACCUUACCGCCAGUUCAUCAUUGACGAUAUUUUAAGGAAAGAAAAGAAAUACUGUUGAAGCUUCAAGGACCCAACGAAUAAAGUGAAAGAAAAAAACGAUAUGGCUUAGCAGUUACCAGAAAGUUUGGGAUCGAUCGGUGUAUAUUGACGUAUGAAGAGUUGGCUCUUCUGGUUCUGGUUCAGACGAAAUCGAGUGAGAGAGAAGUGCUUUGCUACUUUUUCAUAACAUUCAGAAAUUGAGCUUUGUACGAAUCAACUAACCCUGAUUUGUCGAUAAAAUGAAUUGAUAGGGCUUUCUUCUUGUAUGUUUUUCAGUUGAUGAUCAUUGGGCUAAAACCCUAAAUAUGAAGCAUAUCACCGUCGACGAGAGGAAAGGGAAAAUAAUUAGGGAUUUCGGGGAUGGGGGAACAGAUUAAGGGAAAAGAAGGGGACUUGGGAAAAAUGUUAGGGAUUUCGGGUUUGGGGAAUUAGGGGAUGAUUUGGGGAAAAAGAAAGAGGGGUUUUCUGUUGUAGGGAUUUAGGGAAGGAAGAGACAAAAUAGGGGAAAAUUACUUAGCAAAAAUCGAAACUGAUUUCAGGUAAAGGGCAUAAACCACAGGAGAGAAAAAACGACGCCGUUUCAAAUAAGGAAAUUUUGUGGCGUUUUCAAAAACGCGCUGGUAAUGAGCCCUUUUGCGGCGUUUUCAGUAAAGCGCCACUAACGCCCUUUUAUCUACACAACAAAACGACGCCGUUCUAAUACAAGUUGUGGCGUUUAUAUUAGAAACGCCGCUAAAGCCGCUACUAUUCAGAGGAAACGAUGUCGUUUUACUCUAAUGUAUAUUGAAGUUUUAUGGCAUUUUCUAAAAAAACGCCGCUAUUUCCUAUCUUUUGCGGCUUUUUAUGUAUAAACGCCACUAAUACGUGAAUAUUUUAUAAAAAUUGAUCAAAAUUUAAAACUAUAUAUAUUUAGAAUUUCUUUUAAAUUAUAUCUAAAUAAUGUUACUGUGAUGUACAAAAUAUAUAUUUCAAUCUUCAAUAUAUUAGGUUUAGUACAAAUUCGCAAGAAUAUCAUAAAAUUCUAAAUAUUGGUUCAGUCUUCAAUAAUAAUAUACCUUAAACUUUAACCUUAAACUUUAAACCUCAAACUAUAAACUUACACUCUAAUUAAACCCUAACUAUAGUUAAAAUUUUAUUUUUGAUUUAAUACACAUUUUAAAAUACAUAUUAUGUAUGCAUAUAAAUUAAUUAAAUAAAAACAUGAUGCUAUUUAUUAUAUCAAAAUUAAUUAAAUAUUUUACAAGAUCUAGAUCAAAUUACAGUUCAUGUACACAAUUGCACACUAAACCACUUUUCAUAUAUAUAUUUAUAUAUUUUUUAAAAUAAUAAUUUAUAUAUAUUUAUCUUAUAUACAUUUAUCUUCUACAUUAAAAUCCAAAAUUAUACUCUAAAUUUAAAACCCUAAACUUCAGACUCUAAACCCUAAACCUUGGACCACAAACACAAAACCCCUAACCCCAAACGUUAAACCCCAAAACCAUUCGGUAACCCCUAAACCAACCAUAACUCCUAGACCAUAAAGCCCAAACUAUAAAGUGUACUUUAAAAACUGUUAACCCUAAACCAUAAUAUUCGUAGACAUAUUUUUUGGAAUUCGUGUGGCCAAUGUUAGUGUAGUACAAAUUAAAACACACAUGUAUAUAUGUUUAUAUUCUUAUAUUAAAUAAUAUGAGUAUAUACAAAAUAGCUUGAAUCUUAGUAAAAUCCAAAUGUUCUUCAGUUAAUUUCUAGCUAGCUAAUAGUAUCAUUUCCUUAAACCCUUAACCUAAACUUACACCCUAAAUAUAUAUUAUAAUCUUAAUAUAUAUUAGAAGUUUAAUAUAUAUAACAAGGGACAAAAGUAAUUCAAAUAGAAUCUUAAUGCUUACCAAAACUCUAAAAUAAAUUAAUUUUUUUUAUCAUUAAUCAUAACCUCUAAUCCCUAAUAGCAUAACCCCUAAAACAUAUAUAUGUACCUAUUUUUUAAAAUAAUAAUUUAUAUUUAUCUUAUUUAGAGAUUUAUAUUAUAAAAAAAAUCUAAGAUACACAAGUUAAGUAGUUUACCAUAUUUACCUCUAAAUUCUAAACCCCAAAUCUCAAAUCCUAAACUCUAGGCCCUAAACACUAAACCAUAACCCAUAAACUAAAUUACUUUUUUGCGGCGUUUUUCCAUAAGCGCCGCUAAAACAUCGGCCUAUAGCGGCGUUUUUCCAAAAGCCCCGCUAAAACCUCGGCCUAUAGCGGCGUUUUUCCAAAAGCGCCGCUAAAACCUCGACCUAUAGCGGCGUUUUUCCAAAAGUGCCGCUAAAACCUCGACCUAUAGCGUCAUUUUUCCAAAAGCGCCGCUAAAACCUCGACCUAUAGCAGCGUUUUUGCAGAAGCACCACUAAAACCUCGACCUAUAGCGGCGUUUUUCCAAAAACACCGCUAUUGUACAGUUUUUAGCGGCGUUUGGGCCAAAAACACCGCUAUUGCUCAGUUUUUAGCGGCGUUUGGAUCAAAAAUGCUGCUAUUGCUCUGUUUUUUGCGGCGUUUUAUUGCAAACACCGCUAAUGUAAAAUAUUUGCGGCGUUUUUUGUUCAAACGCCACUAAAAACACUGCUAAAGCCCUAUUUUCCUGUAGUGGUUUGGGUAACUUUUAUAUUAUUAUGUGAAAGAAUACUGAAGAAUCAAGGUACUCUUUAGAAACAAUUCUUAGAAAGAAACGAAGUAGUAUUCUCAAAGUAACAAACUUAACUCAGCCCUUUCACUGGCUAGAAUACAUGAUUAUAUAGGAAAUAGAAGCGUAAACUGCGGUUAACAGAAUAGCCUAACAAAUUCUAACUGACUAACCACUUAUCUAAUUACACAUUAAACACAUGUGUAUUGUGAAUACUAUAACAUUCACCUAACUUCCUCAAGUGGAACGACCCGAAGACGACGACAAAAUUAAGUGAACAUUGACGCGGACAAUGGUUUAGUAAGAACAUCCGCCACUUGGUCACAUGCAGGAACUUCGCUAACAACCAACUCACCACGAGCGACCUUUUCCAGAACAAAAAAUAGAUCAAGUUCAACAUGUUUGAACUUAGAGUGCAAGACCGGGUUAGCUGCAACAGCAACAGCACUAGAAUUAUCACACCACACUGUCGGAAGAUCAACCGAACUAAGGUUUAACUCUGUCAACAAGGAAACUAGCCACGUAACAACACUAGCAGCUGCGGCUAAACUCCGAUAUUUAGCCUCGGCCGUAGAGCGAGAAACAACUUGUUGUUUCUUAGAGCACCAAGAAAUAGGAUUGUCACCAUAGUACACAAAAUAUCCUGUAGUAGAUCGGCGAUCAUCAACAUCAAGUCCCCAAUUUGCAUCGGCAUAGCCAACCAAAGACAGUCGAUCAGACUUGCGAAAAACCAAACCAUGAGAUAGUGUACCAGACAAGUAUCGCAAAUAUGUUUCAACGCUACCAUGUGUAAUGUAGUGGGAGCAUGCAUAAACUGACACACCCGAUUAACUGCAUAAGCAAUAUCUGGUCGUGUCAAAACGAUAUACUGAAGAGCUCCAGCAAUACUACGAUAUUCAGUUGGAUCAGCAAGAGGUUUACCCUCAUCUUUAGAUAGCAGAGAAGAGGUUAUCAUCGGUGUAUGAACACUUUUGGCUUUAGUCAUAGAACUACGAGCAAGGAGUUCACGGAUGUAUUUCCGCUGGCAUAGGUGAAUACUCCCUGAGGAAGACUGACUAACUUCAAUGCCCAAAAAAUAAUGAAGCUCACCCAUAUCUUUUAGAGCAAAUUGGUUGUGGAGCAUUUGAACAAAACAAUAUAUUUCAUCAACUGAACUUCCAGUGAUAACAAUAUCAUCCACAUAAACAAGAACGUAGAUAGUAUGACCAGAAGACAACCGAACAAACAAUGAAGCGUCGGACUUUGAUACCGUAAACCCAACAGAAACGAGGAACUAUUUUAAUUUGUCAAACCAAGCCCGAGGAGCCUGCCGUAAGCCAUACAAAGCUUUAGUCAACCGACAAACUAACCGUUCACCAUUUGGACCAAACUGCUCAUAGCCAGGAGGUUGUUGCAUAAACACAUCAUCAGUUAAAUCGCCAUUUAGAAAGGCAUUAUUGACAUCGACCUGCCGAAGAUGCCAUCCCUUGGUCACGGCAACAGACAGGAUGAGUCGAAUGGUAGCAGGUUUGACAACCGGGCUGAAUGUCUCCUUAAAAUCGUAACCAGGUACCUGUGAGCACCCCUUGGCAACCAAUCGUGCCUUCCGACGACUAAUUGUCCCAUCAGGGUUCUUCUUGAUCUUAAACAACCACUUACAACUGAUUGCUUUCCAGCCAGACGGGAGAGGACACAACUCCCAAGUCGAGUUAGCUAGUAAGGCAUCAAAAUCAGCUUGAACGGCUAGUUGCCAUUCUGGAUGGCUAAGAGCCUCUUCAACAGUACAUGGCUCAACCUCAACUUUGUCGGCACAUACGGCUCGAGGUUUAAAUAUCCCAGCUUUAGAUCUUGUUACCAUUGCAUGCGUGUUAGUAACAAAGAUAGGAGAAACAUAAGGAGGAGCCGUAGGAGAAACUAUAGUAGAAGGAACCUCUUCUCAGUCAGCAGAUCUAGAAGUGGAACUUUGCGGAGAAACACUACCUGUAGCAGGAAAAUUAGACUGAAUGCUAUCACCAUUAGAACUAUCCACAGAAGUCUCAACAACAGAGUCUGGACAAAUCUUAUUAGAAAUACACGAUCGAACAACUGGUACAUACGUAGUAGUAUUCAGAGGUAACUGGUCACUGGAGGUAGUAGAUAGUGAAGACAGAAAUCUAUUUUCAUCAAACACGACAUGACGAGAAACAAUAACCUUUCCAUCUGGCGUGAGACAGAAAUAACCUUUAUGAUGCGGACUAUACCCCAGGAACGUAGACGGUUGAGACCAAAACUCGAGCUUGUGGUUACCAAAUGGUCGUAGGUAUGGGAAACAACAACAACCAAACACCCGAAGAUGAUCAUAUGUUGGAGAGCGAUUAAAUAAACACUGAAACGGGGUCUUCCCUUCUAAAACCGAUGUGGGUAAUCGAUUAAUGAGAUGAGUAGCACUACAAAAAGCAUAACCCCAGUAGUCCAUUGGUAGAUUAGCUUGAGCCAGAAGAGUGAUACCAGUCUCAACAACAUGUCGGUGUUUACGCUCCGCAACACCAUUCUGUUCAAACGUAUAGGGGCAGAAAACCCGAUGAAGAAUCCCCUGAUUAGCUAAGACAGAAGAGAAGGUACGGAACUCACCACCCAAAUCACUUUGAAAUUGCUUGAUAUGCUUGCCAAACUAAGUGAAAACCAUCUUCUGAAAUUGACUAAAACACUCUACAGCUUGAGAUUUCCGACUGAUUAGAUAAAUCCAGGUAAAUCGACUAGUCAUAUCAAUAAACGAAACAUAAUAGAGAUUACCUUCACAAGGAACAGCAGCAGGUCCCCAGAGAUCAGAGACUACCAACUCAAACAAAUCAACAUAUUUAGUAUUAGAUCGCGAAAAAGGUAGCUUAUGUGAGUUACCCUGCUGACAAGCCACACAAACACCAGUAAGGUGACUUUUAUUACAAGAAAUUUGACAACUAGCAAGAACAUUUUUUACAAUAGUAUCAGCUGGAUGACCCAGUCGUUUAUGCCACAAACUAAAAACAUCAGUGUUUGGAGAACAAUCUUGAAGAGCAGCACUAUUAACAGAAGGAAUCAAACUACUCGAACUGACCAAAAAAUGAUAUAAUCCAUCACGAACUUGGCCCCGCAGUAAGAUUUCCCGUGUCUGGAUGUCCUUAAUCACACAAUAGGAGGGGUGAAACUCAAAAAACACAUUGUUAUCAGUAGCGAAUUUAGAUACAGACAAUAAAUUCUUCCGAAUACUAGGCACACACAGCACAUUUGAUAAAUGUAGUAACUUUUGCGUCGUAGGUAUAUCAGCAUUCCCAACAGACGUAAUUUUAGUGGAGACGCCAUUACCCAUUAAGAGGGAAGAAUUACCUGAAUACGGAGUGGAUCCAUGCAAAUCGGAAUCAUUGCGACAGACAUGAUGGGUAGCCCCUAAGUCUGGACACCAAGACGCAUUCCCUACUGGCAAUGGAACAUACGAGUUAGUGGCAUUAAAAUUUGAAUCGAAUCAUAAUACGUAGAAUCAGAGUAAUCCGAAGCAUGUAACUCAGGAACCCGAGGCAGAAGCCCAAUAAACUGAGACGAGGGAUAUGGUGACGAAUCAACAGUAAACACACGAGCUCGUGGUUUCAUCCGCCACGGGGCCUCAUGAACAGUCUGCCACGAUCGGUCAACACCAACACAAUUAGCUGACGGCUCAGGUACAAACGUGCCAUCAUGUGGACAAGCCUGGAUCGGCCCACUAGGCCCACGUGACCGAGGAGCCAUCUGACUAGAGGAGUGGCCCCAGGAUGUAUCACCAUGAUUAAUUUCCAUAGAUUUCGAUUUGGGCCAACCGCAUGCCCAUUAUCAUAAAUUGGUUGGUCAACAUUAGUAGGUAGCCCAUCACCACGUGGAACAAAUGGAUUAAAACCAUAAGUUCCAGCCCCAACAUGUGUCUCCCGUGGGACCCAACUAGCUCCUGCAUAAUUCGGCCAAGGGUGAGGCCUCUAAUUUUGACCAGCAAUCCCCCAAUUUUGACCGAACCCCAUAUCUUUCAUGCGCUCAUCAUCUCGCCCAUUUGUCCCAGGAACAAAACCACCCCUUCUUGGCGCCGACGCAUCAACCGGAGAUGGUUCAUCACGAUGGUAUCAAUAAUAGCAGCGCUGCGCAAGGUGCCCAAAACGGCUGCAUAUCUGACAUUGAAUACGGGAACGGAACGAGCGUCCACGACCACGAGCAGAGAACUGACCACCUCCACGAAGCGAACUGUCUAACGACGGAAGAGACGGGCCCUCCAUUGUAUUUGCAGCAACCAGUACCUCUUGGACAGACCGCGCCUGGCGAGCUUCGCACUCAAUCAAGGCAUCUACAAGAUGUUGAAACGGCAAGGGGCUCGAGGAGAGGGAAGCGGUUGAAAUAAUCGAGUCGAAGUCAGAUGAAAGGCCGGCUAGAAGAACUGCCGAGCGUUCGGCCUCCGAGAUGGGAGAUCCAGAGGCUGCAAGCAAAACACACAAACUAGCGAUUUUAUUCACAUAGGAGCGAACCGAGAGACUACCAUUCCAAAGGGAGUGAAGCUCAUGUCGCAAUUGUGACUGCUUCGUGCUUGAAUCGGCUACAAACAGACUGUUGGCCAUGAGCCACACAUCAUGAGCAGUCCUAACAUCGGUAAAGGAGGAUAAGAAAGACGGGCUAAUGGUGGAGAGAAGCCAAGAAGUAAGCAAGCUAUCUUGCUGAUCAAAAACCAGCACAGCGGGAUUGACAACAAGACCUCCAUCGGACGACUAAAUGAACCGUGUCGGAGCCGUCAAGGAGCCAUCAAGCAAGCCAAACAGACUGUAGCCUCGAAGAAUAAGUCGGAUCUGUUGCUGCCACUGCACAAACGAGGCUUCGUCCAACUUCACAACAUCAUGACGAGGGAACGACGUAACCACCCAAUCACCAAGAAAGGUCGAGCCAUUGAGCUCCGCAGAAUCAGAGGUAGCAGAGUGCGUAGUAGUCAUGCCCAAGGAUCACCAAGCGAAAGAUACCAUGAAAGAAUACUGAAGAAUCAAUGUGCUCUUUAGAAACAAUUCUUAGAAAGAAACGAAGUAGUAUUCUCAAAGUAACAAACUUAACUCAGCCCUUUUACUGGCUAGAAUACAUGAUUAUAUAGGAAAUAGAAGCCUAAACUGCUGUUAACAGAAUAGCCUAACAAAUUCUAACUGACUAACCACUUAUCUAAUUACACAUUAAACACAUGUUUAUUGUGAAUACUAUAACAUUAUGCAGUGGGGUGUAUAUUUUUUAUCUGUUUGGUUUUGUUUCAAGAAUCUAUAGAAUUUUCUGAUAUUUGAAGGAGUUAAUUUCAAUUAUUCAGGAUUAGAAGAACUGCAAAAAAAAUCUAGAAUCCAAUAACGUAUAUGUUAAAGAUCUACAAGGAUUAUAACGAAGAAAAUACCUCGUUGGUGGAUGAUUCAGCAGAAAAAGUGAUUUAUAAUCCAGUAAGUAAAUAACUCAUGAUAUUUGUUUUUACUUUUAAAUGCAACUGAGUUGGAUCUAAAUUCUUUUAUCAUUAUUAUGUUUUCAAUUAUGUUCACGUUUUAGGAACACAACUUUAUAUGUCUUAAACCUUUUCAAGCAUUAGGUAAAACUUCCAUUGUCAUGAAAUUCCUUCUUUAAAUAUUUCCUCAAAGAUUAUUUACUAACUAUUGUAUUUGCGAUUGAUCACAGAAAAAGGUGGUACCAUUCGGGUCUGUUUGGAAAAUUUGGUCAUGAGAAGAAAAUAUCCAAGAAUAGGGGUUACCUCUAGACUGUUGAAGGUUACUUUAACCAGAGGUAGUACUAAGUGAUAUGAGUGCUAAGUGACAUGUUGAGUGGUUGUCUUGAAUUUGUAUAAUCACACGUUCAACAGGAGGUUUGAGGGGAACAAAACAUAUUUACACCAGAUUACGUAAGUAUUGAUAAGGGACAAAAUGUUGUGCGUGCAUGGUUAAUCUUCCGAGACAUACCUUCCUUCACGUUGAUCAUUAUAAAUGUUCUUCUAAUCUUUUUUACCAAUUGUUCUUGCUGAAAUUACUAUAAUUAUAGAUAAUAAAGGGUCUACAAUGGAUGGAAUUGAAAUCAAUUUGUAAAUUUCUAAAGGGUAUAAAUUUCUAAACAUUCCAUUUCCCGUUAAUCUUUAGAAAACCUUACAAGAUUUGGCCAACCCGAAUGAAUCAAUGUUUCAAGAGAUUUCAUUCUCUUAGAUUCAAAAAUUUAAGCCUCUUAAGCACUUCAAUUGAUGGAUGAACAUCUACUAAUUUGGUACAACCUUCCAUAACCAAAACUUCAAGAUAUGGGCCUAUCGUGAAGUCGGGUGUCUUGAAACCCUUUGAGUUCGAUCAUUUUCAACAUAUACAUAGGCUGUUGAAGCCAAUAAUAAAUUGAAGAGAAAAAGAGAAAACAUAAGAAAGCUCAUUUCUAUUGCAAUAAGCUAAACUAUAAGGACCGCAUGAAUUUAACUCUUAUUUUAUUUCCUGUCCAAAGUUGUUCAAUGUGCGACAAGAUUGUCUAAUUGGAAGCUUCAAGACAAUGAUCUUAAAGGGCAUUCUUUUCAAUCUAAAACUCGUAGUUCAUUAGAAAGAUAUUUGAGAUUUCCAUAGUUAGGACUCUGAACAAUCUCAACGUUUUCAUCUUUGAGAAGGCAUCAACACUCAAAUAUUAAUAUUAAGUACAAUAUAUUUUGCAGAUUGGAUCAGUAUACCAUUGCUAAAAGUUUUGAAUUGGUGCCACUAGACUCAAUCCAAUGGAUAUCAUUUAUAAGUCGUAUGAAAAGCAUGCAUCUGUAAACGCUAAAGUGGGCAUCGACUUGAGAGUAGCCGACUUUGAGGAUAGUGUUUGCCAGUGUUGGAGUUUGAAUCGAGUUAAACAACAAAGAAUGGAUUCAAAGAAGCAAAAAGAACAAAGAACAAACCAUUUGUUGGUGUUUAUCAGCAGAAAACAAGACAAAGAACAAAGCAACAAGAUGUAUGAGAAAUUUACUUACUCACAAAUGUGUAGCUAGGAAUGAAAAACUAAUUUCCAUUACAUGUCUUUUUAUAGACAAUUAUUUUACCACACACAACUAGCACUACUAACCAGCCUAGUAAGUUGAUAAACAUUGCUUGUACACUAGAACAAGCCAACUAAACACAUCAAGCUUGUUCAUUUUCAACAAGACAAAAUUACAUUGCAACUAAAAUUGAAAACUUGUUAAUGCAGCAUGCACAAAAGCUGCAACAUGUAAAUAGACUGUAUGCACUUCAACAAAAACAUAAUAGCAGCAUAGUUGGCUUACAAGUAGAAGCAUGCUUGUCUUGAUAUAUAUAAUAUUAACUUACAAGAAUUUUUGUUAAUAUUUAGGUUUCAAAAAUGAAAUCCAAUUAUUCAAAAUGUUAUGUAACUUAUCUUCUUCUUUUUCUUCCUGACUGCCACAUUGUCUUCUUCAUCUCCCAUUUUAAGCUUCAUGGUUUCUGAUUUUUAUAAGCAUAAAUUUGGUCAGCAAGCAUUUUGGGGAGCAUGCAAUAGUUAAUAAAUAAACAUGAAAAAAAUUUAAAAAAAAAGGUUAAAGAAGGUUGAAUUUUUACUAGUAUUUGGUGCAUACCCGCUAGCUUCAAUAGGUUUUAGCGUCCCAUUUUCAGAAACCCCAAUUUUUCCCACAAUCAUGUUGUUCUUGGAAUUAUCUUCAUCUUGUAAUGUAUUAAAAUGAGUCUCUAAACACGAAACCUUCUUAUCCAACUCCUCGAAAGACUUAGAUUCAACUUUGGCUUUCUCAUUUUCAAACUUGCAAUUCUUACUUCUCAAGUCCAUAAUUUUGUGUUCUUUCUCAUACAUACUCUUCAAUUCCUCUGAAAAUCUAUUACACCUUUCCUUAGCAUACUUUCCUCUUUCCCUCAAAACCAUACUUUCCCCCAUUUUGUCAUGGAAUAUCAGAGGCUUGGUUUCGGAACCCAAAAUCGAAGCCAUGGGUAGAGUUAUUAGAAAGACGAGGGAAGAUAUUUGUUUUCUUCAGGAAAUCAAGCUAGAGUCGGUAUCUAUAGAAUCAGUUAGAAAACUUUGGGGGGAUAACAGUUUUGACUUUAAGGUUUCUCCAGCUAUGGAAAAAUCAGGGGGUUUGUUAUCGAUUUGGGACAAAAACAGUUUCGUGAGGGAUUCUGGGAUGUGUGAGCAGAGGUUCAUUGUGGUUGCUGGUAAGUGGGCACUUGAGGGGAUGGAGGCGGUGCUAAUAAACAUAUAUGCCCCGAAUAGCAGUACGGACCAAAGAAUUCUAUGGGAUGAGAUCAUUGGAUUGAGAAACCAAUUCAAUAGCGCUUGGAUAAUUGGCGGAGAUUUUAAUGUAAUACGAAAUAGAAGCGAACGUAGAAAUUACAAGAGUAAUGAGGAGGGCUCCAAAGAGUUUGGUGAGUUUAUUGAUAAAUGUAAAUUGAUAGACUUGUCGUUAGUGGGGGGAAAAUUCACAUGGUUUGGUCUGGGUUGUAAGCGCAGUAGAUUGAUAGAUUUCUAAUUGAGGAAGAAUGGAUGACUUAUUUUAAGGAUCUUCAGCAGCAGGGGCUUAACAGGUCCAUAUCGGAUCAUAUCCCAAUCUUCUUGUGUAAUGAUUCGAUCGAUUUGGGGCCUCGACCUUUUAAGUUUAUAAAUGCUUGGUUUAAAAAGAAAGAUUGUAUGUGUUUAAUUGAGAAGGAAUGGUCAGGUUUGCGUUGUUUUAAAAGGAAAAUGGCUCUGAAAUUGAGAAAGCUGAAGGGGAUCCUGAAGAAAUGGAAUGUGGAGGAUGGUAAUAUAUUGGAAAAAAGAAUCAUCGAAAGCGAGAGCAGAAUAAAGGAGAUGGAUGAAAUUAGUAAAAAAAGAGAGUUGACAGUGAAGGAAUUAAAGGAAUUAAAACAUUUGAACACUGAGAUGUGGGAUGCAAUAAGAUUCAAAGAAUCCAUUUGGCGGCAGAAAUCAAGGAUGACUUAGUUAAAAGAAGGGGAUGCCAAUAGCACUUUUUUCCAUAGAGUAGUGAAAAUCAAAGUGAAGAGGAGAAUGGUUUUUAGUCUAAGAAUUGGGGACCGAUGCUUGAAAGAGACAAAGGAAAUAAAAGAGGGCUGUACAAUUAUUUCAAAAAUUACUUCAAUUGCUCGGUAAGAAGGUGGAAAAUGGGACUAGAUUUGAAAUUUAAAACUCUUAGGGAGGUUAGAAUGAGGAAAUUGGAGGAAUCAUUUUUUAUGGGAGAAAUUAAAGAAGCAAUUUGGAGUUGUGACGAAUCAAAAGCACCCAGGCCGGAUGGUUUUAAUUUGUGCUUUUUCAAAAAAUGUUGGGAGACUGUUAAGGAUGAUUUAUGUGAUUUAAUAUCGAAGUUUUUUUCAACAGGGAAGUGAAAAGUGUUUAAAUUCUUUUUUAUUACUCUAAUUCCGACGGUGGAGAAUCCUAUAGAAAUUAUAGAUUUUAGGCCAAUUUGCUUGGUGAGCUCAUUGUACAAGAUUGUGUCAAAGGUGCUGUCCAGAAGAUUAAGAGAUAUGGUUGGGGAGGUGGUUAGUGAUACUCAAUGAGCUUUCAUAAGAGGAAGACAGAUCUUUGACGGGGUUUUAAUAGCGAAUGAAUUAAUCCAUUCGGUUAAGAUGAAAGGCAGUGAUGGGGGGUGUUUUAUUUUUAAGUUAGAUUUCUCUAAAGCUUAUGACUAUGUUAGGUGGGAUUUUCUGGAGCUAAUACUGUUCAAAAUGGGUUUCGGGGAUAAAUGGAGAGGUUGGAUGAUGGAAUGUAUUUCCACGGCUCGAGCUGUGGUGAUUAUUAAUGGUUUCUCAACUAAGGAUUUUGGUUUUCGUAGAGGGCUCCGUCAGGGUUACCCAUUAUCUCCUUUCCUGUUCAUUUUAGUUACGGAAGUGCUCCAUUUGGCGUUGGACAGUGCAGUGGAGUUGGGGCUUAUCGGAGGAUAUUAUCUCCGGGUUGAAUUUUUGUCACCUCCAAUUUGCAGACGACAUGAUCCUCUUUUUGAAAGCUGAUGACAUAGAGGUAAGCAAUGUGAAGUAUAUCCUUAGGUGCUUUGAGUUAUUCUCGGGUUUGAACAUUAAUUUUAAAAAAUCAUGUUUGGUGGGUUUUAAUGUAAAUGAAGAACUCCUAUCUAGAUUGGCAGCAAUUUGUAAAUGCAAAAUAGGCUCGUUGCUAUUUGACUAUCUUGGAAUUCCACUUGGUGCAAAUCCGAAGAGAAUAGCUACAUGGAAUCCGAUCAUUGAUAGGGUAAGGAAAAAAUUAGUUGGUUGGAAAUGUCAUUCUUUAUCAUGGGCUGGAAGAGUGGUUCUAAUUAACGCUGUGUUAUCGGCAUUGUCGAUCUAUUUUAUGUCUCUAUUUUACGCUCCAGUAUCUGUAAUAAAAAGGAUCGAUAAGAUUAGAAGGAAUUUCCUAUGGGGGAGUAUUGAUGGGAAUAAAAAAAUGGCAAAAAUUAGAUGGAAUAUUAUUUGUAAUCCUAAGGUCAAGAGGGGUGCAGGAGUGGUCAACUUAGGUGUUAAAAACAAAGCCUUAUUGGCUAAAUGGAGUUGGAGAUUUGAUGUUGAAAAAGAAGCUUUGUGGCGAAAGGUCAUUUUAGCAAAAUAUGGUUCGAAUGUCCAAAGUUGGCGAUUCAAGACAAUAUGUCCAAUAAAUAUGUCUUCUAUAUGGAAAGGAAUUAUUGAAAAUUCUAUGGAUGCCACUGUUUCUAGAUGUGUUGGGGUAGAUUCUUUCUAUUGGAAGACUGGGAAUGGUAAGACAGUUUUAUUCUGGUAGGAUAAAUGGUGUGGGGAUCGGCCACUAAAAUUGAUCUAUCCAAGACUCUUUCGUAUUGCUAAGAGUAAGGAUUAUACUGUAGCGGAAGUGGUAAGUCUGUUAGGGAAUGACAGUACUAAUUGGAAUAAAUAUUUUACAAGGUCGUUGCUAGGGAGGGAGGAGGGGUUGGGCAAAGAGUUGGCGGAAAGAGUGAUUGGCACAGAAUUGAAUUUGAACAUUAAGGAUAGGUUGUGAUGGGUAAAAGAUAAAGAAGGGGAUUUUUCGGUUAAAAAAUGUACGGAAUUAUUGAUGCUGAAGGAUGGGGAGAUCAAUACGUUUGAUUAUGGUAAAUUAUAGAAUGUCAAGGUGCCUCCUAGAGUGCACUGUUUUCUAUGGAUGCUAGCGAUUGAUGGACUUCCAACAAAGGAGUUUCUGGCAAAAAGAGGAGUGUGCUUUCAAAAUUUAUCAUUAAAUUGUCCAUGGUGCGAAGGUGUUCCGGAGUGCGCUUCCCAUUUAUUUUUUUCAGUGUAAAUUUAUUGAUGGCUUUUAGGGGGAGAAUCUUCAAGUGGUGGGAGGUGGUAUGGAAGCAGGCGGAAGGCUUUUCAGAUUUCUUUGUCUUAUGUAACAAUGUGUGUAUAGUAUGUUUAGGAAACGAUUAUGGUUGAUUGCUAUAGCAGCAGCUUGUUGGACAAUUUGGUUAGCAAGAAAUGGUUUGAUCUUUGACAAAAAGAGAGUUUACAUGGAAAACUUGGUGUUUCUAUCAAAAAUGAGAGCAUUGUUGUGGAUUAGAUCUAUCCAUGAUGAAAUUUUAUUGCAGGAGGAUCUUUGGUGGAUUUCUCUACUCAAGUGUCGCGUAGAAUCUGUUAGAUCCAAUUCUUUUAUGUUCCGUUGGAGGUCCCCUCCUACUGGUUGGUUAAAAUUCAACAUCUGUCGGAUUGAACUUGAAAAUAAAGCAGGGUGUGAGGAGUCUUGAGAGAUAUGGAAGGGGUGGCUAGAGCAAUAUUCUCUGGUGCUAUUUUUGCAAAUAAUGCUGAGGAGGCAGAGAUUGGUGCUGUGAAGAUUGCUUUAGAUGUAUUUAUAACAAUGAACUGGAAGCCAAAAGAGUCUCUAUUUAUUGAAUUUGGUACUUUGGUGGCUUUUUCGUGGUGUGUUAACAAGGUGAUAAGGCCUUGGUUGCUUCAUUUAGUUUUUGUAGAUAUUGAGAGAUCUAUGAUGAAGGUGGGAAAUGUUGUCUUCUCAUUGGCAGAUAGAAAUGGUAAUGGUAUGGUGUUUUCCUUGGCGAUGGCUGGGGUAAAUCGGAUGCAAAUAUUUAAAUCUUGGUGGUGAUGUUUUAGUUUUAAAGAAUUAGUACGUUUUUAGGUUGUUUUUGGCCUGUGUUUUUAUUCUGCAUCUGCUAUAAGUUUCUGGUUUUGGCUGCUACUUUGUUUCUCUUUUGACAGUGUAGUUUAAAUGUAGCAAAAAAAAAAAAACUUUCUUUGAGUAUUCACUCAUCUUUGUUGUGGUAGAGAAAUUGGAACAUUUACGCACAUACAAAAAUUCAAAGAUGAGAAAUAUUUAGCUCUUGACCAAAAAUCAAUUGUAAUAGAGAGUAUUUAUAACUUAUUGGCUUGAUGCGUAUAACACAUAAAUCAACAUAAUCUCAUGUUGAAAUAGGAAGUUUAGUUCUUAUAAGUAACGGUUUAGAUAUUAAUCAGAGGCGUUCAAUCAGUAGCUUCUCUAAAUUAUUAUGCACAUAAAUAAGAAGCUUUUACAAAAGUUUUUCAAACUCAAUCAAUAAAAGACUGAGAUAUAAACUCAUUAGCUUUAGCAAUAUGAAUUGUCUUAAUUGCAUAAUCUAAAAUUAAAUAUUCAAAUAAGCAAUUUUGAAAAUGACAGGUUGCAAGUUGAUAACACAUAUGUAUAAACUAAAGAUUAUUAUUUAGUAUGCUAAUAUUGAAAAUAUUUAACUACAAAUGAAGUUAGGAAACUAUUAUUUGUCGUAUUUUUAAAUAUUAAUUAAAAAUUAAUAUCAAUUCGUGGAAUUUCAAACCUCUACCAGUAAUAAACCACAUAAGAAAUAUUAAAGUCUACAAAAAUAAAAUAAAAUAUAUUAUUGAUAAACCCUAAUAUGCUUUAUUAGUAUUCAUUUUCAACAUUUGGUUUCGAUAUUUAAUUUCCUUGUAUUAGACUUUACUCUUCCUUUCCCCAUGUUUUAAAUGUUUAUAAUAUAAAAUAUGCAUAAUGAUUUAUUUUAUCCUUUAAUUUUAUAAAAAAAAUUGACAACUCGAUUUUAAUUAAUCUAUGCUAUUGAACCGUUGACUUGAAGUUAAUUCUGUGUAAAUUUAUGUCAAGAAUGAGCUUGCUAGUUCAUUGGCUAAGCAUUCGUCUAUCCUAUGGUCUCAUGAUCGAGUCUUUCUUUUUAUUGUUCUUUCUCUUCCAUUUUUUUCCUCUUUUCUUCUUUUCUUUUUCCUUUUCUUCUCUUUCCUUGGGUUGUUGUUAUAGUUUCGAUGUGUGUAACACCUUAAACCGUCUCCGUCGUUGGAUUAAGGUUACGGAGCAUUUCUGUACAAUCAGAAAGCAUUUAACAUCAUAACAUUUAAUAAAUUAAAUAUAUCAUAAAUCAUUCAAUCGUAUGCAUGUUGUCUCUAAAUUGAGCCUUCGAAGCCCUAAAAAUAACUUAGAAGCAAUUCGGGACUAAUUUAAAACAAAACAGAAGUUUUAAGAAAAAGAUGCAAAAAUUGAAAAAUAGGGGUCAAACAGUCGUGUGGCCAAGCCGUGUGACAUAGCCCAGGUCGUGUAACAUUCAAACAAGGGACACACGACUGUGUCCUAGCCUGUGUCCUCACCCAUGUAACUCACUGAGUAAGGUCACACGGUCAUGUCGCAGGCCGAAAACCCAAGUUUUUGCAAUUUUUGACUACCGAAAAACAUGGUUAUCGACGCCAAACAGUCAUGUGGUAGGCCAUGUGAUAGCCGUGUGGUAGGUCAUGUAACUCACUGUCUACCAAAAACGAGCCAUACGCGCAAGAUGACAUGGGUGUGUGUCUAGACCAUGUGUGGUCAUGUUUGUACUGAGUUCACACGGGCCAAAGACAUGAGCGUGUGUCCAAGCUGUGUAACUCAUUGAUUACAAGAUAAGGAUUACACGGGUUAGGGACACAGGCGCAUGUCCAAGCCAUUUGACUCACUAUUGCUAUUAAAGACCAUAUGGGCCAGAGACACGAGCAUGUGUUCAGGUCGUGUGACUCACUGUUUGCUAUUUAGGACCACACUGGCAAACAACAUGGGAGUGUUUCAAGCCGUGUGAGACACACGGUAGGCACACGGGUAUGUGUCAUGCUGUGUGGGAUCAUACGCAAGUUGUCUUGGCUAUAUGGAACCACACAGACGUGUGGGUCAGAUCUAGAAUUUAUCUCUGAGGCUGUAAGCGUCGUCUAAUGCAAACUUAGGCCUUCCGUAGAGUACUUAUGAUUUGAAUUAGACCGUGUGAGUGAUAUCUGAUGAUAUGAGACUGAGUUGUUGAUUAUAUAAAUGUAUAUUGAUUAUGAUGAUUGUCGAUGAUAUUGAUCUAUACCACCUGAUUACGAAUUGAAUCUGAAUGAUUGUGUGUAUGUUCUUGAUAUCUGUAAUCUGCAUUUGCAUUGGAUGAGAAUUAUGUAAAGGAGGAAGUGAUCUAUUCUAAUUCAAUGGCUAAGCCACAAUUUAUAUGUGAAUAUAGCAUUUUAUCGCAAUUUAAUCUGGCAGCUGGUCUGCAUCUCAUUGAACGUGUCAGGGGUGUAUGAGGCUAGAUAGGUAUUAAAUUCCAUUAACGAUGUGUUGGGAUAGUCAAAAAUGGUGUGUAGCAGAUGGGGAUAGGAAUAACUGCAUCUAUAUCUGAUCUGUUAUGUAUCUGAACUGGAAUUGUUCUACCAUUUAACUGAUAUGUUAAAAUUGUACAGGAUAUUCUCUGAUUUUGAUUGGAACUUGAGUUUAAGAAUUUAUUAUUAUAAUUGUGCUUCUAACUGAAUCUAUAUUGGUUAUACAUUGAGUUCUCAAGUCAUUUUGUUGUUGACUAAAUUUCAGGUAACUCACAGUCUUGAUCGGGUAGGCGUAGUGGAAACUUGAUCAAUAUGUUUUAUCGCACUUUAUUUAUAUUAUUAGUAGUUUCAGUAUUUCUUAGUAUUAUGACUUUCUAAGAUUGUUGAAUUAUCGGCUGGAUUUUAUGAUUGUUAUAAUUUGUCAAAUAGUUUUUAACUGUGUUUAUAAAAGUUGGUUUUCCUAAUAAUGUCAAUGUAACUCUUCAAACUUGGUAUUGAUGCCUAGGCUGGGUUCGGGGUGUUACAUUUCUUCUUCAAAAGGGGAUUGCAACUUUGUAAUAGGUUUGUUUUUCUAUUAAUAAAAUAAGGUAAAAGGUUAAGUAAAAAAUCCAAAAAAUUAAUUGGGUCUUUAGAGAAAAAGUACAUCCAAUUGAACUCUUAUCAUUAAAAAAACUAAUAAAACCUUUCCAUUAAUAGAAACUGUAGUUGAUUAGUUUAUCCAUUAACGAUAUUGAUGUGGUCAACAAAAUUGGCACAUGGUAUGUCACACGGAAAGUUACAGAUGUGAUAUGCCAUGCCAACAAGCAUUUUAAAAAUAAAAAAAUCUUAAAAUUUUAUUAAAAAAUUUACUAAAACAUUUAGUCCAGAAUAAAUAUGGACAAAUGGUUUUCAAAUUCAUUUGAACAUGGAUAACCAUGUUGUCCAAGUGCAUUCUUGACAUAAAUUUCGAAUAUAAUAAAGUUAUUAAAAAAUAUAAAAUUAUUAAGAUUGUAAAAAAUAUAAAUAAAAAUAAUUAAUAAAAAUAAAAAAUUAUUUUUUAUAAAAAUCAUAGAACUUAUAAAAAUUACUAAUUUAUAAGCUCAGAAUGAACUGGGUCAAAUUGUUGUCCAAAUUGAUUUGAACCUGGAUAAUUUUUGUCUAGGUUCAUUCUAGAUGUAAAUUUUGAAUAUUGUAAAAAUUAUUUAAAAAUUAUUAAAAAUGAUAAAAAAAUUAUGAAUAAUUAUUAAAAAAUUAAUAUAUAUAUUACUUUUUAUUUUUUAAAUGAUAUGUGAUAAUAUAAUUUGGUAAAAAGGUGAUUGUGUCUCGAUUACCAAAUUAAAAAUUAAAAUGAUAGCACAACCAAAAAAAAAAUGUUAGUAUGAUAUUACAUUAAUACGUGACAAAAUAUACUAAAUAUUUAAUUUCUUCAUAUGUACGUUCUUGUCAAUGUAUAAAACAUUACACAAGUACAAUUUUUUUUUAUAAUCUUUUAGAUUGUUAAUAAAUAUUUAUAUUUUUUUACCAUUUUAAAAAAUUAUAAUUUUUAAAUAAUUUUUUGAAAAUAUUUGAAAUUUAUAAAAUAAUAAUUUCUUUAUAAUUUUUAGGAUUUUUAUAUUUUUUAAAUUUAAGUUAUUUUUAUAAUUAUGUUUUAUUAUUUAUAUUUUUACCAUUUUAACAAUCUUUACGAUUUUUUAAUAAUUUUUUACUAUAUUUCAAUUUUAUGCUUGAAUGAGCUUGGGCAAAUUUUGUUCAAGUUCAAAUUUAUGUAGAUAACUAUUUAUCUAAGUUUAUUCUAGAUGUAAAUGUUUUACUAACUUUUAAGUAUUUUUUCAAUAUUUUCUGGCAUAGCAUGCCAUAUCUGCAACUUGUCCACUUGGAAUGCCAUAUGUUAACUCUGUCAAUCACAUAAUUGUCAGUGACAAUUAAAUCAGUCAAUUACUAAUUUCUAUUAAUGAAAGGGUAUAACUUUUUUAUAUAGUGUUUUUUAUAUGAAAUGUUUAAAUAAAAUAGCUAAAAAAUAAAUUAACUUUAAAUUAAUAGGCAUUUAUUUAUAACUACUUUACCAUUCCGUUCGUGAUUUAAUUAUUGAAUAUAUUUUUAAUAUUAAGUUUUUCUUGUAAUGUGACAAAAAUUAAUUUAAUUUAAUUUAAAUGUUCUAAUAGUAAAUUCCACAUGUUGUACCACCCCAAAACUCGACCCAGAAGUUUCGAUCGAAUCCCGAAGGUCACAUUAGCAAUCAAAAUGGCUCAAAACAAAACAGAAUUUUAAGUACAAAAACUUCUAUCGAAAAUCUUUUUCCUUUUUAUAUGUAACGAAAACCUGAUAUAAACUUAACUUACAUGAUAAAACAAUGAUUUUAAUUGUCGUUAAAAUUUAAAAUGGAUAUUUUCUAAAUCGUUUUGAACCCAUUUCAGAUAUAACGAAUAGUCUUUCAAAUUUUAAAGAAAACAUGGCUAAAGAUCUGUUGUUUGACUGUGAUUCCAAAACUCGUAGAUUUGACAUUUCAAAAUUAGAGCAUUUAAAAUAUUACAGUCUCAAAUAUUCAUAUUAGUACCAUUUUCGUAAAAACCACGCAUGAGCUUCCAAAAUUUAGGAUCAGUAUAAAACUUGUAGUUUCUAAAGUCCAGUUCAAAAAAUACUUUAUGGGAGUCUAAAAUAAAAUUUAUACUACAGUUCAUAUAAAAUAUUUACAACUCAAUUACUGAAAAUUGAAGAAAAACUUUAUUAGAUUAAUUCAAAACUUAUCAAUCUGAGACCUCCAGUUGCCGAGUCUAGCCUCAAAACACGAAAAUUACUUGAAAGGAAUAAAAAACUAAGGGGAUGAGCUACACAAGCUCAGUGUGAGUCCAAAACAUUAGCAAAUGACAAAAGGCGGAGUAACACAACGAAUAUUCUAGAAAAGUAUAUGUAUACAAAUAACAUACGAAAAUCUCAAAUCGGUAAUCCGAUAUACAAAAUUUUUACAUUAACAACAAAACAAAAUUAUAUUAUUCCAACAUUCCCUUAGACAAACAUAUACUUAGUUAUGUAAUGAAUGCAAUGAACCAAAAUCCCACCCAACCAACUAAACACCACUCAGACCACUCUGCACACAACAAUUGGGCUAUGGUAAGCCCAUCCACCCUGCACAUUACAAAGGCUAUGGUAAGCCCAUCCACCCUAUACACCAAAAUAGUGGAACUAAUCCACUCAAAUGAUAAUAUGCAAUUGAGCUAACAUAUGUAUAUAUACAUUGCCGUAUUAUUGCUAUAACAAAAUUUUGCAGUUAAACUGUCGAAUCAGACUUCCUUCUCUCCAUAACCAAAUCCCAAAAUUUUCGUGCAAAUGCAAAAAUGCACACUACAUGCAGACAAACAUACAAAAAUAGAAAUACACAUAUUCAGUCAAUCAAAUUCAAAAUCAGUUCUACUUGUAUUCAAUUACUAGAUAAUAUCUCAAAUCCAUUUAUCACAUCACAUUAAUAGUUAAACAAACAAUUAAAUUUAAUCCUAUAAUUAAAAAUACACACACGAGUCCAAGCUGAAACAGAGUCCCAAACACAUUUACAGAGGCCUCAACGAGUGUUGGAUUACACAGGAAUUAAAACGAGUCAGUUUACAAACAAAGAAUAAUAACUAUAAAAACAGGGCGAAACCACACCAAAACUGGAUGAAAAUGGUGAAAUCCAGUAUCAAUUCAAUCUCUAUAUAAUUUAGUUUCAGAAACACACCUUAGAACGCAAUUCCAACAAUAGAAACCAGUCAAUUCGAUUGAACUCAACCAAUCUGAAACUCAAUUUUGAAAACACACAAUAUCUUUAAUAAUUCCAAUCCAAAACUAACAAAGAAAUCAAAGAAAACAAUUUAAAUCACAAAAGAGACUAUACUUACACUAAACUGUUCCAACACUAUGAGAAGAGAAUAAAUUGAAGAACUACUGAAAGCCGGAGAGACGACACAAAACUACCAAAAGGCCGAGAAAAACAACAGAGAAAAUAAAGGAAGAAAACCAAAAACAAAUUUACAAAUGAGAUGACCAAAUGGAUGCAAAAACAAGAAAGACCCCAAAAAUCCAAAUUGAUAGAAUAACACUAAAACUAUCGUGAAAAUGAGAGAAAGGACGUGAGAGAAAGAAAGCAAAUGGGGAAAAACUUGGAAACAAAUUUUGGGACAUAUAAUUUUUUUUAUUUUUAAUUUAAAAAUUAACUAACAAAUAAGUAAAAAUAAGGAAUUAAUAACUUAGUUAAUAUCUAAAAAAACCAAUCAAAUUUAUUUUUAUGAAUAAAUAAAAAAAGGUACGUCUAUAAAUAUUAAAUCAACUUGCUAUAUGAUUUAAAUAUUUUAAGAUGGUCUUUGAAACACCCUAAACCCGACCUUGACGUUAUGGCCGAAUCUGGAGAUGUCACUUUGAAUGGGUCUUGAUAUCAAACUCUACCUGUUAAAACCAUUUCAGUUUUUAAAAAAAACUCCUAAUUGCGUUAGUCUAAAACGUUCAUUCAAUUAAUUUACUAGUCUUAAAUCGUGUUUAAUAACUGAAGCUUACGAAAACAUUGCAUUUUAAGAAUUUAGUCUGUAUUUUAAGAAAAACCUUCGUUUAGAUAUCCAGCACAGAUAAAAUACUAAACAUAAAUCCAAACCCAAAGGAAAACCAGUCAAAAAGUCCAGAAAGUCCACUUGUUACAAAAAUCCAUAGGAAAAUCUUUAAAUUAAAACCAUAAAUGUAACCAAUUUAUAAAUGCGUGGUCACUUAGAGGCUCCAUCGUACCGAUCCGCCUAAGUCUAUUGGUUACCUGACAAAACAGACAACAUAUGUGAGUUUACAAAAACUCAGUGUGUAACCUAACAGAAAUAAGCAUGCAAUCAUAUAGAACUAUAUGCACAGUCAGGUACAAAUACAGAUUCAGAUUUAGAUGACAGAUUCAGAUAUGCAAAGUCCUACCCCUAUCCUCCACACACCAUCUCCGACCAUCCCAACACACUAUGUGGGGUUUAAAACACACACCCAACCCUACACACCACGUUGUGCCUUUAAGGCACUUAUCAGAACAUAUGUAGCCAAUCUGCCAGAAAUGAGGCGAUUAAUGCCGAACAGAAUACUUCCUCCAUACAUAGAAAUCUCACCCCAAUAACUGAUACAGAAUAUUAGAUUAACAUGCUCAACAUGCUUAUAAACGGAUAUUGAAAUAAUCAGACAUGCAUAGUAUUUUCACACUCAGAACAGAACACUAGACUAUCAGAUUCACAGUUUUAGGGUUUGGUUAGCCCUUACCGACCCUACAGUAGGCCCAUGGUCGUUUGGAGUGACCCGUGCGACCCUAGGGAAAAUUUUAGAAUUAUGGGCCCACAUGCCCGUGUGGCUUGCCCGGGUGUGCCCACACGCCCAAGAUUGGCCUUGCCCGUGGCCAAUACGGCUUGGCCCAAGAUCCACACGCCCGUGUGGAAUGCCUGUGUGGGCUCACACGCCCGUAUAGCCCCCACACCCAACUUGGCCAAGCCCAUGUGGCCCACACGGCCACACUCGAGCCUCAUAUGGUCAUGUGCUACGCACGGCCAUGCCUUCGUCGACCACACAGUUGUGUCUCACACAGCCAUCCACACAGGCGACCACACGCCCAUGUGGCAUCGACAGAUUUAAUUUUUGGCUUUUGUCGAUACCUUAUUUUCUGCAUUUUGGGUACACACUUGGUAUCAAUUUGAUGCGAAACCACACCCAAGCCUUCCAGAACCUACAAUCGUCAAUACCAAAGUCCGGAUUUAGUAACACUAACGAAACUCAACCGCGAUUCUUUCAAAACCAAAACCUUACAACAUUAAUUAAUGUAUGCGAAUACUUACCAAUAAUGAACAGAAGCCACGAACACUUAAACUGCUGCGAGAGCCCCAGCCAAAACUUGUCCUUCACCUAAAUCAAGAGUCACAAACACAAACUCUCCCGUUAAACACUUAGUCGAAACAAUAUUAAGAUUCUAAUAAUACACAAUUUACUGAACAAGCGAGAUCAAACGUUGUACAAAAGAAGACGGAUUGAAAAAGAAAUCAAAAGGAAGAAGGAGAUGGAAUGGCAGAUUUUCGGCAGAGGAGUAGAGAGAAAACAAAACAUAAAAAAAAGGGAUUUUUGGAGAAAAAAUUAAAAUUAAAAUCCUAAUGGAUGUUUUCCCAACUUCCCACUAACUACACAAUCUCAACCACUUCAGCAUUUAAGUCAAAUUGAAACUCUAUCAGUCAAUCGAGCAAAAAUAAAUAUCCUCGCUCCCACAAGGAUUCGAUCUCAAGACCUCCAACAUACCAUCACCCUUACCACUCUAACCAACAGGCUCAUUCUGAUAUAGUUUCACAAGAAAUUUAAUUUAAGCCCACCCAGAAAGGUAAAGCUUAAUUCCCAAAAUAACCAAAAUUUACAAACAUGGGACCUAAACCCAAGACCUCUCACACACAUCCAGAACACUUAACCAUUAAAGCAGAUACACAAUUGUGUCAAACUUUACAAAAGCAGAAAUAAAUAAUUUGGGGCAUUACAUCCUUCUUUUUAAGUUUUGAUUACAUGUAUUACAUAUUGUUUUAAGCAUCACAUUUGUUCAUGAUAGUGAAUAUUAACUGAUUUAUUUAUAUCGCUAUGGUAGGUUUUAUAAUUAAAUAACAUAUCUGAUUAAAACAUGUCUAGUAUGCAAAUUUAUAUUAACAAACCAAUAAAAUUUAUGGUUAUUUAGAUUUGAUUUAGUUCAAGGAAUGGUUAAAGGUAGUAGUUCAUACGUUUUAUAUUAUUCUAUUUGUUAAUUAUUUAGAUAAAUAACAUGAGCAAUUGUAAAUGAAAAGUUCUAUGAGCUUAAAUGGUUGGAUUUUGAAUUAAAUUUCAUGUAUGUUUAUGAUGAUGGUUAUGAAAAAAUAUUGCUAGUUUUCAUUACGUCAUAUUUUUAUGUUUGAGAUGUGACGUUUAUUGAUAUAUUUAGUAUAGACUUGUUUUUAUACAUGACCUAGGCAGUUAUUCUUGGUAGUUAAUUAAUUUUUUAAAACUCUUGUUAAAAGGGUUUUAAAAGUAUUUUGAAUCAAACUCGGCACUUCUUGCAUUCGAAGUAAGAAUCAUACUACUAGACCAAAUGUCUUGCAUUUGAAGAUUUUGGCAUAUUCCCUGAAGUGGAUAUUGCAUAUAAUUAUUUGAAAAGUAUAUUUAUUGACUUAGUGGCAUUAUAGACUUCACAUUGAUUUAGAAUUUCCAAUGGUAAAUGUCAUAAUAGUACUUGUCGAAACUAUUUUUUUGAAAACGGGAAAUCGACUUUUGAAAACUAAAAGUUGGGAGUCGCCACCAAUCUUUUUUAAUAGGGUGUGAUUGGAUCAUCUCAAAACACGGUCUUUUUUAAUAAAUAAAUAAAUUUUUCAAAACUACGAUUUUGGUCUGCAAAAAUAGAAAACCGAUUCGGGAGUCAGUUACGUACGAGGAAGGAUUAGCACCCUCGACACGCUUAAAAUUGGUACUUGAUUGAUUAUUUAGUGUCUUAAUGUCGAAAAUUAAAGAUUUGGACAGAGUUCAAAAAGGUGAUCCUCCUUUUAUUGGCUUUUAAAACAUUUAGGUAAGUCAAAUGUGUAUUAAAGACCAUCUCACCUCAAGGUAAAAUAUUAUAUCCAGUACGUUAGGACACAACAUUUUUUUACCCUCAAUUGUGAGCUUGCCUUUAAAACGUGCGUUUUAGCCUUAAAAGGAUAUUUGAAUAUUCAAAACAAACAAAGAAAGCGAAACCCAGUACGUUAGGGUACGAUUCUUCGAAUUCUUUAAAUACCGAACAUUUCCUUUAUUUUGAAAAUUUUUUAGAGUGAACUGGUAAGAGGAUAUUCGAAUAUUCAAGACAAACAAAGAAAGCGAAACCCAGUACGUUAGGGCACGAUUCUUCGAAUUCUUUAAAUACCGAACAUUGCCUUUAUUUUGAAAAAUUUUGAAAGAAGAUCAAUGGAUAAAUGAAUUAAGGACAUAGAUUUUUUUAAGAUGAUGAUAAUAGACAUGAGAAUAAUGCUAACCAUAUAUAAAUAAUAAUAAUAAUAGUAAUUAAUAGAAAUAAUUAAUAGAACAACAGUAAUAAUAAAUACAGUAAUGUAAUAAACAUUGUGCUAAUAGUAUUAAUAAUAAUAUUAAAAACAUGAUGAUAAUAACAAAAAAUAUGUUGACGAUAACAUUAAAUAUAGGGGAUAAUAGUAAAAAAAAUUGGAAUAACAAUGUUAAAUUAGUAAUAGUGAGAAAUAGUAAAUAGUAAUAAUUUGAUAUAAAAAUGGUAACCGAUAAUAAAGAAUGGUAUAAAAAAUAAUAUAAUAAGUCUAUGUAUAAUAGAAAUUUAUAUUUAAAAUAAUUAACUUCGCUUAAAAAUAUAUAUAUUUACAUAAUAAAUAUAUAAUAAAUAAAUAAAUAAUAUAAUAAUAUGAAACAUAAUUCAAAUUAAUUAAAUUAAUAGAAAAUAAAAAAAACAAAUAUAAAAAUAAUGAGAAUAAAGCUCAAAUUAAUUAAUUUAAUAGUAAAAUAACAAAAAUAAAAAAGGGGUCAAAUUGAAUUAAAAAAUGAAAACUUUGGGGCCAAAUCAGAAAGGAAAUAAAAGCAGAGGUAAACUCCCUCUCUUUUCCCUUCUUUCGUUUAUGUACAGAAAAAAUGUGAACGCCAAAGUAAACAAAAUUGAAUAAUAUAAAAAGUUACCUUAAAAAUCUGAUUUGUAUUCUCUUUGAUUUCGUAUGUGUAUUCUCUCAAAAAAUUCCCCUCUUACAAUAGUUUUUCCAUGGCUUUUAUAGCCAAAUUUUACAACUUAUAACAAGUAGGGUGAUGGAGUUAGUGGGGGUGAUGGAGGUAGUGGAUGGUUUAGUAGGGUGUGGGGGUGAUGGAGGUAGUGGAUGGUUUAGUAGGGUGAUAGAGUUAGUGAUCGGUUUAGUGGGGUGUUUAAUUUGGGCUGGUUUGAUUGGGCCCGGGCAGAAAUUGGGCUCAACAGUUGCCCUUCUUUGCUCGUUUUCAUGUAAUAGGAACGAAGCAAAGAUUACAAAGGCCAAUUUUGCUCGGUCCUGUCAGAUCUUGGCUUCUUGGUGUAACCUUAUCGCAACCCACUGCAUCCUAUUGCUUCUAAAUGAAGAUACGUUUGUUAGAACUUUAUUUGAUCCGCUCUUGCUAAACGAAGAUAAGAUCUGCAAUUUUAGCCUGUUACCCUACUGCUUAGGGGGUUAAGGCGAGUCUUCGACCUGCUCUACCACUGCUCGAAGAGCCAGGAUCUGUAAAUUUUAGCCUGUUACCCUACUGCUUAGGGGGUUAAGGUGAGUCUUUAACCUACUCCACCACUGCUCGGUGAGCCCAAGUCUGUAAACUUUAGCCUGUUACCCUACUGCUUUAGGGGUUAAGGCGAGUCUUCGACCUAUUCCACCACUGCUCGGCGAGCCCAGAUCUGUAAAUUUUAGCCUGUUACCCUACUGCUUAGGGGGUUAAGGCGAGUUUUCGACCUGCUCUGCCACUGCUCGGCGAGCCCAGAUCUGUAAAUUUUAGCCUGUUACCCUACUGCUUAGGGGGUUAAGGCGUGUAUCUUUGAUCUGCUCCAAUAUUGCUUAGGGAGAUAAGAUCUAUAAUCUUCAGCUUGUUACCCGAUUGCUUAGGGAGUUAAAGCAUGUAUCUUUGAUCUGCUCCACUAUUACUUAGGGAGAUAAGAUCUAUAAUUUUCAGCUUGUUACCCUAUUGCUUAAGGAGUUAAAGCCUGCUGAAAUUUUAGUCAAUCUUGCUAUGUUGUCCACUGGGGAAUCCACCUGUAAAAGUGAUUUCCUGGGGCCUAUGCUUAUAUCAAAUGAUUAGGAUCUCAUGAUCAGAAUGAAUCAAAUGCUCCUAACUAAAUGUAUUAUGAAUGUUUAGAUGCAAGAUGUCAUGAGAAUGAUCCAUUUUAACACUUGAUUUGUCAUUACUUGCUAUUUGCUAAGGUAAUAUCCCUAACGUAUGUUUUCUCGUUCAACUAAUAGCAGAGAACCUGGAGAGAUGGUCAGACCCUUAUCUAUCCUAAGUUUCCAGCCCUUUAAGCCUGGUGAAUUCUAAAUAAUUGUCCUAUUUCAGGUUCUUGUAUUAUUUAGAGUCCUUUCAGAGUAAUAUGCAAAACUUCUUUUGUGAAAGCGUUAUUAGUUCAUUAAUCAUUAUUUCAAUAUGAAAUGCUUGAAAAAGAUUAUAGACAUGGGUAAGACUGAAGUUUAUUAUGAACAAAAUCCGUAAAGAAUGGAUUUAGCAAAGAAAGCAAAUAUUGUUAAAAUACAAAGAAUGAGAAAGUGAAACUGGUGUCCCAUAUAUCUUAGCCUGAGCUUCUCUGUACGAACUUUUUGAAUACCACUCUAAGUUCAACAUGUGUCUGGGAGAUCUGUAGUACUUUGUCGAUGCCCUUAAGAUGUAGCAUAUCUCAUUAUUGUUAAUUCAAGUACAGGAUGGCUAGCGCAUGCCCCAUUUCUCAUCAAACGUUUGAAUUUCCCUUUUAUGGGUUUUCAAUUCAAAGCCCCUUUGGUCUCAAAGCACCCUUUGCGGGUUUUCACCUUGGCCCCUUUCCUCCUCAGGCGAAGUACUUCUUGACUGAGUCCGCAUUCACUGGGUUAGGUCGACUCUUGCCAUCCAUUUCAGCUAAUAAUAAUGCUCCUCCAGAAAAGGCCUUUUUCACUACAUAAGGUCCUUCCCAGUUUGGCAUCCAUUUUCCUCUGAAAUCCUUUUGCAUAGGGAGAAUCUUUUUCAAUACUAAGUCCCCCUCAUGGAAUACCCUGGGGCGAACUUUUUUGUUGUAAGCUCGCAUCAUUCUCUUUUGGUACAUUUGACCAUAAUGAAUAGCCUUCAGCCUCUUUUCUUCAAUCAAGUUUAGUUGAUCAUAACGGGAUUGGAUUCAUCCUGCUUUGUCUAAUUUCAACUCUGAUAAAACCCGAAGAGAAGGGAUUUCGACUUCAAUGGGUAAAACUGCCUCCAUCCUAUAAACCAAUGAGAAAGGUGUUACCCCCGUAGAAGUUCUAACAGAAGUUCGAUAGGCAAAAAGGGAAAACGACAACUUUUCAUGCCAAUCUUUGUAGAUUUCAGUCAUUUUUCCCACAAUUUUCUUGAUAUUUUUCUUAGCUGCUUCAACUGCGUAAUUCAUUUUUGGGCAGCAUGGUGACGAGUUGUGGUGCUUAAUGUUGAACUAGCUACAAACUUCCACUAUCGCGCUAUUGUUCAAAUUCAGUGCAUUGUCAGAUACGAUUCUUUCCGGCAUACCAUAGCGACAGAUGAUCUCCUUCUUUAAGCACUCGCUAACUGCCGACUUUGUGACAUUGGCGUAUGAAGCGGCCUCAACCCAUUUGGUAAAAUAAUCAAUGACCACAAAAAUAAAUCGAUGACCAUUAGAAGCCUUUGGCAAAAUUGGCCCAAUGACGUCCAUGCCCCACAUUGAAAAAGGCCAUGGGAAAGUCAUAACAUGGAGAGGUGAAGGAGGCACAUGGAUCUUGUCUCCAUAAAUUUGGCACUUAUGGCAUUUCUUGGCGUAACGGAUGCAAUCUCCCUCCAUCGUGGACCAAUAAUACCCGAAUCUCAUGAUUUGUCGGGCCAUUGUAAAACCAUUAGCAUGCAUCCCACAGACACCCUCAUGGACUUCUUCUAGGAUUUUCUUCACUUCGACAGCAUCAACGUAUCUUAACAACACCUGAUCCUUCCUCCUUUUAUACAAGAUCUCCCCAUCUAAGACAUAGUCAUUGGCGAGCCUUCUCAACGUUCUCUUGUCAUUUUCAGUUGCUUGCUCUGGGUAUUCACGGUUCUUUACAUAUUUUAGAAUGUCAUGAUACCAAGGAUGACCAUCUCUCCCCUCUUCUUCAUCUAUAUUGCAGCAAUGAGCUGGAGACUCACAAAUACUCAUCUGGAUUGGCUUCAUAUCCUCUUGUUCAUUUAUUCUAAUCAUAGAAGCUAAUGUGGCCAGGGCAUCGGCCAUCUGGUUUUCAUCACGUGGGAGAUAAAAGAAGUUGAUGUCAUCAAACUGCUCAAUUAACUCAAAAACUAACUUUUGAUAACUAAUCAGCUUGGGACCUCGCGUCUCUCAUGCACCUUUAAGUUGAUAAAUCACCAAUGCAGAGUCUCCAUAUACCUCUAGCACCCUGAUUUUACGGACUAUGGCUGCUCGAAUUCCCAUGAUACAUGCUUCGUAUUCUGCCAUAUUGUUUGUGCAGUCAAAAUCCAACUUAUAAGUGAAUGGAUAAUGAUCUCCGUUUGGGGAUAUCAAGACUGCCCCAACUCCGUUACCAACGGCAUUUGAUACUCUAUCGAAAUUUAGUUUCCAAGAACGAUCUUCGGGCGUGUCUUCUUCAGUAGUCGCUACAUACAUUAGAUCAUUAUUGGGGAAAUCAAAUUUCAAGGGCUCAUAGUCUUCUAGAGCUCUAUUGGCUAGAAAAUAUGCUAUUGCGCUCCCUUUCAUAGCCUUCUGGUUGACAUAGAUUAUGCCAAAUUCAGAUAGAAGAAUUUGCCAUUGGGCCAUUCUCUCAUUUAAGGCGGUUGACUCCAUCAUGUACUUGAGAGGGUCUACUUUCGAGAUUAACCAAGUCGUGUGGUACAACAUGUACCGCAUCAACCUCCGAGUCGUCCAGACCAAGGCGUAACACAAUCUCUCAAUUGGCGAGUAUCUCAUUUCACACUCAGUAAAUUUCUUGCUGAGGUAAUAUAUCGUCUUUUCCUUCUUUCCUGUCGCAUCAUGUUGGCCCAACACACAUCCCAUUGAAUUGUCAAACACGGUCAAAUACAGAAUCAAAGGCUUAUCAGGACUGGUGGUACUAGCACCAGAGUAUUAGCUAAGUACUGUUUAAUUUUGUCAAAAGCCAUUUGACAUUCUUCGUCCCACACGCCUGGAUUAUGUUUCUUGAGAAGACGAAAUACGGGAUCACAUUUUUCUGUCAGCUGUGAAAUAAACCGGGUGAUAUAGUUUAACCUUCCCAGGAAACCUCAAACUUCUCUCUGAGUGCGGGGUGGAGGCAGCUCUUGUAUAGCCUUGACUUUAUCUGGGUCGACCUCAAUUCCCUUCUCACUGACCACAAAACCAAGUAGUUUUCUUGACCUGGCUCCGAAAGUGCGUUUGGUUGGAUUAAGCUUUAGCUGAAAUUUCCUCAAUCUCGAGAAUAAUUUUCUCAAAACUUGAACGUGCUCCCACUCUGUUCGGGAUGUUGCGAUCAUAUCGUCUACAUAGACCUCGAUCUCUUUGUGCAUCAUGUCAUGGAACAAGGUUACCAUGGCUCUUUGGUAUGUCGCUCCCGCAUUCUUUAACCCAAAAGGCAUCACCUUAUAAUAGAACGUUCCCCAUAGAAUUAUGAACGUGGUUUUUCCCAUGUCUUCAGGGUGCAUCUUGAUCUGAUUGUAUCCAAAAAACCCAUCCACAAAAGAAAACAGUGAAUACCCUAUCGUAUUGUCCACUAGGGUGUCAAUGUGAGGCAAUGGGAAAUUGUCCUUUGGGCUAGCCUUGUUUAGAUCUCUAUAAUCUACGCACAUUCGCACUUUUCCAUCCUUCUUAGGGACAGGGACAACAUUGGCUACCCAUUCUGAGUAGUUAACCGUUUGUAAAAACCCAGCAUCAAAUUGUUUAUUGACCUCUUCCCUUAUCUUUACUGCCACAUCGGGUCUCAUCCUUCGAAGCUUUUGUUGAACUGGCUUACACUCCUCUCUUAUGGGGAUGCGAUGCACCGCAAUAUCAGUGCUUAACCUUGGCAUGUCUUGAUACGACCAUGCAAAAACAUCUCUGAAUUCUUGCAAUAGCUUAAUGAGAUUCUGCUUGGUUUCCUCUUUUAUACAAGUGCCAAUUUUCACCUCCUUCCCCACUUCCAAGGUCACAAUCUCAAUUGUCUCUUCGUGAGGCAAAAUCUGCUUUUCUUCUCGUUCCACCAUCCUUAGCAAAUCCAAAGAUAAACCACUAUCUUCGUCAUCUUCAAAAACUUGUGAUCCCUGUAGGCACAUGUCUUGCUCGAAAGAGAAUUCUGAAUUCAUAAUAGUGUUGCUCAUGACAUCGACAUCUGGGUACCUAUUGUAGGUAUGAAAGAAUAUCUAAGAACUUUAUUUGUGUGGUAUGAAUGGAAUGAAGAAGGAAAAAAAAAGAAUAAUUGCUUGAAGAGGUAUGAAAAAUGCAUCUUUAUUGAAAGCAUAAAUGAUUUGAACAUGGGUCUAUUUCAUAGAAGAUUUCUUAUUGUUCCUAGGCUAAAAAACAAAAAGCGUGUUUUGAACAUUACUCUGUAUUGGUUCUAAAAACUACAGGAAGUUCCUCUACAGUCCAGUUGUUCAGAACACUUCCAGGCUCAUAGGGGCGAACGCCCACUAGGUUUGCUUCUCUCGAUCCUUCUUCUAAUAUGGCAUUGAUGCUCAGAAUCUUCAUCAUUCCCUCAGUCGUUCCUUCAUCUGUGAAUUUUAAUUUAGGAUGGACAACUCCUCCUGCCACGAAUGUACUAGAUAUAUGGGGAAAGGUCAUUGGCUCCCAUUUGACCUCUACCCCGCUUAAUCUUGCUCUUCUAUUUUCCUGCUUCCUCUCCAGCUCUUUCUUUCUCUGUUGUGCGUUUGGCUUAUACCCCAAGCCAAAAUGUUCCGACUUUCUUGCUAAAAUCGGCACUUCCACUCGUUCGUGGAGAUAUUUCCCAAAUCCCCUUCUGGGCAACGCUCCUUUUCCUACUGUCAGUUAUAAACUCAUCCUCGUAGCUUUAGGGAGUCUAGGCACCGGGAUCCUGCCUCCUUCAGUGAUGAAGGUUGCAUUCACGAACUCUAACGACCGAAACAAACAUUCAACCCCUUCACUAUCACUGUCAAUGUACGGUGCAUCACUAGCAACGGAUACGAUAAUGUCCUCUUCAGCGUUUAUUGUUAUUAGCCGGCCCUCCGUCACCAACUUUAAUUUUUGAUGCAACGAUGAUGGUACUGUCCCUGCUGAAUGAAUCCACGGCCUCCCCAAUAAACAAUUAUAGGAAGGUUUAAUGUCCAUUACUAGGAAAUCUACCUCGUAAGUAUUUGGCCCGAUCAGAAGAGGUAUCUCUAUCCUUCCCAUUACCUUCCUUUCAGUGCCGUCAAAUGCUCUCACUAUAUUUUGGCAUGUCUUCAUAUGAGAGCUAUCUAUAGGCAAUCAGUUUAAUAUGGACAGAGGAAGGACGUUUAGUGCUGAACCAUUGUCAAUCAACACCGCUGGUAGCGUAUACCCCUUGCAGCGAGUAGUAAUGUGCAAAGCUUUGGUAGAUCCCAUGGCCCCCGGUGGUAUUUCAUCGUCACUAAAGGAAAUGAAGUUGUCGGUGCUUAUGUUGUUGACAAGACGGUCUAGUUCGUUUACCGAAAUAUCAUUAGCGACAUAAGUUUCGUUCAACACCUUCAUCAGUGCCUCACGGUGCGUCUUCGAGCUCAAAAGCAAAGUCAAUAUUGAUAUGCAAGCCGGCUGCUUGUGUAAUUGUUCCACAACACUAUACUCGCUGUGUCUCAGGAACUUCAAAAAUUCUUGGGCUUCGUUCUCCAUUACUGGUUCAUUAACCAGUGGUUCUGUCAUUUUUUCUCUUUGUCUGAUCACAAAGGACUUCUUCUUUACAGGUUCGGCUUCCAUGCUUAGUGUACGGACCGAACUCUCCUUUUCCGGAACUAUCACACUACCGCUAUAAUUCCAAGGCACCCUUUUGCUAUCCUUGAAAUGGAAAGCCCUGGGCUUUUGGAUAACGAUUCUUGGUGCCACCCUUGCUUCAGCUUCACUGAUUUUUGGCUGUGAAAUGAUGACCACUGGGUGACUAGCCUCACAAACCUUCUCUAUCGACUUCUCCUCAGCAGCACAUACGUCCUCUUCUCUGGUAAGCUCAAAGAACUCUAACUCUUUAUUGUCCAUUAAGCCCUGGACUAAGGCUCUGAAUUUCUUGCAACUCUGGAUUUCAUGGCCCUUCUCACCAUGAAAUUCGCAAUAGUCCUUCACUUCUCGGGAGUUUUUCCUUGAACUCUGCGUGAUCAACCCCAUUUCCAGCAUUUUCUUCCAAACUUCCCUGAACGAAGUUUUUACUUCAUCCGCGUUCAACUUAACUCUCCUCCCCACAUUCUCGAUUAUUGCAUUUACCCCACCAUCAGCAUGGUUGGGUAAUGUGUUACCUACCACAAGUGAGUCAUCGAACUUCACACACUCAUGUUGAUGAGCUUCUCGACUAACUUCUUAAAUGAGAUGCAGCUUUCUAUUGAAUGCCCCACAGCCCCUACAUGGUAUUCACACUUAGCAUUUGCGUUAUACAAUUUGGGGUAUAGGGGCUGCAACGAUUUUAGAUAGGAUGGUGCUACAACAUGCGCAUCGAACAGGCUUUUGUACAGCUCCUUAUAUGUCACUGGGAUAGGGGUAAACUGUAUCCUCUCUGUAUCUCUCUUGGUGCUGGGCCCUUGCCUUGGUGAAGCUUGUUGGCCUGUGACUUCCAUUCUCGAUUGAUUAAUGGUGACAGGUUUUGAAUAGCCUGAGCUCACAUUGCUUACCUCGCUUUCCUUGUUCUUUGGGGCUGACCUUCUCGUGCUUUCCCCCGUUUCUAUCUUCCCGUACCUUAUUGCAUUUUCUAUCAUUUCAUCAGACAUCACUAUGUCUGCGAAACUCUUAGUCGCGCUCCCCAACAUAUGAUUAAUGAAAGGUGCCUUCAAGGUAUUAAUAAACAGCAUAGUUGUUUCUUUUUCCAGUAGUGGUGGUUGGACUUGCGUAGUGACUUCCCUCCACCUCUGAGCAUAUUUCCUGAAGCUUUCACCUGACCUUUUCUCCAUGUUCUGUAAUGUAAUCCUACCAGGCGCUAUAUCGGUCACAUGGCCAUACUGUUUCAUGAAGGCUUGCGCCAAAUCCUUCCAUGAUUUGACCUGAGCACGACUCAACUGAUUGUACCAUUUGGCUGCGGCCCCAGUCAAACUAUCCUAAAAACAGUGAAUCAACAAUUGGUCAUUGUUGACAUAUCCCGUCAUUCUCUGACAGAACAUUGUAAUGUGAGCCUCAGGGCAGCUGGUUUCAUUAUAUCUUUCAAAUUCUGGCAUCUUGAACUUCGAAGGAAGUACUAAGUCCGAGACCAAACUGAGUUCUUUUGCGUCAAAUCCGCAAUAAUGAUUAGCACUUUCUAGCUCCUUGAACUUCUCAUCUAUCCAUUUGCACCGAUCCUCGAGCUGCUUUAGGAGCUCCGCCCUUACUUUUUCCCCUUUAACCUCAUCGAAAUCAGGGAUCGUAAGAUUUGCCAUAUUGUCUCCAGGGUUAGAGCACGAGCCCGUUGGGAAGUUUAUCGGUGCCGAAGUGUCGGCUUGAUAAAGAGGUUUAACAUUAACAGACACCCUUGGUGGUUGUGUUUGAAUGUUUACUGGGGCAAAGCUUGUAGGACAAGCAGAGUCAUCGUUUUCAUUCCCAGUAUCACCCAUACGGCCCUUUCCUUUGUCAGACCCUCCCUUCAGCAGCUGUGUCAACUGGCUCAUCAUGUUGUUCUAUGACUCCAGCAUGUUUUUCUGGGACUCCAGCAUUUGAUCCCUCAUCUCCUGUUGGAUCCUAGCCAGCUGUUCUUGCAUCUGAGCUUGCAUUUGCUCCUGCAUCUCCUUUUGCAUUUGUUCUAAUUUCUCUAACCUCUGAUCCAUAUCCCUUGUUUUCCUCCGUGUACAGUAACGAUGUUCCAGGGUAACUAGAUAAAUUAUCACUAAUUAAUAGGGUUCUUUUGUGCAACUUAAUGUUUAUGAUGCUAUGUAAUGCAAAUGCAUGACAUGAAUGCAAAAAGGAGACAUCGAUUCAAAUUCAAUUCCAUUUAGAAAACUUCAUUAAAAAACAAAAUCUUUUAGAUAAAAUGAAUUACAUAUAUGGUCUUGCCCUAACACCCAAAGCUUUUACUUUCCUAAGAAGGCAGGCUAACUCUCGCCCCCGAUCUGACUCUAACUUAUAUUUAACUCCUAGCACAUCUGCUUGGACCACCAAAGUCUACAAAUGAUCAACCACCUCUCGUAUCUGAGUUAUAGCUUCGCCCAUGAGGUAAUCCCUAUCUCGGACCUGAUCCUGAGAUCGAUGAAGUUGCUCCCCUAGUUGCUCAUUAUUUGCUUCCAAUAAUUCAAUCUGAUUCUCACAAUUCUGAAGUGUAGUAUCAAGUUCUUCUACUUUCCCCUUCAAAUUCUCGAUCUUACUUGGGCUAGCCCUUAAUUCAAUCACUGAGUUACGACUCCAAUGUUGCUGCAGUGCCAUUUCUAACUUUGCCACCCGAGCUCUUAACAUCUGUUUUUCAUUCUGGCUAUCAUCCAAACUCUUUUUACAAGUGACUUCUCGAGCUUGAGCAUCAUGAAACUUUUUCUCCCACCAAUCAGCCUUAGCCUUUUCCUCUUGGAUUUCUUGCCUCCACUGUUCAGACGUUUUACCCAAGCCAGCAUUUCUCAUUGACUUAUAUAGCUGCUUGUAAUCAGUCUUCAGACUAUCUAGGUCCACCUCAACCUCUCUCUUUCUCUUCUUUAAAUUCUCAGCCUCGGAUUUUUGAACAUCAACAUCCAGCUUUAAGUACACUUUUUCCUCCUCCAACUGAUCUAUUUUCCUUUUUAACUCCAAGGUUUUCUUUUCGAAGUCUUGCUUUAUGAUUUCCAAUUCGGAGGGGACCAUUCGCAAAUAUUCCUCUAUCGGUCGAGCUUCUUCUAAAUUUGGCCUCGGGAUAUUGUCGUUAACCCUUCUACUCCAUCAUUCAUUAUAUUCUAGAGUCACCAUUGGAUUCACAGUAACUCCCUUUAUCCGGCAGGUUUGGUUCCAGGCAUUAUAAAUCUCGCGGCUCUUUUUCUUGGAGUCUUUCUCCCCAUACGAGAACCCACUCUGAGCUAGCCCAUGCGUCAUCGGUAUAAAUUAUCUCGAUCUAUAUUGCCUCAAUACAAGCAAAGGGGCGUAUCUAACGGCUCCCCAAAUCCCCAACAAAAGGACCCAAUCAUAACUUCCACAUUGGUAAAGAAUCUCAUCGAAAAUCAUCCAAGGGGCCUUCCAUUCGAUAUCCUCCUCUUGGAGAUUCUGAAGUAUCGCCAUCCAUUUUCCUCUGUUAUGUCAUCUCUUCUCGAUAUGGUUACUAUCUCCUUCAAAGGUGAGUAAUCUCCGAGAAAAGGUCGGUAAGAGGCCUUUUCUACACUCCAAAAGUGGCUAUGAAACCAUACUAACAAGAGUUGUGCACACCCAAUAAAUCUACCUUCACCUGCCCUCCGACAUGCACUCAAAGAUCUGAAAGCCUCAGCCAAGAUUGCAGGAACAGGAGUGACUCCUUUACCAAAUCGGUCAAAUAGAUCGGCGACUGCUUCAUCUACAUACCUUAAAGCCUUAGGGAAAAUAACCAAACCAUAGACGCUCAAGGCGAAGACAUCAACUCUUUUCUUCAUAUCAGGGUGUGUCAAGAUCAGAUCUCUCAAAUUUUCCCAAGGGAUGUACUUUCCAUUGCCUUUCUGCUGGACUCGAGCUGCAACCCACUGCUCACUCAUCCCAGUAAUGUUCAUCAACCUCUUUACAAAGGUUGGGGUAUUGACAGCUCUAGAAUAAAUCUUAUCAACUUGAAACCUCGGACAACGAAGCAAGGCUGUAUAUUCCUUGACAAUAGAUACUAGAUCCACCUUUCCGAAAGAAAAACAACUGUAGGCGAAAUUCCAAAAUUGAGCCAUGGCGCGAAACAAAUACUUAUCUACCUUAACAUCGAGGAGAUAAGGAAGAUCACCAUAAUUACAGUAGAGUAGCUGCGUCAUCUCCUCAUCCCAGCGACUCCAUAAUUCUUUCAACUCCUGAAGAUCAUUCUGAACCACACUAAUACGGGUAAAGUCCCAUAACAACGACGUGUACCCCUCUGUCAAACUGUCACCUUUCUCUAACUGUGCAUUCUCCGACCAUCUUUGGACAAACGCGUUAUCUUUCACUUUAUAAAGGAAUUCGUUCUUCAUGGCAAAACUUUCUAUUAGUAACCGAACCGUAUAUCAACACCUCUUUUUAUGAUGAAAAUGUUAUGCAAUCACUAUUAAAGAAAGAAGGAAAAACACAAGUCAGAAUUAUGCAUAAGAAUAGAAAUCAAAGCAAUCAAGAAAUUAUCAAACGCCUAUUCGGGAAACCACUAGGGCUAGGUGUAAUUCUACCUAAGGCGGGUUCCUACAGCUUACUAUAUGUCGUUUAGUUCUAGAGUAAAGGUACCUGAACCAGCAGAUUCCUCAAUCCUCGCCCAUUAUAGGUUUAUAUGGAUCAAGUUCGGUUCAGGGGAAUACAUUUCCCUAUGCCUAUGCGGAGGUGAAAACCUCACGAAGACAUAAGUACGGAUGUAUUCUGGAAGCGAUCCCCUAGCCCAUGCGGAGGUGAAAACCUCACGAAAGCAUAGUUUCUCACUCACACUUAAAAGGUGUGACCACAACGGUCAUGCGAUAUGAUACGAGAGUAUAUAAAGAAAUUCAACGAAACAACAAACUCAACAAGAACACAGGAAAUGCAAAGCGAGGAUCGUGUAUUUUUAGAAAAACCAAAUUUCUAACUCUUGACAAGAAGAUAGAAAAAAAUCAAUUUUUAGCUCGACUCUCUUAUUGGUCCCCAGUGGAGUCGCCAAACUGUCGAAACCAUUUUUUGAAAACGAGAAAUCGACUUUUGAAAACGAAAACUUGGGAGUCGCCACCAUUCGUUUUUAAUAAGGUGUGAUUAGAUCACCUCAAAACACGAUCGUUUUUAAUAAAUAAAUAAAUUUUUCAAAACGACGACUUUGGUCUGCGAAAAUAAAAAACCGGUUCGGGAGUCAGUUACGUACGAGGAAGGAUUAGCACCCUCGACACGCCCAAAAUUGGUACUUGAUUGAUUAUUUAGUGUCUUAAUGUCGAAAAUUAAAGAUUUGGACAGAGUUCAAAAUGCGAUCCUCCUUUUAUUGGCUUUUAAAACAUUUAGGUAAGUCAAAUGUGUAUUAAAUACCAUCUCACCUCAAGGUAAAACAUUAUAUCCAGUACGUUAGGACACAAUAUUUUUUGACCCUCAAUUGUGAGCUUGCCUUUAAAACGUGCGUUUUAGCCUUAAAAUGAUAUUCGAAUAUUCAAAACAAACAAAGAGAGCGAAACCCAGUACGUUAGGGCACGAUUCUUCGAGUUCUUUAAAUACCAAACAUUGCCUUUAUUUUAAAAAUUUUUGAGAGUGAACUGGUAAGAGGAUCUUCGAAUAUUCAAGACAAACAAAGAAAGUGAAACCCAGUACGUUAGGGCACGAUUCUUCGAAUUCUUUAAAUACCGAACAUUGCCUUUAUUUUGAAAAAUUUUGAGAGAAGAUCAAUGGAUAAAUGAAUUAAGGACAUAGAUUUUUUUUUAAAUGAUGAUAAUUGACAUGAGAAUAAUGCUAACCAUAUAUAAAUAAUAAAAAUAAUAAUAAUAGUAAUUAAUAGAAAUAAUUAAUAGAACAACAGUAAUAAUAAAUACAAUAAUGUAAUAAACAUUGUGCUAAUAGUAUUAAUAAUAAUAUUAAAAACAUGAUGAUAAUAACAAAAAAUAUGUUGACGAUAACAUUAAAUAUGGGGGAUAAUAGUAAAAAAAAAUUGGAAUAACAAUGUUAAAUUAGUAAUAGUGAGAAAUAGUAAAUAGUAAUAAUUUGAUAUAAAAAUGGUAACUGAUAAUAAACAAUGGUAUAAAAAAAAUAAUAUAAUAAGUCUAUGUAUAAUAGAAAUUUAUAUUUAAAAUAAUUAACUUCGCUUAAAAAAUAUAUAUUUACAUAAUAAAUAUAUAAUAAUAAAUAAAUAAUAUAAUAAUAUGAAACAUAACUCAAAUUAAUUAAAUUAAUAGAAAAUAAUAAAAAAACAAAUGUAAAAAUAAUGAGAAUAAAGCUCAAUUAAUUAAUUUAACAGUAAAAUAACAAAAAUAAAAAAAGGGUUAAAUUGAAUUAAAAAAUGAAAACUUUGGGGCCAAAUCAGAAAGGAAAUAAAAUCAGAGGUAAACUCCCUCUCUUUUCCCUUCUUUCGUUUGUGUACAGAAAAAAUGUGAACGCCAAAAUAAACAAAAUUGAAUAAUAUAAAAAGUUACCUUAAAAAUCUGAUUUGUAUUCUCUUUAAUUUCGUAUGUGUAUUCUCUCAAAAAAUUCCCCCCUUACAAUAGUUUUUCCAUGGGUUUUAUAUCCAAAUUUUACAACUUAUAACAAGUAGGGUGAUGGAGUUAGUGGGGGUGAUGGAGGUAGUGGAUGGUUUAGUAGGGUGAUGGAGUUAGUGAUCGAUUUAGUGGGGUGUUUAAUUUGGGAUGAUUUGAUUGGGCCCGGGUAGAAAUUGGGCUCAACAGUACUUAUAUGUAGAUACAAAGUAAAAGGAAUGAUAGUAAAAUUAUCAAUUUGUUACAAUUUAGUACAAUUGAAAUGCAUGUUAAAGUAAACCAGAAGUUUACUCAUACAAAUGCAUUUACUACUUGGCGUGACCAAUUAGACCAUCAUUGAUCAUAAAUGAUGUAAAAAUUAAUUGAAAAUUCAUAUGGACAUUCAUUAAAGAACCCGAAGAUUCUUUAAUUUAAGGAAUUCUCAUUUGUUACUUGUUCUCAAUUAAAAUUGAUUGUUAAAAACUCACUAACUAAAGUUGAUAUUUAAUGGCUUGCAUUUCUGGAAUGAAUAUGGGCUCAUUCAUCCACCAUGUGGAUGGUUUUUGUAGACACUCAAUUUUGCCUGGCCCAUUUCAGUAUUUAAAAUAAUAAACCCCCAAAAAAUAAAAAUAAAACAAAGUCCAAGUCCAGUACAAAAUUGCAAACAUAUAAUUUGGCCCAAUCGGAAUGGCCCAUUACUUGAAAAGAUUUAAGGUCCAUCUAUAAGCUUGACGCAUAUGGAAAUAUAAUCUUUAAGGAUAUGCAAUCUUAGAUAUGAUAUGCAAUCUUAGAUAUGAUACACUCUUAGAUAUGAUAUGCAAUCUUAGAUAUGAUAUGCAAUCUUGAAGAUAUGAUCUUGUAAUCUUGGAGAUUUAAUUUGCAGAUAUCCUUUAAUCUUAACCGUUGAUGUAAUUGAUCUGUACCGUUGGAUUUGGGGAGGCUCAACUAUAAAUAGAGGCCUCUCCCUUCAUUGUAAAUCACUUGAGUUUUGGGAAGCAAUAAGAAUUCUUGAGAGCAUUCACUCAAAUUUCUCUCCCUCUUGCGUUCUUACUCUCUAUGGUUUGUUCUUAUUUUAUUCUUCGUCUAUCUUAGUUUUUCAAAAUUUUUUAUUUUAAUUUCUUCAUUUUUCAAAUAUGUAUAUUUAUUCCUAUUUUUUAUACAUUUGAUUAUGUAUUUUAUAUAUUAUAAUAUUUAACCUUUUCAUAUAGUUUAUUUUCAAAUAUAUAUUUUCUAUGCAUGUAUAUAUAUUAUAUUAUAUAUCAUGUAUAUCGUAUAUCAUCUAUUAUAUUAUUUAUGUUUCACAUUAUUCAUUCUAUUAUUUAUAAUUCUAAAAUUUGUAAAUUAUCAUCAUUAAAUAUCAUAUUUUUUUGUAUUGUAUGUAUAUUUUGUUAACAAUUACUCACUUUAUUUUAUAUUUUUUAUAUAUACUAAUUCUUUUAUAUAUUUUUAUAUUGUAUAUAUCAUUUAUGUAUUAAAUGUUAUUUUACAAUUAUUAUGUGAUGUUAUAUUUUAUGAACAUGUACAUUGAUAUUAUAUUACUAUUUUUUUUAUAUAUCAUGCAUCAUUUGUUAAAUUAAUUAUUACUUUGUAUGUUUGUAUGUUUUGCUUAUUCAUCUUCAAUAUAUGCUAUGUAUAGCUUUGUACGUAUAUUGUUAAGAUUUUCUAUAUUUAUUAUAUGUAUGUAUCUAACGUAUGAUUUUUAUGUUAUUGCUAACAUAUUGUUUAGAUGCAUGUUUUAUUAUUGCAAUAUUCUUUCUAUAUGUUACAAUGUGUAUGAUUCUUUACAUAUCAAUAAAAAAGAGAUUCCAAAGUUUUCAAAUAAAAAAGGCAAUGCUUGGUAUUUGGAAGCUUCGAGAAAGGUGGUGCCCUAACUUACUGGGUUGCAGCUUUUCUCGUUGAGUUCGAAUAGUCAAGCACCCUUCUAAGUUUUUAAGGUUUUCAAAAUACGAGCAACUGUCUUGGAAUUUCAAAGCAUUGUGUCCUAACUUACUGGAUAUGGCAUUUUGUUGUUUCAAGAUAGGAUUUUCAAAAAAGGCUAGCUGAGUUUCGAAUGUUUUAAAAAUAUUGCAUCCUAACUUAUUGGAUGUGAUAUUUUGAUUCAUUUGAUACAAGUGAACUGUAAUUUUUUUUAUGGGGAUUACAUCUUGAAACUUUCAAAUUUCUGACAUUAAAGACACUUGAUAAUCAAUUAGGUACCAAUUUUUAGGCGUUACGAGGGUGCUAACCCUUCCUCGUAUGUAACCGACUCCCGAAUCCGUUUUCUCGACUUUUGUAGACCAAAACUAAUGAUUUUAAAACAAAAUGUUUUAAAGGUGAUCCAAUCACACCGAAAAGAUUGGUGGCGACUCCUGUUCUCGUUUUUCUUAAAGUCGAUUCCCAUUUUUCCAAAACUCGAUUUAAAAAUGGUUUCGACAGCUUGGCGACUCCACUGGGGACUAAUAAGAGAGUCAAGUCGUGUAAUUGAUUAUCUCUUGUCUUAAUGUCGGAAAUUAAAAAUUUUAAAAUUUAAUCCUCUUUGCAUUACAUGUGUUUGUAUUAUUACAUGUGUUGCUAUAUUCUGAUACACAUUGCAUUUGCAUGACCGUUGUGGUCACACCCUUAAGUGGGAGUGAGAAGCUACGCCUUCAUGAGGUUUUCGCCUCCGUGCAGGAUAGUAGAUCACUUUCGGGAUAUAUCCGUACCUAUGGUUUCGUGAGAUUUUCACCUCCGUGUAGCCAUAAGGAAAUGUAUUCCCCUGAACUGAACUCGAUUCAAAUGAGCCUAUAAUGGGUGAGGAUUGAGGAAUCUACUGGUUCGGGUACCUCAAACUUUAGAAACAAACCACAUAUAGAAAAACCGUAAGAGCUCAAUAUAGAUAGAAUUAUACUUAGGUUAUCUUUGUGUUUAUUAAUAUCAUAUGAUACUGACUGUUUUCUUUCUUUUGUGCAUGUCAUUUUGCAUUUAAAAGGUAUCGAUUCACGGUCAGUUUCUAAGUUAGAAAGUUUUAUUAUGGAGAAUGGACUUCUUGAUAGAAUGGAGGGCAACGCUAACGUCCAUAAAUGGUCAAAGGAAACGCUGAAGGAUACACAUCAGAAUUUUGGGGUUACACUCGCAUCAGCGUGGCGCAAAAUAAUCUCCAAGAGUUAAAGGAAAUAUGGGAUCAAUGGCGUAAUGAAGCCAAGUAGUUGUUCUACAAUAACUAAGGGGACUUGCAGUAUUUGCUUGACAGGAGGAUAGAUGAGCAAUUCAAAGUGAGUGCGGGUGUAUUGAUGGAAACUUCUACCAUUAUAGCAUUUCUCUUUCAUAUGAAGACAGUUGCCAUGUGGAUGGUAAGGGUAUUGGAAGGAAUGUGAUUGAUAGAGUGCAUGAGACCUACAAAAAUGAGUUGGAUGGAAAGAAUUUUGCCUAUGAUGGUAAAAAGCUCAUUUACUAUAGGACCGCUACCAAACAACAAGCUUGAGUUUACUGUUGUACUUAUCAGAAACAAUGGAAAUGCAAGCCCCGAUGGCCUAGAUAGCUCAACUAAGGGUGAAAGACAGCGAUUAAAGAAGACCAUAUCAUACAAAGACCUUUAGAGAUUAGCUGUGCUGCGAAGGUACCGAGGCAGGAUGCUCUGCGUGGGUAGAAAUCUGAAAACUCUCAAGAAACAUUGAGGAUAUAGGAUAUUAUUUUAAGGUAGCACACUGCAGAACCGGAUACCUACCUGUUCGUUAAUCUAUCUCAAAAUAAUCAGAACAACUUAGGAGGCAGCUAAUUAUUUACAGACAUUGGCGGCACAGGCUGACAUAUUGAGCACCAAUAUGAGCUACAAUCUGAUCGUGGCCAAGAGUUUGUUUUGUUGUUAAAACUUUAGGCAUUAAGGCGAAAGCGUAUUUGUAAUCUAUUUAUAUGUAAAGAUAUUCUUUUUCUAAAUAAAGUUUUCUAAAUGAGAUUGAGUCGAGAUCGAUACCUUUUGCAUUCAUUUGCAUCUUAUAGCAUUUCAUUGCAUCAUUUGCAUUCAAAAUUAUAAAAAGACCCUAAUUAGUUAAAGUUAUUAAAAAGAGAAAGAAAAAGAGAGAGAGAGAAGAGGGUCACGGCUGAGUGAAAAAGAAGUUGAAUGGGAAUUAAUGACGUUCCCUUACAUAUCCCCGACUUUUGUGUCAGGAGGAAUAGCUUACCUGGAGAAAGGGGUGUUUGGAAAUGAAAAUCAUCCCAUCAAUGUCAUACAUGAGGAAGGGACUGAACAAAGAAACCUUGAGGGCAUUCGCCCUUAUGAACCAGGAAGUUCUUUAAACAAUUGAACAAAGAAACCUUGAGGGCAUUCACCCUUCCUGUAAUCUUUAGGAAUUUUACGGAGUAAUAUUCAGAACACUCUUGUUGCUCUAAAGCCUAGGAGUAAUGAGAUUUCUUUUGAGAAGUGGGCUCAUGUUCAGACAUUUUUAUUUUCAAUAAAACAUACUUUUAUUAUUUAUCCGAGUAAAUAUUCUUUCAUUCUUAUUCUUUUGAACUUUAAUAUUCUUUAUAAAUUUUCAUUGCAUUCAUAACAUGUAAAUAGUCAUUCUUGAAUUCAUUUAUUCCUUGUAUAUUCUUUUGUGUGCCUAUCAUAGAUCCCUAGAUAUCAAUGACACGGGCAACGAUACUACAGAUUUAGAGUUCCUUUUGAGUGCGAUAUGUGUUUAGAGGAAUCUCAGUACUUUGAAGGUGACAAAAAUUGUGACUUGUUUCUGAAUUUGUUGAAAAUGGUUUUUACCCCAUGAAGUGGUGCUAGGAAAUAUAGCCUUACAGGAAGGAAAGAUUGCGAAAUUGGAAUUAGCUGAGGAGACAAAACAAGACCUUGUUGAGACUAUUAUGGGAAUUCAAAAAUAUGGUCCAAAGAUGCAUGCAGGAGGAUUUGCAAUUGCCAGGAUAAACAUGAGGUUUUGGGGCACUGUUGGUCCACUAUGGAAAGAGAUCGCAUCAGUUGUACAAUGAAUGUCAAAUUUAAAGGAGUCAAGACUUAUGAGGCAUGUAUGUUAUGGGCCCGAGCUCGUCAAAAGUUUCAAGCUGACAAUGACUCAUCUUUGUGGACGUCAACUACUCCAUUAAAAGGGGGAGAUAGCUUCAUAUGCCAAUAUUACAAAGUCAAAAGUCAUCCAUUUCCAAAAAAAAAGAUUAUAUAUAACUGCACAAUGCCAAAAGUUUGCAGUCUUUUCAAAGAUAAUGCGCCAUACCACAGUACAACAAAGGUUGCCAAAAGAAAAGAAAAAGAAGAAAAAAAUUACAGAAGAUGACCGAGACUGGUAAAAAUUGGAAUAAGAAACUACCACCCACUUUCUAUGCUUACGCUGGGGCAAACACCUUCAAUUCCAGUUGUUUCAAAGGUUCCAACCAUCAUCCUUGGAAUGGGUGCAUUGUUUGGCUUUCCUGAGCAAUCUGAUGUGCCGUCAACAGUUGCGAUGGUUAGCUCCAGGCGGUGGCCAUUGAUUUCCAACUAUGGGGCAUCAGGCCGUACACAGUCCCUGAAGCUUAAAAUGAUAGAUUCUUUCUUCAAAAUCAGUUUCUGACAAAGUGGAUGACGGUAUCAUGAAGGAAGCUCUCUUAGACUUCUAUACAAGUUCAGAGAAGAGGAAACCUGAUCAAAUUAUUAUUUUCAGGGAUGGAGUUAGCGAGUCUCAAUUCAAUCAAGUUUGGAUCAAGUUAUUGAGGCUUGCAUAUUCCUUGACGAGAAGUGGGACCCUAAAGAUUGUGGUACGAAAAACCAUCAUACCAAGUUUUUUCAGCAAGGAUCUCCUGACAAUGUGCUACAUGGUAUUUUCAUUGACAACAAAGUAUGCCAUCCAAAGAACAAUGAUUUUUACCUUGGUACCCAUGAUGGAAUGAUUGGAAUCACGAGGCAGACCCACUGUCAUGUUCUCUUAGACCAGGCUGGGUUUUCGGCUGAUGAUCUGCAAGAGUUUGUUUAUUCUCUAUCCUAUAUGUAUCAAAGAAGCACCACAACCAUAUUUGUUGUGGCUCCUAUUUGUUACGCUUAUUUGGCAGCUUCACAAUUGAGGGAAAUUUAUGAAGAUUAGGGAUACUUCAGAAACAUCAUCGAGUCAUGGUGGGAUAUAUACUCCGGGAGUAAUCUCUAUACCUCAGCUUUCCAGGUUAAAUGAUAAAGUUAGCAACUUCAUUCUUGUCUGCUGAGAAUCAUUGAACCAUCUUUUUGUAGGGUUUGACAAACAACGGCCAGAACUGCUACUGGGGCAAUCAUUUUCUCAUGGGUUUAUGAAUCAAGAUUUUUCCUCCAAGCUUUGAUGGAAUCAAGAAUUGAAUACCUCUAGUAAACUUAACUUGAAAGUAUUCAUCCUAAGCAAAUGUACCAAGAAUGGAUGACACAGACUUAUGACAAAGAAGGUUCGUCCAAAAGAAUUUCAUAAAGGAAACCUUAUGCUGAAAGAGAUCCUUCCCAUGCAAAAGGAUGCCGAAUUGGGAAGGGCCAUAUGUUGCGAAGAGGGCUUUCUCUAGAAGUGCACUAAUUUUGACAAGAAAUGAAUAGGAAGAAUUUAUUUGAUCUAGUGAAUUCGGACUCGGUCAAGGAGUACUUUGUCUGAAGGAGAAGGGAAGCCAAGGUGAAAACCCGCAAAGGGCACUUUGGGACUUCUAUUUCAAAAAAAAAGAAAAAAGAAAAGAAAAAUAAUAAAAUAAUAAUAAAAAUAAAAAAGAGAAAAAAGAAAAAUGGAGAGGCCAAGGUGAAAACCAACAAAGGGCGCCUUGAGACCAAAGGGGUUUUGAGUUGAAAACCCGAAAAGGCAGCUCAAAUUUGGAAAGUCAUGCAGUGACCUUGCUAUACCAGAUUCGAAGAGAAGUGAAGUAUAUCUAGGCAUCAACGAAUUACUUUGGAUCUUUUAAACACAUGUUGAACUCAAGAAAGUCUUCAUGGAGCUGGUGUAUAGACGCUCAAGCGGCGAUAUCUGGGGCAUCUAAUUUCUGUCCUAUUUACUAUCUUUGGAUUCUUUUUCUUCGCAAAGAUAUGUUCUCAAGUUAAUCUUUUUGUAUUCCUUCCAAUAAUUUGUCCAAAUCUAAUUAUCCUCAGGAUCAAUUUAUUUGUCUCCCAUUAUUCAUAAAGUAUGUUGCAUUGAAAUAAUGAUAGAUGAACUAAAUUAUCUUCACAAAUGAAGUUUUGCAUAUUACUCUGGAAAUUUCUAGAUAAUACAAGAAAUUGAAACAAGACAAUUGUUUAAGGAAUUCCCAUAUGUGAGGGUCGGAUGUACUCGGGGAAACUAAAAUUUCUUCUUCAGUCUAAAUGAUGAUUGAACAAAUCAAACGAUUCGAUCCUAGGAGAAGAUCAUCUUAUAGACAUUUUCAGCGGGUCAUAGUAUUUGAAGAAUGGUACAAACCCACAAGUUGAGUUGGAAUGAGACUUCGAGAGAAGUAAGGAUAAACUUUGAUGAAGAAAUGAGUGAUCUGAAAUAGGAAUCAUUUUCAUAACAUUUUGCAUUAUAACAUGUCUAAUUAGGAGAAUUUAACUCACUUCGAUCAUAGCAUCCUAAUUAUUAGGCAUGAACUCAUAUGCAUUCUACAGGUUAUGUCUUUUAUGGGACAAUGUAGAUCAAAGAAAUAAGAUUUGGCAUCCCUGUGUUUAUAGGGAACAGAUCGAAGAUAGCAGAUCUGACAUUCCUGUGCUUACAGCGAAGCAGAUCGAAGAUUUCAGCAUGGUAUCCCUGUAUUUAUAGGGAACAAGUUGAAGAUAGCAGAUUUGGCAUCCCUGUGUUUAUAGGGAACAGAUCGAAGAUAACAGAUCUGACACUUCUGUGCUUACAGCAAAGUAGAUGGCAUCCCUGUGUUUAUAGGGAACAAGUUGAAGAUAACAAAUUUGGUAUCCCUGUGUUUAUAGGGAACAGAUCGAAGAUAACAGAUCUGACACUUCUGUGCUUACAGCGAAGCAGAUCGAGGAUUUCAGUAUGGCAUCCCUGUGUUUAUAGGGAACAAGUUGAAGAUAGCAGAUUUGGCAUCUCUGUAUUGUCAGAGAGCAGAUCGAAGAUACCAGAUUUGGCAUCUCUGUAUUGGAGGAGAGCAGAUCGAAGACAUAGCUGAUUUGGCUUUCACGUGUUUACGUUGAAGCAAAUCUAAGAUGAUUUGUCAUCUCUGUAUUGUCAGAGAACAAAUCAAAGUCUGGCAUCUCCACUUCGACGGAGGGCAGACACAUAGCAGAUCCAACCUUCAGAUGUUUAUACUGAAGUAGAUCCAAGAUGGUUUGGCAUCCCUGUGCUUACAAGGAGCAAAUCAAAGACAUAGCUGAUUUGGCUUUCACGUGCUUACGUUGAAACAAAUCUAUGAUGAUUUGGCAUCUCUGUAUUGUCAGAGAACAAAUCAAAUUCUGGCAUCUCCACUUCGACGGAGAGCAACACAUAGCAGAUCCAAAAUUUAGAUGUUUAUACUGAAGUAGAUCCAAGAUGGUUUGGCAUCCUUGUGCUUACAAGGAGCAAAUUGAAGACAUAGCUGAUUUGGCUUUCACGUGCUUACGUUGAAGCAAAUCUAAGAUGAUUUGGCAUCUCUGUAUUAUCAGAGAACAAAUCAAAGUCUAGCAUCUCCACUUCGACGGAGGGCAGACACAUAGCAGAUCCAACCUUCAGAUGUUUAUACUGAAGCAGAUCCAAGAUGGUUUGGCAUCCUUGUGCUUACAAGGAGCAAAUCAAAGACAUAGCUAAUUUGGCUUUCACGUGCUUACGUUAAAGCAAAUCUAAGAUGAUUUGGCAUCUCUGUAUUGUCAGGGAACAAAUCGAAGAAGCAGAUUUGGCGUCUUUGUGUUCGACGGAGAGCAAAUCGAGGAUAUCAACAUGAUAGUCAUGAGUUUGCAAUGAGCAGAUUAAAGAACCAAAUUUAGCGUCUCUGUAUUAGACGGGGAGCAGAUCGAAGAUAACAGAUUUGGCGUCUCUGUAUUAGCCGGGAAGCAGAUCAAAGAUAGCAGAUAUCGCCUUCCUGAGUUGCAGUGAAGCAGAUUGAAGCCGUCAAGAGGCCAUUUAAAGAAGACCAAGGAUCAAGAACUCAAGACUCGGCGAGCCCGGGCAAAAUUGGUUCUUUUAUAGUCUUUGCUCUAUUCCUGUUACACAUCAAUGAGCAAAGAGGGGCAGCUGUAGACACUCAAUUUUGCCCGGCCCAUUUCAGUAUUUAAAAUAAUAAACCCCAAAAAAAUAAAAAUAAAACAAAGUCCAAGUCCAGUACAAAAUUACAAACAUAUAAUUUGGCCCAAUCGAAAUGGCCCAUUACUUGAAAAGAUUUAAGGUCCAUCUAUAAGCUUGACUCAUAUGAAAAUAUAAUCUUUAAGGAUAUGCAAUCUUAGAUAUGAUAUGCAAUCUUAGAUAUGAUACAAUCUUAGAUAUGAUAUGCAAUCUUGAAGAUAUGAUCUUGUAAUCUUGGAGAUUUAAUUUGUAGAUAUCCUUUAAUCUUAACCGUUGAUGUAAUUGAUAUGUACCGUUGGAUUUGGGGAGGCUCAACUAUAAAUAGAGGCCUCUCCCUUCAUUGUAAAUCACUUGAGUUUUGGGAAGCAGUAAGAAUUAUUGAGAGCAUUCACUCAAAUUUCUCUCCCUCUUACGUUCUUACUCUCUGUGGUUUGUUCUUAUUUUAUUCUUCGUCUAUCUUAGUUUUUCAAAAAAUUUUAUUUUAAUUUCUUCAUUUUUCAAAUAUGUAUAUUUAUUCCUAUCUUUUAUACAUUUGAUUAUGUAUUUUAUAUAUUAUAAUAUUUAACCUUUUUAUAUAGUUUAUUUUCAAAUAUAUAUUUUCUAUGCAUGUAUAUAUAUUAUAUUAUAUAUCAUGUAUAUCGUAUAUCAUCUAUUAUAUUUUUUAUGUUUCACAUUAUUCAUUCUAUUAUUUAUAAUUCUAAAAUUUGUAAAUUAUCAUUAUUAAAUAUCAUAUUUUUUUGUAUUGUAUGUAUAUUUUGUUAACAAUUACUCACUUUAUUUUAUAUUUUUUAUAUAUACUAAUUCUUUUAUAUAUUUUUAUAUUGCAUAUAUCAUUUAUGUAUUAAAUGUUAUUUUACAAUUAUUAUGUGAUGUUGUAUUUUAUGAACAUGUACAUUGAUAUUAUAUUACUAUUUUUUUAUAUAUCAUGCAUCAUUUUUUAAAUUAAUUAUUACUUUGUAUGUUUGUAUGUUUUGCUUAUUCAUCUUCAAUAUAUGCUAUGUAUAGCUUUGUACGUAUAUUGUUAAGAUUUGCUAUAUUUAUUAUAUGUAUGUAUCUAACGUAUGAUUUUUAUGUUAUUGCUAACAUAUUGUUUAGAUGCAUGUUUUAUUAUUGCAAUAUUCUUUCUUAUAUGUUACAAUGUGUAUGAUUCUUUACAUAUCAAUAAAAAAGAGAUUCCAAAGUUUUCAAAUAAAAAAGGCAAUGCUUGGUAUUUGGAAGCUUCGAGAAAGGUGGUGCCCUAACUUACUGGGUUGCAGCUUUUCUCGUUGAGUUCGAAUAGCAAGCACCCUUCUAAGUUUUUAAGGUUUUCAAAAUACGAGCAACUGUCUUGGAAUUUCAAAGCGUUGUGUCCUAACUUACUGGAUAUGGCGUUUUGUUGUUUCAAGAUAGGAUUUUCAAAAAAGGCUAGCUGAGUUUCGAAUGUCUUAAAAAUAUUGCAUCCUAACUUAUUGGAUGUGAUAUUUUGAUUCAUUUGAUACAAGUGAACUGUAAUUUUUUUUAAGGGGAUUACAUCUUAAAACUUUCAAAUUUUGGACAUUAAAGACACUUGAUAAUCAAUUAGGUACCAAUUUUUGGGCGUUACGAGGGUGCUAAUCCUUCCUCGUACGUAACCGACUCCCGAAUCCGUUUUCUCGACUUUCGUAGACCAAAACUAAUGAUUUUAAAACAAAAUGUUUUAAAGGUGAUCCAAUCACACAUAAAAGAUUGGUGGCGACUCCCGUUCUCGUUUUUCUUAAAGUCGAUUCCCAUUUUCCAAAACUCGAUUUAAAAAUGGUUUUGACAGUUUUGAUAUUAUAUGAUUUUGGUAGAUGCAUCUACAAAAUAAUCACAUAUGUGUUAUCAACUUGCAACAUGUCAUUUGCAAGAUUGUUGGUUUAAAUAAUUAAUUUCAUAUCAUGCAAUUAAGACAAUUCAUCUUGCUAAUACUGAUGAGUUUAUAUCUCAGUCUUUUAUUGAUUGAGUUUGAAAAACUUUUGUAAAAUUUUGUUAUUUAUGCGCAUAAUGGUUUAAAGAAAUUAUUGAUUGAACGCUUCUAAUUAAUGUUUAAACCAUUACUUAUGAGAACUGAACUUCCUAAUUCAACAUGAGAUUUACCUGUUAUACGCAUCAAGCUAAUAAGUUAUAAAUACUCCUCAUUACAACUAGUUUGUGAUCAAGUGUUAAAUAUUUCUCAUCUUUGAAUUUUUGUAUGUGUGUAUAUGUUCCAAUUGCUCUACCACAAUGCACAAAGAUGAGUAAAUCCUCAAAGAAAGUUGAAAAUAUAUAUUAAUUACAAUUCUCUUUAUAUUAUUAGAAAUUUUGAAUGUAUUGGAGAUUCAAUUAUGACAUGAUUUGUGAUUACAAUUUUGAUUCAACAGUUUUCUCGACAUUAAGGGGAGAGAAAUAAUAACUUGUAAUGAGUUAGGGGGAGAGUAAUUUGAACCAGAAGUUCAACAAGGAUAACUCAUUACUAGUUAACUGUCAGAUGUAUUUGCAAACUUAAUGAGAAUAACCAAGUUAAUAUUUUAAUUUGAAUCAAAAUCCCAGUAAGACAAACAGUUAGAAUAAAUAAUAGAUUGAUUGAUUCCAAAGAUGAUAAUUCUUCUAGAUGGUCAUAUAGUGGAGUCGAGUGCUCCAGAAGAGACCCAAGACAUAACUAAUAAGUAAAACUCCAGAAGAAAUUCAGGUACCUGAAACUAAAUUUUAAAAUAAUGAAAAGAUCUCGAUAAGUUAUGUCAAUUCGAGAAAAUAUGGAAUUGAAUAAUAAAACUGGUCUACAAUGAUUUUGCAUGCAAUUUUAUUAUUGAAAUAAUGAAAUAAAAGGAGGAUUUUGAAUAAAUCUAUUGAGAAAUAUAGAUAUGGAACAAAUUAAUCAAAAUAGAAAAAUACAACUUAAGUACAAUUAAAUUCGUGGAGUUUUUGGACCAGUAGUCCAAAUAUCUAAAGGUAUAAAGCCAGUAAGGGUGCAAAUGAAGUAGUUUUACAAAAGCGGAAUAAAAAUAUGAAGUUUUUCGCUAAGUCCUAGCAUUGAUUAUAAAAAGAUAUACUAUUCUUUUGUGGUGGAUGCAAUAACCUUUAGAUAUAUUAUUUUGACAAUUCAUAAAAGAUUGAACUCGCGUCUAAUGGUUGUUGUUACAACAUUUUAUGAACCACUAUUUAGUAAAGUUUAUAUUAAAAUCUUUGAAGGAUUUAGGAUGUUAGAAACAUAUUGAAAUUCUCGAGAAAUUGUUCAUUUAUAUGAAUUGAAAUAAUUUGAACAUAUGUGGUAAAUAGUAGUUACAGGAGGAUUAUAAAAUGAUCCAAAAUACCUAUUUGUGUUUUUAUAGAAGAAUCGUGAUUAAAGUUUGCUAUGAUUAUUGUUGAAACUCCUGAAGUGAUCAAAAUAUAUUUCCCCAAAAUUUUCCCUCACUCAUGACUUUCAAAAGAAUUGUGAUAUAAAUGCUUAGCGAAUACAUUCAAAUAGUCAUUUGAAAGACUAGUAUUCAAGAUUGAAUACGUAGAAUAUGAGAAAGUAUGUGAUGUUUUCAUGAGAGGGAAUAAAUAUGUGUUGUACUCUUUUUUCCUUAACCGAGAUUUUGACCCAUUGGAUUUUCCUGAUAAGGUUUUUGAUGAGGUAGCAUAUUGUGCGUAUUAUAGAUAUGUGUACUCUUUUUUCUUUCACUAGGAAAUUUUUUCCCACAAGGUUUUUAUCUUAGUAAGGUUUUAGCGAGGCACAUUAUCUACCAAUGGAUAUCUAAUGGGGAGUUUUAUGAAUAUCUUAUUAAGUGGAUGUCCAUCAAGAUCAAUAUAAGUUUUGAUGUACUUUAAAUCCUAAUAAUCAUUAGAAGUAGUAUUUCUACUUCAUUUAUAUUUCUUAUGUCUAUAAAUAGAGAUUUUAGAGAAGCUUUGUAAAUAUUUCGAUUGAUCAAUAAAAUACACUCUCUCUUUGCUCUCCCAUUCUCUUUGUUAUUUAUUUUUUAUCUUUUAUUUUAUAACAAUUAUUACUAUUAAAAUAGAUUUAAAAACAAAAUAAUCAAUAUCCAACUUGUUAAAACCCCUUUCAAAAUUUAACUAGGAAAAAUAUAUAUAUAAAAAUAAUAAUUCUCACAUUGCAUACAUGUGGACUCAAACUCGAGACCAAAGAUAAGCUACCAAAGAGUUAGCCAUUAAAUCAACAAACUCAUUAUUCUGUUAAAAUGUGAAAACAAACUUAAGAGCCCCACCAACCACUGAUCCAACCAUUACUAACCUGAAUAAUUCUAAUUCCAAUUUCGGGUGAUUGCACAUGUUGAAUCGCAUUGGUCAACAGAUAGACUAUUGUGGCUAAUAAAUGACAUACCACAAAAAAAUAAAAAAGAAAAGAACAAACAACUCAAAAACCGAUAUCUCCCUCCGCUAUUAUUUUAAGGUUGUAUUCUUUUGACUUAAAAAAACUUAAUUGAAGCUAAAACUAAAAAUAUUUCAAUAAUUUUAUCAUGUUAUUGAUAAAUAUAAUAUUUUUAGGAAGUAUAAAAUAUAUUUUUUUAAUUUCAUAAAGAUAAUAUACAUAUGUAACUCUUCAAGGACAAUUUAAUUGUCAACUUCCGAGAAGUUUUUGCAAUCAAUAAGUUGUUUUCACUAAAUUCAAGAUAAUAAAGUAUAUGUCAUUCUAUUAUUAUUAUUAUUUAAUUGGAGGAGACUUUUUAUUCUUUUAUAUUUAUGAUUUUAUUUUUUAAAAAUAAAUUUGCAAUUUGCAAUUUUAAGUAAUAUAUAUGGGAAAUUCUGUCGUAUGUGUAUAUAUAUAUGGAAACCACAAAUGUAUGACUAAAAAUAAUAUACAAUAGAUAAUGAAACUUGUGGUUUGAAAUUAAUUAAUGUACAUUAUUAGAAUAAGAAAAUUAGAUUAAAUUGUUUAUCAUGCUGUUGUCAUCAACUUGAGUCCUUGUCAAGUUAACUUGUGACACAAAUUUAUCUAUAUUAUUAUUUAAAUUCUUGACUAAGUCGGUGUCACUAGUCAACUGAACACCAACUUGGUUUAGAAAUUAUGAGAAUGCCCUUUUAUAAUUAAAAAAAUAAUAUUAUUCAAGGGUAUUUUAGUCUUUUAACUUUAAAAAACCAAUAAAAACAAGCAUAUGGUAUGAUUCAAACCCACAAGUUGCAUUAAUAAAACUUUUAAUUUACCACUCAACUAAAGCUUUAUUUUAAUAUUUCUAUACACUUUAGUUUUAUUAUACACACCCUAUUACUUCUAUAAGUUGUAUAUCUAUACUUAUUAUUAUUAAACUCCAGAAUAAGUUGGUGUCAUCCUCAAUCGAAUCACCAACUCGGUUAAAAAAUUACGAGAAUGCCUUUCUAUAAUUAAAAUAAGUAAUAUUAUUUGAGGGUAUUUUAGUUUUGCCACUUAAAAAACUAAUAAAAAGAUGUAUAUUGUGGGAUUUGAACCCACACCAAUUGCAUUAGUAAAACUUUUAAUUUACGACUCAACUAAAGCUUUAUUUUAAUAUUUGGUAUACAUUUUAAUUUAUGACGAAUUUAAAACAUAUAUGUGUUUAAAAUAUUGGUUAUAAAAUGACAAAAUAUUCUUAAUAAUUAAUUAUUGGUUAUAAAAUAAAAAUAUAUAUAUAUUUAUGGUUGUAUAAAUUUAUAAUUUAUUAAAUAUUUUUAAAUAAAUCUAUUAACCGUUAUCUAUUUAUAAUUUAAAAUAUUUGUAUUAAAUAUAUAAAAUAUCUAUAUAGUUGUAUAAAUUUAUAAUUUAUAUUAAACAUAUAAAAUAAGUUACUCCUUAAAAUUAAUAAAUUAAUAAAAUAUAAUUUUUAUAUUUUUUGUAAUUAAAUUAAAAUAAAAUAUUUUUGAAAUUGAUUUAUAUUUCUACCAAGCUAGGUUGGGUUGACUCAAGGACAAGAAGGGACAAGCUAGGCCAACUUGGUUGAUGGAUCACCCAACCCACGAAUAGUUAUACUUGUUAUAUGAGGUUGCUGGGUGAGGAUAAAAGUGGGAAAAAUAAUAAUUGACGUUGAGUAAAGAGAAGUGAUAUUUAAAACACACCUUCAUAUAGGUGAAAGAAAUCGCCCAACUUGAGUAAAAAUGUUAAAUGAUCUUGUUAUUUAUCAACGCUACUAAAUGCUUUAUUAUUUGAAACUCAUGUCAUGGUUACGCAAUAAAUCAACUAUCACAAUUUAAAAAGUGCUUUAUUAUUUUAAGAAUCAUUUCAUCUCAAUUGAAAACGCAAAUAACUUCUUAGGAACAAAUCAAACUCUACUUUCAUGUUGCUCUUCUAUUGCUUUUUCUUUUCAUGUUUUUUUUUACAUCCGAUUUAUCAUAAUCUUUUUCAGCAUCUUUUUCCUAUUUUGAGAGAACAAAUUUCAAAUUUUCUUAUUUUUUUGCAUCUGAUACAAGAUCCCUCUUCACCUAUGGAUUCUUCUUCUUCUUGAUUACGAUUCUCUAAUCCAAUAAUCUUUUUUUCAUUUGGUGCGAUAAGGGAGUUCAUUUCUAGUUUCAAGCAAACCAAAGUUGACUUUAUUUUUCAAAACCUUACAUUUAAAGUAAAUUAUUUUCUCAUUUCUUAAAAAUUUUAAAAAUUCUAAUUUUAUCUUUAAAAAACUAUUCAAAAUAAAAUAAAUAAUACCAUAUUAUUGUGACCAAAAUACUAUUACUCAAAAAUGUUCAAAAUUUUUUAUAUUUACCAGAGUAGGACGAUUUUUGGAAUAAUUAUAGGAAUAGGCCAAUUUAAGGAAAAAUAUUUACAGCUGGAAGCAUUUUCAGGUCAAAGGCAGAAAAAGGCUUCUAGUUAGAAGCGCUUUUCGCGUGAUACCAACUGGAAGCAUUUUACUGCAUUUCACCUGAAAAAGCUUCCAGCUGAAAGUGUUUUCCCCCGUGUUAUAUUAGGGUUCAAGGUUUUUUUAAGGUUUUUUAGGGGUUUUUAGGGUUUUUAGUGUCUAAGUUUUUGGGAUUAGGGUUUUUAACUAGGGUUAAUUAUGGGUUUUGGGUUUUAAAUAGAUAAAAUAUUUAAAAUAAUAAUUGUAAUUAUUGAAUUCAAUAUUUAAAAUAUUUGUAUUUAUACCAAUAGUAUAUUCGAAUUUCAUUUUGUAAAUCGAUUUAAAAUCAAAACUCGGAGUACUCGAUUUGGAUGCAAAACUAGUUCUAAAAUUUUUUGCAUUUUUUAAUCUUAUUUUGAUAUGAUUUUUUAGUAAAAUACUUAUCCAGUGCAUUAUUUUUUACGAAAUGGGUUUUGAAAAUAUAUCCCAGGAAUCUUGGGAUAUUUAAAAUAUGAUGUGAAAUUCCUCGAUUAGUGGGGGUUGACAUUUGUAGAGACAAAACGCUUCAAGUAGGACGCAUUGUCUGUAGAAGUACUGAAAGCGUGUCCAACUAGAAGCGUUUUUUGUAGCGCGUCCAACUAGAAGCGUUUUUUGCUAGGUUGGCAAUGAAAAUGCUUCCAACUGGACAUGCUUUAUACUUCUACUGAUAGUGCGUCCUGCUUGGAGCAUUUUGUCCCUACAAAUUUCAACCCCUCACUAUCCAAAGAUAUUUUUCAGAAUCAAAUAGGAGGUCAUGCCAUGUGCUAUAAAUGUAACAUAUUUCAACCUCCGGUGGCAUAAGCCAUUUACAAGGAAAUAAAUUUUUUAGAAGUUUAGAAUAAUAGAAGUUUGCAGAGAAGUCAUAAGUUGGAGCAACGAUACUAUUUGUAUAAAAAGUAAGCAUAAGCAUUGAUUUUUGUUGUUAAUAUUUAUUUUAAGCAUUAUCUUUUUUUUUUGCAUAAUUUUUUUUGUUUCAAACUUCUCUCAAUAGAUAAUUUGGUUCAAAAUUAGUAGACGGAUUAAUGCUAUUGUUUAUUACGAUGAUAAGGUCCGUGACAUCGAAAAUAACGUAUUUUUUUGUCGGACUGUCAUUUAACCGGAACAUACAGUUGUCAGAACUCUGGACAAGAGUUAGGUGAAAAAUUGUUUGAUCCAACCAAAUGAGAGUAUCGUCUAUUAGGUAUCAAUUUUGUGCUUCGAUCGACCUUGUGAGAUAUGACGCUUUCGAUAUCAAAGUUGCUAGGGGCUUAGAGGUGAUGGUGUAGACGCAUAUUGACCGUAGGUCAUCGUUUCUUGAGUUAUAUAUGGAAUUUUCAAGCCCAGAUGAAGGCAUUUGGAUGUUGACAUUUGUUCCUUUUCAAGAGGCCAGAACGGUUGAAAAUGCCGAUAGUCCAAUGACAUAGUUGUGUGAUGGGUUCACCACUUUGUUAGAAAGUUCUCAUUAUGAUAUCCCAGAAUCAUCAAUGGGAAGACACUCAUCCGUCAUGGCCUCAGAUUUUAACCGUAGAAGGUAGAACAUCCAACAAUUAGGUUUUGGUGGUAGAACGGAAUACACAACCCCUGCACGACACUUAAUUAAUGGGUUAGACAUGAACUUCGGUUAGUCGAUGUUCAACGUUGGGAAUACUUACUGGGAAAUGGCAUCAACUUCCAACAGUUGGCAAUCGACAAAUGAUUCUGGACACUUCGACAACUACAUUAGAAGUGAUGAUGUACUCCCUACGAUGUCCACCAGUGAGGGGAUAUUCAACACGACAGAUGUUAGUGGGUCAGGGAAUGAAGAUGUCAAUGAAUCGAUGUCGAUCUAGUCCAGGAGCCCAGUGCCAACUGUUUAGAAAUUGCAUUAUUUUCUGAACUGAAGCUUGUUCCAACUUAACCAAAAGACAAUGAAAAGGGUGAAGAAGAAGAAGAAGAUCAAUGAUUCACGGGAUACUCGCCUCCAACCCACAUACAUAAUGUCGACCUAUCGGUAAAUGAUGGUUAGAGUUUGCAAAACUACCACACAGGAGGUCGGGCCAUGCAGGUUCUUCGUUGGAUUAGGGUAAUUUAGAAGUAGGCAAGGAGUUUUCCACUAAAGAUGGUUUUGUCGAUGCAGUGAAACGAUACAACAUUAAGAACGGGGUUAACUUCUACGCGGUUAGAUCUUGAUCUAAGAAGUUCGAGAGUGUGCAAUGUGAGACAGUAGAUGUACAUGAAAAAUCAUGGCUUCUGUUAAGAAGAAGACGGGGUUGUAGAUGAUAAAGAAGACUGUAUAAAUAUCGAUAUAUAUUAUGACAUAGUUGAAUUACCAAAUUUAACGUACUCGUGGUGUUGUAGGUAUUUCACGAGAUCAUUCAAAGUUGGAUUCAGAAAUGAUUGUGGGCGUAAUACUACCCAUGGUAAAAGCGAGUCCUAGGAUUGUUGUAUUAGUCUUAAUUGCAAAUAUUUGUAGCUAAUUCAAUUACACGCCUUCAUACCAUAAGACGUGGAUAGUAAAGUAGAAGGCAUUGGAAAAUAUGCAUAGUGGGCGGGAUACGUCAUACAACAAGGUAUAGAAAUGGUGUCAGGUGCUAGAGAGGUACUGUAAUAGCCCAAAUUUGACCGGGCUUAAAUAAAACAAAAGAAAAUAAAUAAAUAAAUAUUUAUUUAUUUAUUUUAAACAGUCUAUUAAAGGUUCAGGUUACAAAGCCCAAAACAAUGGGGCCCAACGUCUAAACAUAAUGGACUGACCCAAACCCCACAUCAGACCCAAGUCCUAAGACACUACUGGCCCAAAAUAGCCUGGACCCGUUAUACACACACCCAAACAGACCGGUUACACCCUACCUAGCCCAGGACUAAACCAGACCCAAAUAACAGAGGCCCAAAACUUAAAAUUACCAGCUAGGGUUUCCAACCCUAGCUCUUUCUCCUCGCACCAUAAACAGAAGAUUCCAGAAGCCAUCCCAACGGACGCGUUUGCUCACGUCGUUCCAGUGGCCCUCCAUCAGCGCCGGGACUCUACCUCCGUAAUCAGCGCGCGAAUCUACACCAGCACAUUCGCUGUCAGAUUCUUUAUUGAUACUUGCAAAAGAAGGAAAGAACCAUAGCAGCAAACAAGACAAAUAUGGAAGGAAAGAUUUCUUUCCAAAAAUAUGUAAUAACAACAGUGGCUAUAAAGCCCGAAUGCUUUCAUUGUACAAGGGACGGAUUUUUUGACAGAAUAGAAAUAUACUUACAUAUAUUCAUUCAGAGAAAUACAAGCAGUUUCUAAAAAAGGUGAUUUAAUCGUGUAUCUUGUUCUUUAUUUUUGAACGCAUAUAUAUGAAUUGUUUUAGCAAAAAAAUUGUUGAUGUUUAAAAGGAAAAUGGAUUACCUGGGUUUUGCUUGAGAGGAUGAAGGUUUUAACCUUCAGAUCAUCGCAAAACGACGACGCGUGAAACGCGUGCGCCAAUGCAACCCGGUGGCCGAAAGCCAGAGCCGGGGUCUCUCUCUUCCCCUCUGCAGAGUGUUUUAAGUUUUUUUUUAAGACCGGUGUAAAAAAUGAUUUUAAAGCUUUAAAUGUGACUUAUAUAGCAUAAAUGAAACGGCACCGUUUUGGCUUAAUCCAAUAAGUGUAAAACGACGUCGUUUCUAGGCAUAGGAUCCGCGCGUUGACCCGAUUACCCGGGGAGGAUCCGCGUGUUUUGGAGGAUUGGGUUAAUUACUCAAUCGGUCCUUCCACUUUUCUUUGUGUUUAUAAUUACGCUUUAUUUUAUUUAUGAUUUGGCCCUAUUAUUUUGUUUUAGUUUUAAUUUAGUCCCUGCAAUAGCUGUUUAAAAACCUGGAUUAAAACGCUGCUGUUUUGGGAAUAGGGCGAUUUGCCCAAUGAGUCCUUUUCGAUUUACGCGUGUUUUAAUUAGGACCUUAAUUCAGCUUUUUUUUUAAAUUCGCCCCUUGUAAUUUUAUUGAACUUCAAAUCUAACCCUAUAUAUAUUUAUUUCUAUUAUUAUUAUAUAUAUAUAAAUUUUUAUAUUGUUAUUUGUUUAUAUAGUUAUUUUAUUAUGUAUUAUUUAUAUUAUUAUAUUAUUAUUUUUCACUAAUUAUUAUUAUUUUACAUUAUUAUUUAUAUAUUAUUGUUAUAUUUUUACUUGUAUUAUAUAUUUAUUAAUUAUUUAUAUGUAUUAUAUAUAUUCACAUAUAUACUUUCAUAUUAUAUAUUAUAAUUAUUUUAUAUUAUUAUGUCAUUUUUUUAUACUAUUAUAUUUUUUAUCUUAUUAUCAUUUAAGUUUUAGCUUGUAUUAUAUACUUAUUUUUAUUUAUAUGUUAAUAAUUACUUUACUUAUAUUCUAUUAUUAUACAUUUUGAAGAUAUUAAAUAUAAUAAUUAGUGUAAUACGUAUAUUUUAUCAUUAAUUACUUAUUUCAUAUUAUUCUAAACUUAUAUUUAUAUAUUAUACAAUUAUUUUAUUGCAAAUAUAAAUUCUUUCACAUAUUUGAUAUUUUAUACAUUAUUUUUUCUAAACCAUUAUAUUUUAUAUUUUUAUAUAAUUAUUAUUCUUAUAAAUAUAUUUUUAUAUAUUAUAUCAUUAAAUAUCACAUUUUUUAUAUGCUCAUUCUAUUUAUCAACCGUUUGUAUUAUACAUAUAUUCUUUUUUUUCAAAAAAACUUAUGUUUUUUAUUAUUAUACAAUAUUUGCUUUUACUUAGAAUUAAUGUAUUAUUGCUAUGUUAUGUAUUUUAUAUGUUAUGUAAUAUCUUAGACCUUUAUAAUUUAUUUUCAAAUGCAUUUUUUUAUAUAUGUGUUAAAAUUGUAUAUCAUGUAUCAUUUGUGUUUAAAUAUAUGUUGAAUUAUAUGUUUAGGGAUUUUUACCUACUCUUCUUAAAUAUGCAUUGUGUUUUAUGUAUAGUUUUUCUUAUUUAAAAAUUGUCAUGUUUUAUUUCUUAUAUAUGUGUUGGUUUGUGUAUGAUAUUUAUGCUAUUAUGCUUUUACUUACCUAUUAUUAUAACAUGUUAUCUCGUAUGUUAUGUUAAUAUGCUCCUUCAUGCAUCGGUUUUAAAAACGAUACUUCAAAGUUUUCAAAAAUAAAAAGGUAAUGCUUAGUGUUUGGAAGCUUCGAGAAAAGUAGUGCCCUAACUUAUUGGGUUGCAACUUUUCUCAUUGAGUUCGAAUAGUCAAGUACCCUUCUAAGUUUUUUAAGAUUUUCAAAAAAACGAGCAACUGUCUUGGAAUUUCAAAGCGUUGUGUCCUAACUUACUGGAUGUGGCGUUUUGUCAUUUCGAGAUAGGGAUUUCCAAAAAGGCUAACUUAGUAUCAAUAUUUUGAUACAAGUGAAUCCCAAUUUUCAAAAUCAAAAUAUUUUAAAGAGGAUUGUAUCUUAAAAUUUUUAAAUUCCCGACCUUAAAGACAUUUGAUAAUUAAUUAGGUACCAAUUUUUGGGCGUUACGAGGGUACUAAUCCUUCCUUGUACGUAACCGACGCCCGAACCCGUUCUUUUUAUUACGUAGACCAAAACUAAUGAUUUUAAAACAAAAUAUUUUAAAGGUGAUCCAAUCACACCUAAAAAGAUUGGUGGCGACUCCUGUUUUUGUUUUUUAAAGUCGAUUCUCAUUUUCCAAAACUCGAUUUAAAAAAAUGGUUUCGACAGGUACAUCACAGGUUGCGUAACUGAUCUGGAAACAAAGCUCGUGUACUACAACAAUCACUUUCUUCAUGGAUGUUGAGUAUUCCACUAUUUGUUUUAGACCUUUAAGCAAUGCUCCCAAGUAUUCUAGUACUACAAGCCAUUAGUACAAAUAGACAGUAUCUUUAUAUAUAGUAGAUAUACCCAUCAGUUGUAAUUGGCCAUGACACAGGAUGGCAAUCAGACAAUCCUUCCAAUUGCGUUGGAGUCAGCAGAUGACUGGGAUUUCUUUCUAUUUAGGUUGAGGAGGCAUGUUAUGAAACAUCUGUAAAAAUCCCUAACAACCUUGAGCUAGAGGAAGUAUUUUCUGUGAUUAAUGCAGGUCAAAAAAUUAAAUUCAAAGAGUGGAAUAAGUGUAAGAAGGUGGAAUGGCAUAAUAGAUACUGGACGAACAUUGAUAGAAACAAAAUAGAGAAAGCAUCCCCGGGCACACUAAUUGAGUUGACAUAUGAAUCUGGUAGCAAAACUUGAUAGUUUUAAUUAAAUUUUAAUUUUAUGUAUAUUAUUGUAUAUUUAAUUAACUGAUUAGUUUAAACUUUAACUAUUGUUAAAUUUAUGAUUGAAUAGAACCCAAGGCACUUUGAAAAUUGGAAAUUUGGGUUAAAGCAAAGUCGGUGUUGCAACACGACACCCUCGUGUCGCAGCACCACGUUCAAAACUAAAGAAAUUGAGAAAACCAUCUUGAUAUUGCGACACAACACCUUUGUGUCGCAACAAGGAAGACAGUAUACCUAAAAUUCUAAAAUUUCAGAGUGUGUCACGAAAUCAAACCCCGAUAUCAUGACAACGGUAAACUAAUAUGGGUGUCACGACAUCGCUAUAAUUUUUUUAGAGUCGACCUGGUGGCGCAACCCGACUAAUUAAACCUAAUUUUAACUAGUUUUAAACAUCAAAACCUUCUUUUUUAAACUAGUUUUAAACGUCAAAACCCUCUUUUUUAAACAUAAUAACUCUUUUAACUAUUACUAAAAAAAUUUAAACUCUAAAUCCUCUCAAAAUCUCUUAAAUACUUUAACCCUUAAAACCCUAAAAUCCCCCAAACCAUCCUUUUUCGUUCUCAUAUUUUGCUAUAGAUCUCAUUGCACACACACUUGUUACAAGUCAUACUCUACAGAGGAAUAAGUUAUCAUAAGGAAUUCAACCGUGUAAAUCGAGGUUAAGAGUUCAUAAUUCAUAUUCUUAUUGUUUCAUUGAAAAUAUUGCUUGCUAUUUUAUUAGUUCCUAGCAUAAAAUACCAUUGAAUAGCCUCUAAGGAAAGUUAGGGGAACUAACGAACCAUAAUCGUUGACGGUUCCAAACCCCUUUAAUUUACCGAAUCAAAAUGUCAAAAAAUAUAUUUUAGAACAUCAGGGGAAAACAUUUAUUCAAGAGCGGAGAUUUGAACACUUAAUAACCCUCUGUUAAGAAAUUUGGCCCUUGGUCCGAUACCACAGAUGAAAACGUUUUUGUGUGAUCCCGAAAGACUCUGGUGUUGUUCCAGUAGUUCAGGAAUUUUACACAUCUUUUAGGGACAUAAACAUUACGCAAAAAAAAAUAUUUCAAAUAAAUAUUAACCAAAAAAAUUUAUACAAAUAGUAUCAUUGCUCCAUCUUAUGCCUUCCCUGCGAACUUCUAUUCUUCUGAACUUCUAAAAAUUUUAUUUUUUCGUAAAUGGCUUAUGCCACCAAAGGUUGAAAAUAUGUUACACUUAUAGCCCAUGGCAUGACCUCCUAUUUGAUUUUGAAAAAAAAUCCCUGGAUAAUGGGGGGUUGAAAUUUGUAGAUACAAAACGCUCCAAGCAGGACGUAUUGUCAACAGAAGUACUAAAAGCGCUCCUAGUUGAAGGAUUUUCAGUGCCAACUCAAUAAAAAACGCUUCCAGCUGGAUGCAUUUUUAGUAUUUCUGCUGACAGUGUAUCCUACUUGGAGUGUUUUGUCUCUACAAAUUUCAACCCCACUAACUAGGGAAUUUCACAUCAUAUUUAAGAUAUUCCAGGAUUCCCAGAAUAUAUUUUCAGAACUGAUCUCGUUAAAAAUAAUGUACUUAAUAAGUAUUUUACUGAAAUAUCAGAUCAAACUAAGAUUAAAAAAAGGCAAAAAAAAAUUAAAAUUAGUUUUGCAUCCGAACCGAGUACUUCGAGUUUCAAUUUUAAAUCGAUUUGCAGAAUAAAAUUGGAAUAUAUGGUUGGUGUAAAUACGAAUAUUUUAAAUAUCGAAUUCAAUAAUUAUAAUUACUAUUAUUUUAAAUAUUUUAUCAAUUUAAAAUUUAAACCCCAAAACCCUAAACUAACCUUAAACACAAUCCUAUUUUAAAACCCUAAUCUCAAAACCUUAAACACUAAAAAACCCUAAAAAUCCUAAACCCUAAUAUAACACGAGGGGAAAUGCUUCCAACUGGAAGCUUUUUCUAGUGAAAUGUAGAAAAACACUUUCACCUAGAAACGUUUUAUUGGUACCACAAGGAAAGUGCUUCUAGCUGAAAGCGCUUUCUCUAAAUCAACUUAUUCUCGUAAUUAUUCCAACAAUCCGCCUACUUUGAUAAAUAUAAAAAAAAUCAGCAUUUUUGAGUAAUAAAAUCCGAUUAAAUUAUAAAAUAAUAAAUUUUUAAAAAACAAGAUUUACUAUUAUUAAAUAAAAUAAUAUAUUCCAUGUUUAAUUUUUACUAAUAUAUCAAAUAGUUUUAUGAUAUGAAUUUAGUAAUUAUAAAAUUCAGUCGUAUGGGAUUUGGUAUGAGGCUAGAAACUAAAAAAAUGUCAUAAGUUAAAAUGUAUACUUCAUUCCUAGCUAUACAUUCAGUUGCUCUCUAUAUAUAACUCCAUUUCUUCUGCAUUCGAUCGUUGAAAACAAAUAUGACCAACUUAUACAACAAGCACGCAGUUCUUGCUUGCGAAGGCUUGUCAUGGGGCUGCCGUGCCCCUGAAUUCGCUCCUCGUAUGGCGGGGGCACUAGUAAUUUUCUGCUGUGCAUGGUGGUGGUGGGGUAUGAAGCUCACCAAAAUAAACCCACCUCUACCACCUGGUCCUUUAGGCUUGCCUAUAAUAGGAAACCUCCCCUUCAUUAAACCCGAAUUGCACCGUUACUUUUCAGACCUGUCUCGGAUCUAUGGUCCCAUCUUCAAACUUCGAAUGGGAAGCGUGUUUGCAAUAGUCAUAAACUCGCCUUCACUUGCCAACGAGGUCCUCAAAGUUCAGGAUGCCAUCUUCGCUAACCGUGACGUUCCAGCAGCCGCUGUGGUCGGCACAUUUGGUGGACUCAACAUCUUAUGGAGACCCAACGGUCCUAGAUGCAACCAGCUGCGUAAGCUUGUUAUUUGCGAAAUAAUGAGCAAACAAAGCUUGGAUGCUUGCUACGUGCUUCGUCAACGGGAGGUUCGACGAAUGGUGAAGGAGAUCCACGGAAAAGUUGGUUCCUCAGUUAACAUAUAUAAACAAUUAUCAGCAACCGCUCUACGAGUGAUGAUGAGCACGCUAUGGGGUGAUGAUCCAUCGCAAGAUUUGAUUGAGUUUAGGAAACGAUUGGAUGAAUUUAUAGUAACAUCUGCAACACCGAAUGUUUCUGAUCUUUUCCCAAUUCUGGCUCCAUUUGAUUUACAAGGAAUACAAUCCAAAGCGAAGGAGCAGUUGUCGUGGUUUUAUGGGGUUUUUGAAUCAAUGAUGAAGAACCGAAGAAACAGUAGAGAUGAUGGAAAAGAAAAGGAGAAAAUUAGCAAGGAUUUUAUGCAGCAAUUGUUGGAGCUGCACUGGCGAGGAGAUGAUAAAAACUCUUUAUCCAUCAACGAAGUGAAAGCUUUGCUUCUGGUAAAUAACUUCAACAUAAUAACAUCCACAUAAGUGUUGAUAUUUUCCAAUUUACAAUAUUUAUCUCUAUAUCUCAUAGGAUUUGAUGAUCGCCGGUACGGAUACAAUACCCACUACUGUAGAGUGGGCAAUGACCGAACUAUUAUGCCAUUGGGAUAAAAUGAAGAAACUCGUAGAGGAAUUAGAUACGGUGGUCGGAAACCAGAACACGGUGAAAGACUCUCAUAUACCUCAACUUGUCUACUUGGAUGCUGUCAUAAAGGAGACACUUCGUCUUCACCCGGUUGCUCCAUUGCUAAUUCCUCAUGUGCCCAGUGAGACCGCUGUUAUUGGUGGAUUUACCAUCCCUAAAGGUUGCACAGUUUUCAUUAAUACAUGGGUCAUGCAAAGGGACCCUGGGUUGUGGGAUGAUCCUCUUCGGUUUCAGCCUGAGAGAUUCUUGGAAACCGACAUAAGCUAUCGAGGCAACAAUUUCGGGUUUUUUCCAUUUGGUUCAGGGAGGAGGAUGUGUGUUGGGGUUUCUCUGGCGGAGAAGAUGGUGGCACUGCUCUUGGGCUCUUUGGUGCACUCUUUUGAAUGGGGAUUACCAGAGGGGACUAAGCCUAGUUUAGAAGAUAAAUUUGGGAUUUUUUUGAAGAAAACGGAAUCACUUGUUGCUAUACCCGUUGCACGACUUCCUAAUUUGGAGCAAUA